rnacentral:lncRNA from 1 species
GAUAAUUCAACUAUGCAAGCAAUGAAAAGAAAAUUGCAAAGGCUCAGACUGGCUUGGACCAAGGAUGAAUAGAUCUAACUCUUUUUUGUGGCUUUUUCUUGGACAAUAGGUAAGAAAAUAAAUCUAAUCUAGGAAAACUGGAAAUUCUCACCGAGCAACCUGAAAACUGAUACCACUUGAUAGAGGCGAGGGUGUCCCGAUCUUUCGAUGAGAUGAUAACUAUCGAUUUGGUGGAGACGACUUUGACGAUCCGACUACGAACGUGCGAGGACGUCGCGCCUUAGCAAUCGCUAAACCAACUCUGAGAGGUUAUUGACCACGCCGGAGCACGAUCAACCUGACCACGAGGGUCUGUUUCCUGCGAGCAAACGAAGAACAAGCAAGAAACUAAGAUUGCAAUCUGGAUAUUGCGAAUAUAAGAUGAAAGCUUUAUUGAUCAAGGUGGGGUUCUGUGACGCCUUUGUCUGGUCGUUGAACACAAACGAAGUACGCGAAGUUGCAGCUAUGGUGAACUUUUAAUCUAAACAAAACCCAAGGAAAAGCUACUAGAUGGAUCUACUUAUAUAGGAGCAAGGGGUGUCGGCCAAGGAGGUGCUCUGAUACCACUUGAUAGAGGCGGGGUGUCCCGAUCUUUCGAUGAGAUGAUAACUAUCGAUUUGGUGGAGACGACUUUGACGAUCCGACUACAAACGUGCACGAUGUUGCGCCUUAGCAAUCGCUAAACCAAUCUCCUGAGGUUACUCACGAUGCCGGAAGCACGGUCAGCCUGACCACGAAGGUCUAUUCCAGCAAGCAAUCGAAGAACGAGCAAGAAUAUGAUAAAGCAAUCUGAAUAUUGCAAAUAUAUAUGAGGUAUUGAUAAUGGUGGGGAUCCGGAAGCGGUCUUGGUCUGGUCGUUGGACACAAACGAAGUACACGAAGUUGCAAUGGCUAACUUUUAACUAAACAAAUCCCAAGGAAAAACUACUAGAUGGAUCUACUUAUAUAGGAGCAAGGGGUGGCGGCCAAGGAGGUGGGAGGAAGUCCCAAGGCAGCCUAAAACUAAAUCUAGGUCGUACAUGGCCAAUGGGCCCAAGUGGAGGUGAUGUAACACCUUUGGACUUGUAGUUUGACUCGGAUUCUGCUGCAGCAUCAGAUUGUUUCGUCCACAACUCAAUGCUCCGGACGAAUUUGAAGGUGAUUCCAAUUGGGUUGGAAAGUGCACGAAAUCUAGUUUCCAACAAAAAAAGAAUCACCCAAUUCGGAGUCCGUAUGAAAAACUUGUGUGCGUUUUGAGUCAGGUAUGUCUGUGCAGUCCGAAUCUGAAUCCAGAACGUGAGAGACUUGGACUCUAUCUUCUCUUGGGCCAAAAGUAACGUGAGAGAACUUUUUGGACAGCAAAUAAACAUCUCUUUCUUCCUUAUCUUCAUAUGUGGAUUGUACAAAUGUCCCAUACACCUGCAAUUAGACAAAACACAAAAGUGUGUGAAGUAUUUUUGUUCUGGAUAACAUAAAUAGAUUAUUGAAUAGUUUGCACUAGAAAUCACCUGACAAAUAUGCAUAUAUGCAAUAUUUUUGGUCAUAUCCAAGGUAGUCAUGUCCUCAUCAGAUGGGCACGAUGGCGAGGCGAACGGCGCUCGAUGGCCGCGAGGACGGGCGAGGCACGGCGGCGACCGUGUCGGCCUCCUCUCCAGAACAAAGGAGUGGGAUAGGGAGAGGCGGAGAGGGCGAGGGGGUUCGAGGCGUGGGUGGAGGUAGGUGGGGAGGAGGUCGAGGCGUCGAGGGGAGGGGCCCUUAUCCACCCGCGGCGUUGCCGGGGAGGUGGUCGGGCGGCGACGCGCCCCUGUAGCGGUGCGCACCGGGGGAACAGGAGGGAGGGGAGAGCGAUGCGGGGAGCUGGGCCGGCUGGUUGAGGUGGGCCGAGGCCCAUGGGGGGGCACGGUGGCCAGCUGGCCAGUCGGCCCAGUUGAGAGGGGGGGCUUUUCCUUUUCUUGGUUUUUUUUUGUUUUUCUUUUCCAGCAGCUUUUGCAUUUUCUUUUUGCCACAAUUGACUUUGCAAAAUUAUGCCACUGGCCAAAACAAUCUCAAAGAAUUAUUAGGCACUGCCAAAAAAAGAUUGUGAGGCUUUAGAAAUAGUUUGCCAUUUUCAUAAAUUAAAAAGGCAUUUAAUUUAUUUCUUAGGCCACUGUUUGAAGUAGCUUAGGCCACUCAAACCUUUUUGCAAAAAUGUUGGUUCACCACCAAUAUUAGUUGUGGAUUAUUCUGCACAUGAUGAACAUUUUUGUUUUCAUGUCUGAGCAUUUUGAAUUUCAGACAAAAUUUGAAUUUGAAUUCAACUGGAAUGUGAAAGAACAUGAGACAAUAAUGAUCAGGCACAUGUUUAGCAAAAAGAUUAACUUAACCCCAGGGGUUACUGUAGCAUCAUUACACCGGGGUGUUACACAUGGUGUCCCAAAUCUCCAUGAUCGGCAGUGAGUACAAGGUUAGAACCAUCACCGGCGAUGAGUUCUACAUCAUCUACACCCGUUCUUCCGCAAUGGUGAAAGAAUGCCUUGCUCGCUUCAAACGCAUGUUCGAAAACUCAAAUGAUGAGUUGGUCGCUGGGCUAGAUGUUGAGUACAUCACAGUCUUGGGAAGCGAGGAGAAUCUAAAGGAGGUAGAGAAGAAGAAGCCCGCCGCGAUCCAGGUUUGUGUGCAUGACUUAUGCUUGGUCUACCACAUAUGCCAUGCCAAUGUUGAGUCCCAGGAUUUUAAGAAUUUCCUCAAGGACAGCCGAGUCAAAUUUGUUACUGUAGACUUUAGGAACGAUAAGGAUGUCCUAGAUUGGAUAGGCCUAGUUGUAGGCAACCCCUUCGACCUCCAGAAGAAAGGGCUGGUGCCCUCCCAUGAUUAGCCUUCAAUGCUGACCCUGGCAGGAGCCAUGGUUCAUCCUUCGUACGGUACACUGAAGAAACCUCCGUUCAAGUUUCAUCAUGCAUGGGAGUGGAAUGUACUAGAUAUAGAUAGCAUCCACUACACUUCAAUGGAUGGCUACCUUUGUUUCAAUAUCUACAAGGGUUGGAUGAAGAGCAAGAGCCAAGUGUGCGGGUCAAGCAAAGAAGUAUCGGCCAAGAGGAGGAGGGACAAGGACGAAGUCGAGGACGUGGAUGAGGAGUCCGAGUAAGGUGGCAGUGUCGUUGCUCAUGGUGGUUCUAAUGCAGUGUCUACCGGAUUAGUUGCUUAGUUUUAUUUGAGGGGUGUGUUGUGCUGAGCCCCCAGCAGAACUAUGUUAUGUUUCUUCUUGUUAUAUUUCGUACAUUUCAUCUUUUAGUUGGUAUAGUACUACCACUCGUUUCUUCACAUUAUAUACGCACAAUAUAUAUGGCCAACAUCAUAUAGCCAGCAGUUUAGUUGUCAAAGAAUUUUAGGGUGCUUAGUUUUGACAAAGAUAUCCAGGGUGCUUAGUUUUAUUUGAGGGGUGUAUUGUGCUGGACACCAUUAACUUAUCAUUGUGAGAAUCAGCUUAUUUUUGUCAUGUAACAUGGUCAACGGGUUUGACGUGAAAAUAACAAUGUCUAAUGGCAUUUCCGAGCAAACAUCUAACUUAACUACGGCAUUUUUAGAUAUCUAAUUGCAUUUUGAGCAGGCAUCUCAUGGAUCGAUGGCUUUUUUGAGUAGUUGUAACUUCUAAUGGCAAAACUGAGUAGUGAUACACAACUAGUGGCAUAAAUAAUAAGAACCCAAGAAUUAAAUAGGUAUGCUAAUUUCUUUAUUUCUUUAUACCUUUGUGUGCGAAACAAUAUACACUGCCUCCCCCAGAUUUUCUUUACAGAGGCAACGUAGAACUAUAUGAGUGCCCUGUUAAAUUUUGGAAUUAUUUCGGGUUCAUUUGGCCUUUUUUAUACAUCAAUUGAGUUUCUGGUCAUUUAAUGUGCAUAAUUCAAAUUUGAACUACAAGCACAUGCUCCCGUGCACCAAAGUUGAUUGAAAAAUCACAUGUGUGUCCUCGGGUGAAUUUCUAGGUCCCAUGCAAGAAAUGGGAAUGAAGUUCAAACAUCUGGGCAUCGUGGUUUGGCCGAGAACAUUGAGAAUCUUGGUUUUAAAAUUCUUGUAAAUCCAAAACACGCCUAAAACUCAUGAAACUUGGCAUGGUGUCAUGUCCUGGUACUACCAUGUUGUGGUAAAAAAAAUACAGAAUAGGAACAAGUUUUGGUAUAAGUUUCUUGCAAACCGGAGCUUCUCUCAAGACGGCUCGUGGUUCUGAGAGGGAACGUGUCACCUUUGUGUGCAUAAUUCAAAUUUUAAAUACAAGCACGUGAUCCAGUGCACCAAAGCUGGUUGAAAAAUCACAUGUGUGUCCUCGGGUAAAUUUCUAGGUCCCAUGCCAGAAAUGGGAAUGAAAUUCAAACAUCUAUGCAUCAUGGCUCGGCUGGAAACAUUGAGAAACUUGGUUUUUUAAUACCUGUAAAUCUGAAACACGCAUGAAAAUCAUGAAACUUAGCUUGGUGUCUGAUAGGGGCGAGGGGCCCGAUCUUUCGAUGAGAUGGUGGCUAUUGUUUUGGUGGAAGUCGACUUUGACGAUCCAACUACGAACGUGCGAGGACGUCGCGCCUUAGCAAUCGCUAAACCAACUCCGAGAGGUUAUUGACCACGCCGGAGCACGAUCAACCUGACCACGAGGGUCUAUUUCCUGCAGGCAACGAAGAACAAGCAAGAAAUUGAAAUUGCAAUCUGGAUAUUGCGAAUAUAAGAGGAAAGCUUGAUUGAUGAAGGUGGGGUUCUGUGACGUCUUAGUCUAGUCGUUGGACACAAACGAAGUACGCGAAGUUGCAGCUAUGGUGAACUUUUAAUCUAAAGAAAACCCAAAGUCUAAACAUUGCCCUAAGGGCUGUAUAUAUGGAGGAAGAGGGGGGAAUUUCGUGGCCCUUGGAGGAGGGGUCCGAAACCAACCCUAACUCUUGUUUCCCCACACAUACGGACUCUAAAAACAGCAUAUACUUAAGUGUUUCGAAAAUACAUGGACUGGCCCAAUAAUAAGGUGAUGCAGCACCCAGAAUAGCCUCUGGAGGAAAUUUAUGAAGUGGCAUCUUGUAUGUCGUCCAAGGCUUCAUGCACUCCUUAUGGUGGCUUCAAAGUCCUGAAAUCAUCACUUGCAACUCCGUUCUGGAUCCCCUUGCGCAUGCCAUCAUCUCCAUGCUUGGUCUUGCUCUAGUGUUCAUCCCUCUUAUCCAUGCCAAGCCCUUCAUUUGUAAGCAAAACAAAUGUAUCCAAUUUAGGCAGCAUCAUAUUCUCAUGAACAUCAGAAUCAUUAUCAAGAAACAAAAGUACCUGAUAAUUUAAUUGGCGUGCGCGAGCUCUAGUAGUUGGUCCAGUAUGUAUAGCAGCAGGGGUUGUGGGUGUAACAAUGGUAUUGAUGUCCUCAUCAUCCUCCCUUCUUCAAAUGAAGUCGUCCUUGAUGAAAGCUCAUCUUCCUCACCCAAAUAAGGCUUCAAAUCUACAAUGUUAAAAGUGGGACUAACCCCAAAAUCUGUAGGCAGAUCAAGUUUAUAUGCAUGAUCAUUUAUUUUCUCUAACACCUUAAAAGAACCAUCAGCACGUGGCAUUAGCUUUGAUUUCCGCAAAUUAGGAAAUCUAUCCUUACGCAAAUGUAACCAAACAAGAUCUCCAGGUGCAAACACAACAUGUUUUCUACCCUUAUCUCCAGCAAGUUUAUAUUUAGCAUUCAUACGCUCAAUGUUUUCCUUAGUUAACUCAUGCAUUUUUAAAAUCAAUUCAGCAUGUUCUUUAGCAUGAAAAUUAACCUUCUCCGAAGAUGGAAGAGGCAACUAAUCAAUAGGUGCACGAGGUAGGAAACCAUACACAAUUUCAAAAGGGCACAUCUUAGUAAUAGAAUGCAAUGAACGAUUAUAAGCAAAUUCAAUAUGAGGCAAGCAUUCUUCCCACAUUUUCUUAUUAUUCUUCAAAACAACCCUAAGCAUAGUAGACAAUGUUCUAUUGACUACUUCAGUUUGUCCAUCAGUUUGGGGGUGACAAGUAGUACUAAAAAGCAGUUUAGUCCCCAAUUUAGCCCAUAAACAUCUCCAAAAGUGGCUAAGAAAUUUAGUAUCAUGAUCUGAAACAAUAGUAUUUGGCACACCAAGCAAGCGAAUAAUUUCACGAAAGAACAAAUCAGCAACAUUAACAGCAUCAUCGCUUUUAUGACAUGGUAUAAAGUGUGCCAUUUUCAAGAAUCUAUCCACGACAACAAAUAUGCUAUCCCUCCCCUUCUUUGUUCGAGGUAAACCUAAAACAAAGUCCAUAGAUAUAUCCUCCCAAGGAACACUAGGUACAGGCAAAGGCAUAUAUAAACCAUGAGGAUUGAGUCGUGACUUAGCUUUUUGACAUGUAGUGCAGCGAGCAACAAAACGCUCAACAUCCCGUCUCAUCUUUGGCCAAAAGAAAUGUGUAGCAAGUAUAUCCUCCGUCUUCUUGAUGCCAAAGUGUCCCAUCAAUCCUCCUCCAUGUGCCUCCUGCAACAACAAAAGACGAACGGAGCUAGCUGGAAUGCAUAGCUUGUUAGCACGAAACACAAAUCCAUCAUUAAGAACGAACAUGUUCCAAGUUCUCCCUUCCUUAGAAUUCUGCAAUACAUCUUUAAAUUCAGCAUCAUGCAUAUAUUGAUCUCUAAUGGUCUCCAAGCCAAAUAUUUUAAAGUCAAGUUGUGAAAGGAUAGUAUAACGACGAGACAAAGCAUCAACAAUAACAUUUUCUUUACCCUUCUUGUGUUUAAUGACAUAAGGGAAAGUCUCAAUGAAUUCAACCCAGUUAGCAUGUCUACGGUUCAGUUUUGCUUGACUUUGAAUGCUAUUCAAAGAUUCAUGAUCAGAAUGUAUAACAAAUUCCUUGGGCCAUAAAUAAUGUUGCCAUGUUUCUAAGGUCCGAACAAGAGCAUAUAAUUCUUUAUCAUAAGUAGAAUAGUUCAGACUAGGUCCACUCAAUUUUUCAGAAAAGUAUGCAACAGGUUUGCCAUCUUGUAAUAACACACUUCCUAAUCCAAUUGCACUAGCAUCACAUUCAAGCUCAAAAGUCUUAUUAAAAUCAGGAAGUUGGAGUAAAGGAUCAUGUGUCAACUUAUCUUUCAAUACCGUGAAGGCUUCUUCCUGUGCGGUACCCCAAACAAAAGGCAGAUCCUUCUUUGUAAGCUCGUUGAGAGGUGCGGCAAUGGUGCUGAAAUCUCUCACAAAACGCCAAUAGAAACCAGCGAGACCAAGGAAACUCCUCACUUGUGUGACCGUUUUGGGCUGCGGCUAACUCUCGAUAGCUUCAAUCUUGGCUUUAUCAACUUCAAUUCCCUGUGGAGUAACAACAUAGCCAAGAAAAGAUACUCGGUCGGUGCAAAAGGUGCACUUUCCAAGGUUACCAAACAAACGUGCAUCACGUAGAGCAAUAAAAACAACACGUAAAUGUUCCAAAUGUUCCUCCAAAGAUUUACUAUAAAUCUGUAUAUCAUCAAAAUAGACUACCACAAAUCGUCCAAUGAAAGUACGUAAAACUUCGUUCAUUAACCUCAUGAAAGUACUAGGUGCAUUAGUUAACCCAAAAGGCAUGACUAACCACUCAUAUAAUCCAAACUUAGUUUUAAAUGUUGUUUUCCAUUCAUCUCCCAAUUUCAAUCAAAUUUGAUGGUAUCCACUACGCAAAUCAACUUUGGAGAAUAUUGUAGAGCCACUCAAUUCAUCAAGCAUGUCGUCUAGCCUAGUAAUAGGAUGACGAUAACGAAUAGUAAUAUUAUUAAUGCCUCUACAAUCAACACACAUACGCGACGUACCGUCCUUUUUCGGCACUAAAAUGAUAGGAACAGUACAAGGACUAAGGGAUUCCCGUAUAUAACCUUUGUCGAGCAGCUCCUAUACUUGACACAUAAUCUCCUUCGUCUCCUCUGGAUUGGUACGGUAUGGCACACGGUUGGGUAAUGAUGCACUGGGAAUUACGUCAAUUUGAUGCUCAAUCCCUCGAAUAGGUGGUAAUCCCAGUGGCACGUCUUGUGGAAAGACGUCAGCGAACUCCUACAAAAUGUUAGUGACAGCAGGAGGCAAAGAGGAAGGCACGUCCUCGAAUGAAAAUAAUGCCUCUUUGCACACAAAAGCAUAGCAAACAGAUUUGCUAAAAUCUAGAUCAUCAAUAUCAGAUUUGGUGGCAAGUAAACAUGCACUUUUCAAUUUAAUUUCAGAAGCAACACUAGAUGGUUUAUUAUUAGGCUUCAUUUGUUGCUCAAAUUCUUUUGCCACAAUCUGAUUUUCACUCUUAUUUUUCUCCUAUUUUGCUUUAUUAGCUCUAUUAAUAUCCUCUUUCAAAAUGGAAUCAGGAGUCAUAGGAAGAAAAGUAAUUUUUUUGUCCUUAUGAACAAGAUUAUACUGAUUGUUUCUACCAUGGUGUACAAUUUGUUUAUCAAAUUGCCAUGGUCUACCAAGUAAUAAGGAACAUGUUUGCAUAGGUACCACAUCACAAUCAACAUAAUCAGCAUAUGUAGAGAUACUAAAAUGCACAUGAACAGUACGUGUUACCUUAACCUUGCCGCUGUUGUUGAACCAUUGGAUGUAGUAAGGAUGUGGAUGUGGUCUUGUGGUGAGAGAUAGCUUCUCCACCAUCUCCAUGCGAGCCAAGUUGUUGCAGCUCCCUCCAUCUAUGAUGAUACGAAUAGAACGUUCCUUCACAACUCCCUUUGUAUGGAAAAAAUUAUGCCUCUGAUUUUGCUCAGCUUGUGUGACCUGCACACUCAAAACACGUUGAGCAACUAAACAUUCAUACCUGUCAUCAUCUUCAGGAGCCAUGUAUUGUGUCUCAUGAUCAGAAUCAUCUCCACCGUGUUCUUCACGUGUAAUAAGAGCCAAAGUCUCCUCAUCAUAAUCACUAGAGGACUCAUACCCACCAUCCUUAGUAGCAAUCAUCACACUAUGAGAUUUGCAUUCUCUCGCAAAAUGUCCUCUUCCCUUACAACAACGACAAAUAAUAUCACUUGUGUGCCCUGUUGAUGCCUUGGAAGAAGAAGAGCUCUGCGUAGGCCCAGCAGGUGUGCUCUUGGCAGAUAGUGGUGGUUGUGCCUGCUUUCUUGUAUCACGGCUAGAGGUGGCACCUGAUGGAGAUGCUAGUGCAAUGGAAGCAGAGGAUGCACAUGGUGUCCAUGAUGAAGAUCGACCUGCAGAAAAGUUAGUUCGCGCCAAUGCCUGUUGAUCCUGCACUUCACGUUCAGCUUUACAAGCAAGAUGGAAUAAACGAGUGAUAUUAGUAUACUCCUUAUACUCUAGAAUGGUCUGAAUCUCUCUAUUUAAUCCACCCAUAAAACGUGCAAGCAUAGCUUCAUUCUCCUCAACAAUACCACAUCUAAUCAUGCCAUUUUGUAAUUCGUGAUAAUAUUCUUCUGCAGAAUUUUUUCCUUGUCUUAAAUGCUGCAAUUUUUGAAGUAAUUCACGUUGAUAAUAUGGUGGAACCCAACGAGUAUGCAUAGCAGUUUUCAAAGCAGCCCAAGUAGCUAGAAUAGGAUAUAAUCUACAAUGCUCAGACCACCAAACACAUGCAAAACUAGUGAAAGCACAAACAGCAGCAGGAACACGUCUCUCCUCGGGAUAUUGUAAACAUGUAAAUCGUUGUUCAGUUUCUAACUCCCAAGUAAGAUAUAUAUCAGGAACAUAUCUACCCUCAAAUGGUGGAAUAUUCAAUUUUAGUUUAGGGAGAUGGUCAUGAUCUUGUACCUGAGGGGGAGCCCUACCAUUGCCAUUAUUUGCAUGUGGACGACCUCAUGGUUGCGGUGCUGGUGGUUGCACGUAGUUCUGAUUUUGAUAGAGGCAAAGGUGUCCCGUCUUUCGAUGAGAUGGUGGAUUUCGCUUUGGUGGAAGUCGACUUUGACGAUCCGACUACGAACGUGCGAGGACGUCGCGCCUUAGCAAUCGCUAAACCAACUCCGAGAGGUUAUUGACCACGCCGGAGCACGAUCAACCUGACCACGAGGGUCUGUUUCCUGCGAGCAAACGAAGAACAAGCAAGAAACUGAGAUUGCAAUCUGGAUAUUGCGAAUAUAAGAUGAAAGCUUUAUUGAUCAAGGUGGGGUUCUGUGACGCCUUUGUCUGGUCGUUGAACACAAACGAAGUACGCGAAGUUGCAGCUAUGGCGAACUUUUAAUCUAAACAAAACCCAAAGUCUAAACGAUGCCCUAAGGGCUGUAUAUAUGGAGGAAGAGGGGGGAAUUUCGUGGCCCUUGGUGGAGGGGUCCGAAAUCAACCCUAUCUCUUGUUUCCCCACACAUACGGACUCUAAAAAUAGCCUAUACUGAUGUAUUUCGAAAUUACAUGGGCCUGGCCCAAUAAUAAGGUGACGCAGCACCUAAAAUAGCCUCGGUACGAAAUUUAUGAAGUGGCAUCUUGUAUAUUUCGUCCAAGGCUUCAUGCACCCAUUAUGGUGGCUUCAAAGUCCUGAAAUCAUCACUUGUAACUGCGUUCUUGUUCCCCUUGCGCAUGCCAUCAUCUCCAUGCUUGUUCUUGCUCCAAUGUUCAUCCUUCUCCAAGCUAGGCCCUUCAUUUGUAAGCAAAACAAAUGUAUCCAAUUUAGGCAGCAUCAUAUUCUCAUGAACAUUAGAAUCAUUACCAAGAAACGAAAGUACCUGGUAAUUUAGUUGGCGUGCACGAGCUCUAGUAAUUGGUCCAGUAUGUAUAGCAGCAGGGGCUGUGGGUGUAACAAUUGUAUUGAUGUCCUCAUCAUCCUCCCCUUCUUGAAAUGAAGUCGUCCUCGACGGAAGUUCAUCUUCCUCACCCAAAUAAGGCUUCAAAUCUGCAAUGUUAAAAGUGGGACUAACCCCAAAAUCUGCAGGCAGCUCAAGUUUAUAUGCAUUAUCAUUUAUUUUCUCUAACACCUUAAAGGGACCAUCAGCACGUGGCAUUAACUUUGAUAUGCGCAAAUCAGGAAAUCUAUCCUUACGCAAAUGUAACCAAACAAGAUCUCCAGGUGCAAACACAACAUGUUUUCUACCCUUAUCUCCAGCAAGUUUAUAUUUAGCAUUCAUACGCUCAAUGUUUUCCUUAGUUAACUCAUGCAUUUUUAAAAUCAAUUCAGCACGUUGUUUAGCAUCAAAAUUAACCUUCUCCGAAGAUGGAAGAGGCAACAAAUCAAUAGGUGCACGAGGUAGGAAACCAUACACAACUUCAAAAGGGCACAUCUUAGUAGUAGAAUGCAAUGAACGAUUAUAAGCAAAUUCAAUAUGAGGCAAGCAUUCCUCCCACAUUUUCUUAUUAUUCUUCAAAACAGCCCUAAGCAUAGUAGACAACGUUCUAUUGACUACUUCAGUUUGUCCAUCAGUUUGGGGGUGACAAGUAGUACUAAAAAGCAGUUUAGUCCCCAACUUAGCCCAUAAACAGCUCCAAAAGUGGCUAAGAAAUUUAGUAUCACGAUCUGAAACAAUAGUAUUUGGCACACCAUGCAAGCGAAUAAUUUCACGAAAGAACAAAUCAGCAACAUUAACAGCAUCAUCGCUUUUAUGACAUGGUAUAAAGUGUGCCAUUUUCGAGAAUCUAUCCACGACAACAAAUAUGCUAUCCCUCCCCUUCUUUGUUCGAGGUAAACCUAAAACAAAGUCCAUAGAUAUAUCCUCCCAAGGAACACUAGGUACAGGCAAAGGCAUAUAUAAACCAUGAGGAUUGAGUCGUGACUUAGCUUUUUGACAUGUAGUGAUAGAGGCAAAGGUGUCCCGUCUUUCGAUGAGAUGGUGGAUUUCGCUUUGGUGGAAGUCGACUUUGACGAUCCGACUACGAACGUGCGAGGACGUCGCGCCUUAGCAAUCGCUAAACCAACUCCGAGAGGUUAUUGACCACGCCGGAGCACGAUCAACCUGACCACGAGGGUCUGUUUCCUGCGAGCAAACGAAGAACAAGCAAGAAACUAAGAUUGCAAUCUGGAUAUUGCGAAUAUAAGAUGAAAGCUUUAUUGAUCAAGGUGGGGUUCUGUGACGCCUUUGUCUGGUCGUUGAACACAAACGAAGUACGCGAAGUUGCAGCUAUGGCGAACUUUUAAUCUAAACAAAACCCAAAGUCUAAACGAUGCCCUAAGGGCUGUAUAUAUGGAGGAAGAGGGGGAGAAUUUCGUGGCCCUUGGUGGAGGGGGCCGAAAUCAACCCUAUCUCUUGUUUCCCCACACAUACGGACUCUCAAAAUAGCCUAUACUUAUGUAUUUCGAAAUUACAUGGGCCUGGCCCAAUAAUAAGGUGACGCAGCACCUAAAAUAGCCUCGGGACGAAAUUUAUGAAGUGGCGUCUUGUAUAUUUCGUCCAAGGCUUCAUGCACCCAUUAUGGUGGCUUCAAAGUCCUGAAAUCAUCACUUGUAACUCCGUUCUUGUUUCCCUUGCGCAUGCCAUCAUCUCCAUGCUUGUUCUUGCUCCAAUGUUCAUCCUUCUCCAAGCUAGGCCCUUCAUUUGUAAGCAAAACAAAUGUAUCCAAUUUAGGCAGCAUCAUAUUCUCAUGAACAUUAGAAUCAUUACCAAGAAACGAAAGUACGUGGUAAUUUAGUUGGCGUGCACGAGCUCUAGUAAUUGGUCCAGUAUGUAUAGCAGCAGGGACUGUGGGUGUAACAAUUGUAUUGAUGUCCUCAUCAAAUCAACACACAUACGUGAUGUACCAUCCUUUUUCGGCACUAGAAUAAUAGGAACAGCACAAGGACUAAGGGAUUCGCGUAUAUAACCUUUAUCGAGAAGCUCUUGUACUUGACGCAUAAUCUCCUUCGUCUCCUCUGGAUUGGUACGGUAUGGUGCACGGUUUGGCAGUGAAGCACCGGGAAUUAAGUCAAUCUGAUGCUCAAUCCCUCGAAUAGGCGGUAAUCCCGGUGGCACGUCUUGUGGAAAAACGUCAGCGAACUCCUGCAAAAUGUUAGUGACAGUAGGAGGCAAAGAGGAAGGCACGUCCUCGAAUGAAAAUAAUGCCUCUUUGCACACAAAAGCAUAGCAAACAGAUUUGCUGAAAUCUAGCUCAUCAAUAUCAGAUUUGGUGGCAAAUAAACAUGCACUUUUCAAUUUAAUUUCAGAAGCAACACUAGAUGGUUUAUUAUUAGGCUUCAUUUGUUGCUCAAAUUCUUUUGCCACAAUCUGAUUUUCACUCUUAUUCUUCUCCUGUUGUGCUCUAUUAGCUCUAUUAAUAUCAUCUUUCAAAAUGGAAUCAGGAGUCAUAGGAAGCAAAGUAAUAUUUUUAUCCUUAUGAACAAGAGUAUAGUGAUUGUUUCUACCAUGGUGUACAGAAUUUUUAUCAAAUUGCCAUGGUCUACCAAGUAAUAAGGAACAUGCUUGCAUAGGUACCACAUCACAAUCAACAUAAUCAGCAUAUGUAGAGAUACUACAAUGCACACGAACAGUACGUGUUACCUUAACCUUGCCGCUGUUGUUGAACCAUUGGAUGUAGUAAGGAUGUGGAUGUGGUCUUGUGGUGAGAGAAAGCUUCUCCACCAUCUCCAUGCUAGCCAAGUUGUUGCAGCUCCCUCCGUCUAUUAUGACGCGCACAGAACGUUCCUUCACAACUCCCUUGGUAUGGAACAAAUUGUGCCUCUGAUUUUGCUCAGCUUGUGUGACCUGCACACUCAAAACACGUUGAACAACUAAACAUUCAUACCUGUCAGCGUCUUCAGGAGCCAUGUAUUGCGUCUCAUGAUCAGAAUCAUCUCCACCAUGUUCUUCACGUGUAAUAAGAGCCAAUGUCUCCUCAUCAUAGUCACUAGCGGACUCAUAUCCACCAUCCGCGGUAGCAAUCAUCACACGCGGAGAUUUGCAUUCUCUCGCAUAAUGACCUCCUCCCUUACAACGAUGACAAAUAAUAUCACUUGUGUGCCCUGUUGAUGCCAUGGAAGAAGAAGAACGCUGUGCAGGCCCCGCAGGUGCGCUCUUGGCAGAUAAUGGUGGUUGUGCCUGUUUUCUUGUAUCACGGCUGGAGGUGGCACCGGAUGGAGGUGCUGGUGCAGUUGAAGUAGAAGAUGCACGUGGUGUCCAUGAUGAAGGUCGGCCUGCAGAAAAGUUAGUUCGCCCCAAUGCUUGUCGAUCCUGCACUUCACGUUCAGCUUUACAAGCAAGAUGGAAUAAACGAGUGAUAUUAGUAUACUCCUUAUAGUCUAGAAUGGUCUGAAUCUCUCUAUUUAAUCCACCCAGAAAACGUGCAAGCAUAGCUUCAUUCUCCUCAACUAUACCACAUCUAAUCAUGCCAGUUUGUAAUUCCUGAUAAUAUUCUUCUACAGAAUUUUUUCCUUGUCUUAAACGCUGCAAUUUUUGAAGCAAUUCACGUUGAUAAUAUGGUGGAACCCAACGCGUACGCAUAGCAGUUUUCAAAGCAGCCCAAGUAGUUGGAAUAGGAUAUAAUCUACAAUGUUCAGACCACCAUACACAUGCAAAACUAGUGAAAGCACAAACAGCAGCAGCAACUCGUCUCUCCUCAGGAUAUUGUAAACAUGUAAAUCGUUGUUCAGUUUCUAACUCCCAAGUAAGAUAUAUAUCAGGAACAUAUCUACCCUCAAAUGGUGGAAUAUUCAAUUUCAGUUUAGGAAUAUGGACAUCAUCGUGUACCUGAGGUGGUGGUGCAGGCCUACCAUGACGAAUAUAUACCUGAGGUCGACCUGCUGGUGGUGGUGCUGGUGGCUGCUCGUAGAUCUGAUUUUGAUCAACCUCAUCCUCAUAAUCGCCCGCAUACUCAUCAUCCUCCUGGGUACCAGCAACAGCAGUAGCAGGAGCCACAGAAGUAUCAACAGCAGCACCAACAGUUUGGCCAAAUGCAAGAGGAACACGGCUCGCUCGGCGAAGGUCUGCUUCGCGACGUGGAGGUAGUCGUUGUUGUUGUUGUUGGAGAGGUGCGUUAGGUGCAGCGGGUGGUGGUGGUGGAAGACGCGCGAGCAAUUCAUUAAAUCUGUUAUCGAGCUUUGUUUCGAACGUCUUCUCAAGGCCAGUGAUCUUCUCCAUGGCCUCUUCAAAAUUGUUCAGCACAUCUUGCACCUGUUCAGUCAUCAUUUGCUGAAACUUAUCAUGAAGCUCCUUGUUCGAUAAAUUCUCCCAGUCAAUCUCGUCGGCUUGUGAUCCUGGCAUGGUUAGCAGCAAUAGAAACACACAAGAAUAUGAUCCUACAGACUAUUAAGAAGUGGUGGUGGUGUAUCACAAAUCCGUCAAGCAAAUCUCAAAUUCUUACCAGUUCUUACCCAGCAGCAGGCGGUGAUCGGCAACCGUUGUAGUCAAAAACUCUCAAAGCUUGGAUAGAGCGAUUACCAGGGAGAGUCGAACACACGACGUAGAUGUAUGUGGAGCUGGGAAGGCUUAUAGUAUGGUAGCAAAAAGGGUCAGCAAUAAUCAAUUCAGAGAUGCAAAGUUGAAUAAACGCUCAACGACGGUACUGUGCUGGUCCUAGGCUAGACUGUGCUAGAGACGCGAGCCUAGAACACCAACAAAAUCACGGCGCGGCACGUAAACAAGGGAAAAGCACACUCUGAAUUUUUUUUCGCUCUUUUUUUUUGCGCUCUUUUUUUUGCGCUGUUUUUUUUUGCGAAAAAGCACUAUAAUGGCGAGUGUCUCAAAACUCUUCCUAGCUCAAACUGACAGGAUGGGCACGAAAUUUUUCGACCAAUUUUUUUUUUCGACUGCCCGGACCCAAAAACUGGAAACGGGUCAAAAAAAACUUCCUAUAAUGGCACCUGUCUCAAAACACUCAGAAACACCUAAAAAUAGGAUAGCCAGAAAAUUUUUCGAAAAAUGCGUUUUCGAAAAAUUUUGGGCCUAAACGGAGCGUGGCUACCCGACUCCGGCAAGGAAACACGAAUCGGAAUCUAGAUGGAUCCCGAAAACAAACCUAAUAAGCAAAGAACUCGGAUUGGUGGUGGAUAUAUGGUGGUGGUAUAUGGCAGCGGUGGUGGUAGCGGUGGUAGUAUAUGGAUAUGGAUCGGUGGUGGUAUAUGGACACGGAUUGGUGGUGGUAUAUGGAUACGGAUUCGGUGCGGUGGUGGUAGAUGGCAGGGGCGAUGAUGAUGGUGCGGCGGCGGCGUGACAACUUAUGACCAGAACUCGAAACUCUAAAAGACUAGACUCUAAGACCAGCAACUAGACCGACGAUGCAACCGCAAAUUCAACAAAGCAAAACCCUAAAAAGAUUAUGCAAAGGCUCAGAUUGGUUCGGAUAUGAUGAACUAACCCUAAUUUUUUUGUGUGGCUUUUUCGUGGACUGUAGGUAUGAAGAACAGACUCGAUCUAAACUACGAAAAACUGUAAAAUCUCACCGAGCAACCUGGAAAUCUGAUACCACUUGAUAGAGGCAAAGGUGUCCCGUCUUUCGAUGAGAUGAUGGAUAUCGCUUUGGUGGCAGUCGACUUUGACGAUCCGACUACGAACGUGCGAGGACGUCGCGCCUUAGCAAUCGCUAAACCAACUCCGAGAGGUUAUUGACCACGCCGGAGCACGAUCAACCUGACCACGAGGGUCUGUUUCCUGCGAGCAAACGAAGAACAAGCAAGAAACUGAGAUUGCAAUCUGGAUAUUGCGAAUAUAAGAUGAAAGCUUUAUUGAUCAAGGUGGGGUUCUGUGACACCUUUGUCUGGUCGUUGAACACAAACGAAGUACGCGAAGUUGCAGCUAUGGCGAACUUUUAAUCUAAACAAAACCCCAAAGUCUAAACGAUGCCCUAAGGGCUGUAUAUAUGGAGGAAGAGGGGGGAAUUUCGUGGCCCUUGGUGGAGGGUCCGAAAUCAACCCUAUCUCUUGUUUCCCCACACAUACGGACUCUAAAAAUAGCAUAUACUUAUGUAUUUCGAAAUUACAUGGGCCUGGCCCAAUAAUAAGGUGACGCAGCACCUAUAAUAACCUCGGGACGAAAUUUAUGAAGUGGCAUCUUGUAUAUUUCGUCCAAGGCUUCAUGCGCCCAUUAUGGUGGCUUCAAAGUCCUGAAAUCAUCACUUGUAACUCCGUUCUUGUUCCCCUUGCGCAUGCCAUCAUCUCCAUGCUUGUUCUUGCUCCAAUGUUCAUCCUUCUCCAAGCUAGGCCCUUCAUUUGUAAGCAAAACAAAUGUAUCCAAUUUAGGCAGCAUCAUAUUCUCAUGAACAUUAGAAUCAUUACCAAGAAACGAAAGUACCUGGUAAUUUAGUUGGCGUGCACGAGCUCUAGUAAUUGGUCCAGUAUGUAUAGCAGCAGGGGUUGUGGGUGUAACAAUUGUAUUGAUGUCCUCAUCAGUAAAUGUUCCAAAUGUUCUUCCAAAGAUCUGCUAUAAAUCAGUAUAUCAUCAAAAUAGACUACCACAAAUCGUCCAAUGAAAGCACGUAAAACUUCGUUCAUUAAUCUCAUGAAAGUACUAGGUGCAUUAGUUAACCCAAAAGGCAUGACUAACCACUCAUAUAAUCCAAACUUAGUUUUAAAUGCUGUUUUCCAUUCAUCUCCCAAUUUCAUACGAAUUUGAUGGUAGCCACUACGCAAAUCAACUUUGGAGAAUAUUGUAGAGCCACUCAAUUCAUCAAGCAUAUCAUCUAGCCUAGGAAUAGGAUGACGAUAACGAAUAGUAAUAUUAUUAAUGCCUCUACAAUCAACACACAUACGUGAUGUACCAUCCUUUUUCGGCACUAGAAUAAUAGGAACAGCACAAGGACUAAGGGAUUCGCGUAUAUAACCUUUGUCGAGAAGCUCUUGUACUUGGCGCAUAAUCUCCUUCGUCUCCUCUGGAUUGGUACGGUAUGGUGCACGGUUUGGCAGUGAAGCACCGGGAAUUAAGUCAAUCUGAUGCUCAAUCCCUCGAAUAGGCGGUAAUCCCGGUGGCACGUCUUGUGGAAAGACGUCAGCGAACUCUUGCAAAAUGUUAGUGACAGCAGGAGGCAAAGAGGAAGGCACGUCCUCGAAUGAAAAUAAUGCCUCUUUGCACACAAAAGCAUAGCAAACAGAUUUGCUGAAAUCUAGUUCAUCAAUAUCAGAUUUGGUGGCAAAUAAACAUGCACUUUUCAAUUUAAUUUCAGAAGCAACACUAGAUGGUUUACUAUUAGACUUCAUUUGUUGCUCAAAUUCUUUUGCCACAAUCUGAUUUUCACUCUUAUUCGUCUCCUGUUUUGCUUUAUUAGCUCUAUUAAUAUCAUCUUUCAAAAUGGAAUCAGGAGUCAUAGGAAGCAAAGUAAUAUUUUUAUCCUUAUGAACAAGAGUAUAGUGAUUGUUUCUACCAUGGUGUACAGAAUUUUUAUCAAAUUGCCAUGGUCUACCAAGUAAUAAGGAACAUGCUUGCAUAGGUACCACAUCACAAUCAACAUAAUCAGCAUAUGUAGAUAUACUAAAAUGCACACGAACAGUACGUGUUACCUUAACCUUGCCGCUGUUGUUGAACCAUUGGAUGUAGUAAGGAUGUGGAUGUGGUCUUGUGGUGAGAGAAAGCUUCUCGACCAUCUCCAUGCUAGCCAAGUUGUUGCAGCUCCCUUCGUCUAUGAUGACGCGCACAGAACGUUCCUUCACAACUCCCUUGGUAUGGAACAAAUUGUGCCUCUGAUUUUGCUCAGCUUGUGUGAUCUGCACACUCAAAACACGUUGAGCAACUAAACAUUCAUACCUGUCAGCGUCUUCAGGAGCCAUGUAUUGCGUCUCAUUAUCAGAAUCAUCUCCACCAUGUUCUUCACGUGUAAUAAGAGCCAAAGUCUCCUCAUCAUAGUCACUAGCGGACUCAUAUCCACCAUCCGCGGUAGCAAUCAUCACACGCGGAGAUUUGCAUUCUCUCGCAUAAUGACCUCCUCCCUUACAAUGACGACAAAUAAUAUCACUUGUGUGCCCUGUUGAUGCUAUGGAAGAAGAAGAACGCUGUGUAGGCCCCGCAGGUGCGCUCUUGGCAGAUAAUGGUGGUUGUGCCUAUUUUCUUGUAUCACGGCUGGAGGUGGCACCUGAUGGAGGUGCUGGUGCAGUUGAAGUAGAAGAUGCACGUGGUGUCCAUGAUGAAGGUCGGCCUGCAGAAAAGUUAGUUCGCCCCAAUGCUUGUCGAUCCUGCACUUCACGUUCAGCUUUACAAGCAAGAUGGAAUAAACGAGUGAUAUUAGUAUACUCCUUAUAGUCUAGAAUGGUCUGAAUCUCUCUAUUUAAUCCACCCAGAAAACGUGCAAGCAUAGCUUCAUUCUCCUCAACAAUACCACAUCUAAUCAUGCCAGUUUGUAAUUCCUGAUAAUAUUCUUCUACAGAAUUUUUUCCUUGUCUUAAACGCUGCAAUUUUUGAAGCAAUUCACGUUGAUAAUAUGGUGGAACCCAACGCGUAUGCAUAGCAGUUUUCAAAGCAGCCCAAGUAGUUGGAAUAGGAUAUAAUCUACAAUGUUCAGACCACCAUACACAUGCAAAACUAGUGAAAGCACAAACAGCAGCAGCAACUCGUCUCUCCUCAGGAUAUUGUAAACAUGUAAAUCGUUGUUCAGUUUCUAACUCCCAAGUAAGAUAUAUAUCAGGAACAUAUCUACCCUCAAAUGGUGGAAUAUUCAAUUUCAGUUUAGGAAUAUGGACAUCAUCGCGUACCUGAGGUGGUGGUGCAGGCCUACCAUUACGAAUAUAUACCUGAGGUCGACCUGCUGGUGGUGGUACUGGUGGCUGCACGUAGUGGUGAUUUUGAUCAACCUCAUCCUCAUAAUCUCCCACAUAAUCAUCCUCCUCCGCAUCAGCAGCAGGAGCCACAGAAGUAUCAACAGCAGCACCAACAGUUUGGCCAAACGCAAGAGGAACACGGCUUGCUCGGCGGAGGUCUGCUUCGCGACGUGGAGGUAGACGGAUUCGGAGCGGUGGUGGUAGAUGGCAGGGGCGAUGAUGAUGGUGCGGCGACGGCGUGACAACUUGUGAACAGAACUCGAAACUCUAAAAGACUAGACGCUAAGACCAGCAACUGAACACGACGAUGCAACCGCAAAUUCAACAAAGCAAAUACAGAAAAGAUUAUGCAAGGCUCAGAUUGGUUCGGAUGGGAUGAACUAACCCUAAUUUUUUUUUGGCUUUUUCGUGGACUAUAGGUAUGAAGAACAGACUCGAUCUAAACUACGAAAAACUGUAAAAUCUCACCGAGCAACCUGGAAAUCUGAUACCACUUGAUAGAGGCAAAGGUGUCCCGUCUUUCGAUGAGAUGAUGGAUUUCGCUUUGGUGGAAGUCGACUUUGACGAUCCGACUACGAACGUGCGAGGACGUCGCGCCUUAGCAAUCGCUAAACCAACUCCGAGAGGUUAUUGACCACGCCGGAGCACGAUCAACCUGACCACGAGGGUUUGUUUCCUGCGAGCAAACGAAGAACAAGCAAGAAACUGAGAUUGCAAUCUGGAUAUUGCGAAUAUAAGAUGAAAGCUUUAUUGAUCAAGGUGGGGUUCUGUGACGCCUUUGUCUGGUCGUUGAACACAAACGAAGUACGCGAAGUUGCAGCUAUGGCGAACUUUUAAUCUAAACAAAACCCAAAGUCUAAACGAUGCCCUAAGGGCUGUAUAUAUGGAGGAAGAGGGGGGAAUUUCGUGGCCCUUGGUGGAGGGGUCCGAAAUCAACCCUAUCUCUUGUUUCCCCACACAUACGGACUCUAAAAAUAGCCUAUACUUAUGUAUUUCGAAAUUACAUGGGCCUGGCCCAAUAAUAAGGUGACGCAGCACCUAAAAUAGCCUCGGGACGAAAUUUAUGAAGUGGCAUCUUGUAUAUUUCGUCCAAGGCUUCAUGCACCCAUUAUGGUGGCUUCAAAGUUCUGAAAUCAUCAUUUGUAACUCUGUUCUUGUUCCCCUUGCGCAUGCCAUCAUCUCCAUGCUUGUUCUUGCUCCAAUGUUCAUCCUUCUCCAAGCUAGGCCCUUCAUUUGUAAGCAAAACAAAUGUAUCCAAUUUAGGCAGCAUCAUAUUCUCAUGAACAUUAGAAUCAUUACCAAGAAACGAAAGUACCUGGUAAUUUAGUUGGCGUGCACGAGCUCUAGUAAUUGGUCCAGUAUGUAUAGCAGCAGGGGCUGUGGGUGUAACAAUUGUAUUGAUGUCCUCAUCAGAUUUUGAUCAACCUCAUCCUCGUAAUCUACCGCAAAAUCAUCAUCCUCCGCAUCAGCAGCAGGAGCCACAGAAGUAUCAACAGCAGCACCAACAAUUUGGCCAGGUGCAAGAGGGAGACGGCUCGCUCGGUGGAGGGCUGUUUCGCAACAUGGAGGUAGUCAUUGUUGUUGUUAUUGUUGUUGUUGUUGUUGUUGUUGUUGUUGUUGUUGUUGUUGUUGUUGUUGUUGUUGUUGUUGUUGUUGUAGGGGUGUGUUAUGCGCAGCCGGUGGUGGUGGUGGAAGACGCGCGAGCAAUUCAUUAAACUUGUUAUCGAGCUUUGUUUCGAACGUCUUCUCCAUGCCAUCUAUCUUCUCCAUGGCCUCUUCAAAUCUAUUUAGCACAUCUUGCACCUGUCCACUCAUCAUUUGCUGAAAUUUAUCAUGCAACUCCUUAUUCAUCAUGUUCUCCCAGUCAGUCUCGUCGGCUUGUGAUCCUGCCAUGGUUAGCAGCAAUAGAAACACACAGGAAUAUGAUCCUACAUACUACUAACAAGAGGUGGUGGUGGGUGUCACAAAUCCAUCAAGAAAAUCUCAAAUUCUUACCAGUUCUUACCCAGCAGCAGGCGGUGAUCGGCAACCGUCGUAGUCAAAACUCUCAAAGCUUGGAUAGAGCGAUUACUAGGGAGAGUCAAACGCACGACGUAGAUGUAUAUAUAUAAGGACGACGAGAGUGGAUAAUAAUUUUUUACAUAAUUAGGAAGAUAAUUAAAAAACCCACAUGCGGCUACGCCCCAAAUACACAAGGGCAAAAGAAGAAGGAAGACGCAUACAACGACCUGGCUCGUUGAUCUCUACUUUCUUUAUGCGUUGCAGGUCACGGAGACUAGUUCUCGCGGCGGGCGAUGAUCUCUUUCAUCAGUUUCAUGUCCUUAAUACGCUGAUUGGCAGCAUCCAUGGAUUCCUCCACCAGCCUGUUGCGCUCGAUGCGGAGCAUGGCAUUCUCGUCCAUAAGUUUCUAGAUGAUGACGCCCAUCCUCUGCAACAAGGCAGCGGUCUCCUCCUCCUUCUUUGCCCUUUCGGCGAUCUUCACCCUUAGCAGGUCGGGCUCGCCCCGGAGAUUCGCAUUGCCCUCCACUAGUUGUCGGAUGACACUGGUAGCCUCGUCCUGCAACAUCGCCCAGCCGGAGAUCUGAUCCAUAUGGCUAUGGACCAUCGCAUGCAUGCGCCUGUAAGAGUCCUCGCCUGCCCGCGAGAAAUUUUCCCAGGCCGCCGCGGCGCGACAGGACAUCUCUGUUGCUUCCGCGGUGUGGCCGGACCAGUCUGCUACAUCGAUGGCGCAGCGGGACCUCUGUGCUGCUACUGCUGCGGGGCUGGACAUGUCGGCUACUUUGGCGGCGAGGCGGGACAUCUCUCAUGCUUCCUCUUCCAUGCUCACCUCUCCCUGGUGGAAAUCUCUUGACCCAGAACUCAUGCUGGCUAUGGCUUGAUUGACUUGAUUGUUUUUUGUGGAUGAGGAGUUGAGGAGGAAUGUGUAGUCAUCUUAGCAUAGUAGUAUUUAUAACCGAGUACUACUAAUACGCUCCUAAGUGGGAAACCAUUUAGGUUGUGAUUGGUGUGAACAGGUUUGCAAUUAAAUAUAUCAUGGUAGUAGUAAUUUGGCAUGUGAUGAGAUGCGCUCAAAAUUUAUUGACAGUUCUAUUUUUGAAGUGCGGCACUAUUCCCGAAUGGCGUAACGUCGGCACGUUUUAUUGGCCGUGGUGUAGCAUAUGCCAUGGUAAUAGUUCUUUUUCUACUGCUGUGUACGUGCAAAAACUGGCACCGUCAGAUACAUAUCUUACGCUUGGCGUUCGACAGGAAUAGCCUCGUGGCGAGCUAUAGACUAGUCUUUUUUCAGACGCAUUACACCUAUCUCUCGGGACAUCUCACACGCACCAUCACUUCUCCCUAGGUCGAUGCCACCCACAUACACUUGUACUAUGAGAAGAGGUUCACGCAUGCACUCGUCCUCUCUCACACACGCAUCUGUAGCUAUGAAUUGUAGUGUUCUCAACCAUCCGAUUGGCUCUAUCAUAGGUUUCACGUUGCUCCUUGGCCUUGAGAUUGAGAAGUUUAAAACGCGGAGGCUAAGAUGGAGGCGUGAGGUUUUGGUUAAUGUGCGGGCCGCACACGUCACCAACAUGACACGAGCUUCGUCUCCCUGGUGCGCAUGCAGUCGGGUGAGUUGUCCAAGUAUAGACACAACCAGGCCCUCGUUGGUAUCCGCGCCUCGACUUUGGCUGGUCAUAGUGGAGAGUAACAUAGACUAGUUACUAGUCUAUGUUACUAGUACCUUCAUAGUGGGUAGUGUCAUAUAGUACAUGCAUAAUUUGGCGACGAGCACUCUCUAUUGUACCACUUUUUAUUAUUUAAUUUCAUCUUGUUAGUUUUGCUCCAUGGCGCAAUCCAUCGAUACUACUAAUGUACAAAUGUAUACAUUUUUUAAAUGGCUAGAGGGCGGGGCAGUCUAGCUUGGUCCUUUUCACGAGAGGCGAGGGCCUUUGUGAUUUGACGGCUCAUUACUGCUGGAAGGCGGGGCCUUGUGAUUUGACUGCUCGUAUAAAUGUGCCGAUGACCUGAGGAGGAGCAAAGAACCAUGCGGUAUACUCAAGUUUUCCACUGGAGUAGUACUAGUACGACGGAGGAGCACGAAACACGGCAGCCUAGUGCCAUAUGGCGAUAAAAAUGAUCUAAUUUGCUAGUCAUCUCAUUGUUAGCAUUGUUCUAUUCAUGCCUCGCAGAAAACGUGACACGUGCGGCGAAACACCCGAAGCAAAAGAAGAAACACAGGAGAAAAAGAAGAAGGAAGAUUAUCACCCAAAUGAUCUAAUUCGCCGCGGAGUCGUAACUGCUUCUUCAUCGCCUCCACGACCACCAUCUCCUUGCGCGUCUCCUUCGCCAUCUUCUUCAUUCUGUCCGUGACGCGGGAUUUCUCGACGCGAGCCUUCAUCAUCUGUUCCAUGACCGCAUUACGUACCUUGACAGCAGCCGGGUGCUCGAUGCGGAGCUUUGCCAACUCCUCCUUCUGUUCCAUGACGAGGGCCUGCAACAUCUUCAUUGAGGAACUACUACUCUCAUGCAGCUUCUUAAAGCCGGCGUUCUUCUCCUUCAGCAGGUCGAGCUCGUGGCAGAGCUUCGCCUUGUCCUCCUGAAGUUGCGGGAUUUCUCUAGUCGCCUUCUUCUCUGAGGAAAUGCUCUUCUUGAGCAGCAUCACCAAGCCGGCGGUCAACUCCCCCUGCUUAUUGAGCUCAGCGUGCAUGUCGUCGAGGCUCUCCUUCAGCAGCGCCACCAAGCCGUGGAUGAACUCCUUUUGCUUAUUGAGGUGCUUAUUGAGCUGAUCGGGCAUGCCGUCGAGGGAUAACGACUCCAGCGCCACCACCUCGGCAUGUUCGCCUCCACGGCUAGGGCGCUCCUUGGAGCCAUCGCCAGCCCAUGAGAGAUCUUUCAAGGUCUCUGCGUGGCAGCAAGCCCUCUCUUUUUUCCACAGCCUUGGUUGCCGCUCCCUUGUCACGAGUAGUUCUCGACCUAGAGCUCUGCGCACCAGACAUGGCAAGGACGGACGAAGAAGAAGCACUUAUGAGGAGGAAAGGUAGAGUAAUUUUCGGUUAGGUAGUUCCCCUUUUUAUAACCUAAGUACUAGCACUAGUACUAAUACCUGCAUAGUAGGAACACGUUCAGGUUUGGUACAUACUAAUAGGUGUGAGCAGGCUUGCACUUAAUUGUAAGUACUUUCAAAUGUGAUGGGAACAAGGUAAAGAUAAAUUGAUGGGUUUUGGUUUCGAGGCCCGAAACGGCUUCCAAUAAAUUUAGUGGAACAUAAAUUUCAAGUAGACUACACUGCUCAGAUGCGUAAAUAUUAUGUUACUAUUAAAAAUUAGCACAAAAUACAAAGGAGACCAAUGGGAGUACUAAUAGCAACCCAUGACUUAACUACUCGCAUGGGCGCAGUGAAGUAGUAAUGUUUUCUUCCGCCCUCACGUCCACUCAAUUUGCAUGCGCUGUAUUAAUUGACCAUCAAUGAAGUGAAGGACUUUACACACGUCAAAUUAUCACAUGGGGUGGAUUUUGGUACAAAAUUGCGUCAGCCCAUGUACCUGCGUGUGUGUGCGAGGGAAUGAGUGUGUGCCUGGCAUGUGUGCACAUCUUCUCUUCGUGCAUGUACCGCCAGUGUGGCUCAGGGAGGACGAGUAUAUUCUUCUAGAACCAGCAGCACGUCACUGUGAUCAAUCCACACAAGGGUGUCGCGACAACGCCUCCACAUGUGCCACGUGGCUUCAUGAACUGUAAGAGAGACACUAUGUAGCGUGCCAUUGUGUUUUGCACAUACUCGAAGUACUAGUAAGGUACACAUGCAUUGCACGCGUCAUAUUUUGCAACCAAAUUAUGAAAAUACCGCACUAUAGCAUAUAAGAUCUAAGUCAUAUAUGCCUGAUGUAGACCUUCGUUUAAUUCUUAUAGUUCAUCUCAUUCAAAAUCAAUUAGUUUUUUAUGAAAAACCUAGGGCCUCUUCGAUUCGUAGAUUUCCAAAACGCGGGAAUAGGAAGAACAUGGAAUUAGAGUGGAAUGUCAUCUUGAAUCCUACAGGAUUGUAUGAGUGUUUGAUUGUGCAUAGAAAAAACGCAGAAUUUUUUCAAAGAGAUUUGAGUGGAUGGGAUGUUUCCUAUGAAAUCUAGUGCAAAUGAAUCAUAUGGAAAAAUUCCUAUGGUUUACUACGAAUGAAACAACCAAGAUAGAAAAAAUUCCUAAGGAUUAGAAUCCUCCAAAAUUCCUUUGAGAAUCCUUUGAAUCAAACAAGCCCUUAAUCUAUUUUAUGAUUCAUGGAAUUGUGUGUUGUAAAGCAUAAAGUAAAAAACAAAUAAUGGCAAUUCAACUAGAAAAAAAGUUUGGGCAGUUAUUAAUCGGAAGAUUCUAGAACAAAGGAGAAUCACUAUUACUUUGGUAUUUGUGCAUUAUGCUUAAGUUCAACCAUCGAGUCUGCUAGAUUGUACAUGUGGCAAAAUCCUGUGUGGGGCUAGAAGAUGGUGCGAGGGGCCGAGUGGAGGGAGACUAUGAAAGAGUGCACAACUGCGAGAUCGAUAUUUAGAGAGAGGGGGCGAGAACGUGCGCUGUUGCGCAGUGGCAGAGCCAUGAAAAAUGUCCCAUGAGCUAGGGGGCCAUGCAUUGCUAAUCCUUUACGAGGAGGGCCAAUUCAUCAACGUAAACCAUUUUACCAGCAAUUGUCUAACGAUCACAUUCAUAUUAGCCUCGAUAUAUUGUGAUGUUGGGGGGGGGGGCAGGGCCCUUGCUGCCCCUGUCUUCGCCAUUGUGCGCGUGUCUGAGAGAUGAAGCAGAAGGCAUGGAUGUUGAGAGGGGGGUGUUGGAUAUAUAAUUAAUGUGGGUGUAUUAGCUAUAUAUGUAAUCCUAUAUAGAGAGGUAUAGAUUGAAUGAUGUGGACGUGGGAAAGAGGGUGAGACCUCACUAGGUAUAUAGAUUGAUCGGUUUAUGUGGAAAACUAUGAAAGACCUAGCUAUAUACACACACAUAGAGGAACAUCGAUCGUUGCACAUGCACGUGAGAGAUAAAGAAUGCCCGAUAUGAUGGAGAGGGCGGUGUGUGUGUGUGCGCCUUCAUGGGAGACCGACUUGAAGAAAAAUAUUGCAUGUGUGCGAUGGAUAAUGCCGACUGAUAGUGUGUGUGCAUACAUGCAUGAGAGAAAGUUAGUGGUACAAUUAUAAAGAGAAGACCAAUGUGAGGGUGUAAAAUACUAGAUGAGGUCAUAAUCAAUGUAAAAUUGAAUUCAAAUCUUUACCUAAUAUUAAAAGACGGAGCCUUUCAUAGUUCUUCAUAUGUCACCCUUUAAUAUUCGUUGAUUUUAUGUCAACUAUAACAAUUGACGGCUGAGAUAAACCAUGUAUUGUGUCUGGUCGUCUAUGGUCGUGGCAGUUUUGCAAAAAGGUCCCUGUUUUAGUGGCGCUGGAAAAAUGUUUCGAUUUUACAAAAAAGACCCUAUAGUCAUUUGAAUUCAGUCAGCAAUCCUCCCCUUCGUCUUAUCCAUUAUGUCCUGCGCCGAUGGCUUCGUCCAUUCCGUCGUGUGCCGGCGGCCGCCGUGCCUCGCAAGGGAGGAUGGAGGACGCUCGCCGGGACUAUGUAGGAUGUUCGUCGGGGCGAAUGCAGCGGAGACGGCGCGGCGAGGUGGGGUCGUGGUGGUGCUUGUCCGGCCGUCGUGCCUCUCGCGGGAGGAUGGGCGACGCUCGUUGGGGCGUGUGCGGCAAACACGGCUUCUGGCGCAUGUCGAGGUGGAGCAGCGGCAUUGGUUGUCGGCCAACAUGAGGAGGCAAAGGCGGCCAAGGCAAUGAGGCACCGCGUCGGCUAGCGAAGUGGCGGCCAGAGCAGACGACGACGGGAAGGCAAGGAGGCACGGGCGUCGGAUAUUCAAGGGGUGGCUGGAGGAUAGGACGACGAGAGAAAAUCGACCAUGGAUGCGGAGGUGUUUGCAUCAGGUAGGAGCAGAGGCGACAACGGAGUGGAUUGGGCUUCAGCACUCGCACUGCUGGUGAAGAGAGAGCAUGCCCGGAGGAGGAAGGGUGAGUACGCUAUGCACCAACGCCGGCCGCGAGCACGCCCACUAUGAGUUGUCUGCCACUGCCAGUCGUCUCUGGCCUGCACCGUAGUAGGCUUCAGAAUCUCUGACGGACAUCCUGCUCCCAUGUUCGAUUUGAAUCUCUGACGCACAUCCUACUCCCGUGUCCUUCUCCAACAGAUAAAUCAAUUGAGUCCCGACCCGGAUUGGAGUUCGCUGCUAUAAGAAGGAAGUGUUCUUGGCCGGAAUCUCCAUCAGAAAAAACAUCAAAUCCCAGAAUUCUUGGUCUAGAGAAGCAUCAUUUCGCCUUUGAGUUCGCUGGAGGAAGAAGCACCAAGUUCGCCAGAGGUAGAAGAACGUUUGUCGAGCCAACCAAUAUCGCCAACGGUGGCUACACCAGAGGUAUGUGAUGCCUCGACCACCCUCAAAAACAGCCUUGUUGUUCUCCCUUCCCGUUCUUCUUGAGAUUGGUUGUAGCUAACUGAGUACCCUUAGUCAGUCCCUCAAGCUUUUGUGUGUUUAGAGAUUUAUUUAGAGAUGGUAACUGAGCACUAGGCUGUUAUCUGUGCUGUUUGAUUCUUUCCAUGCACUGUGGCUGGACAUGAUGUUGGUAAAUACACUAGAGAUCAUGGGCUGAGACAAUACAAUAGAGAUCAUGUCGAGGCUGGAAAAUUUGCUGAACUUGUGGUGCCUGUGUUCCUUCUCACAGUAGUUGUUUUAUGUGGUGAAAGUUUUAGAGGCCAAAUAACAGUUAUAUUGUUCCAGGAUUUUCAGUCCAAGCAAUUUUAUGUCUUGCAAGAAUUAUGUGGUUAAUAUUUCUGCAGAGUUUACAAACAAGAGUGAAACCAAUAAUGAUGAGUGAUGAUUACGGUAUGAUUGUUGGAUCAAUAAUUCAUAGCAAGGAAGCUAUUUUACUGGAAAAAGUAAAUCCAGUAUUAAACUUAGUAAAUCGUUGGGUGGAUCAGAUUAGAUGUGGCUUAAACCUUCGCCGCUCCCUGCCAUUUAGUAUCGGCCGGAGUCUGUUUGGGCUAACCAAUGUGGAGCAGAGUGGCAAUGGAGAUACCCAGUCUCACAUGCUUUAUUCUUCUUCAUGUAGUAUAACAGAGCUUGGUUGUAGCUAACUGUGCCCUCAGUCAGUCCCUCAACUUUUUGUGUCUUCAGAGAUUUAUUUAGAGAUGGUAAAAUAAAGAUCUUGAUGUAUCGACGGUUUGCGGUCAUGGGGCUGUUCUGUUACAGUUCAGGAUACUCAGUUUCCUCCUGCUGGUAUCAUCAUCUCCCUGUAAUGUGAUGUAGCACAGUACUAUGCACUUCAGCACUAAGCCAAGAACCUAAGCUAGCUUACUUGUGGGUCUGCUCCAGAUUUUGUCGAUUGUAUUUGUGUAUAAUUCGUGAGGGGUUAUAGAGAGUCAAUUAACAAGUCAAUUAAUACGAACAUGUUUGUCUCUACUGUCCUAUGAACAUACUCGCUAUAAGAACACUAAUUACAAGAAUAUGACGAUGCUAGGUGUUUAAGAUAUUUGAAUUUCCCUUCGGAGUGGACCUGGGAUAGUUCUGACAGAGUAUGGACUAGAAGACGGAGGAAACAAAAAUUAGGCGGUCGAAUUGGUUGUAUCUACCAUGUAUGUCUGGUGAGCUUUUAUCCCAUCGGAUGUUACUCUUGGUAGUCACAGGUGCACUUGCUUUGAGGAUGUGAGGUGUUAUAAUGGCUUCCUUUAUGGCACUUUCUAAGACGCGUGUUGACAAGCCCAGGGCUUAGUCAGGGAUGAUAAAUAAUGGUUCAAGAUUUUCGAAGUAGCUAUUGUGUUUUUUUUGGAAAAAGAUGUAAAAUCUACAGUCUCUGCAUCAAUUGAUGCAUCCAGCCAUCUUAUUAACGAUAAAUAAACAGAGUCUUAUGGUCACCUAUGAACCCAAAAUCAAAGUAGCUAUUUUAUGGGCUACUCCUUUUCAGUUACAACAUCUCUUUAUGAUAAUUUUGUUGCAUUGUGAAAUUACAAGUGGCCUUGAGCUGUUUGACAGGUAUUGGCCCAACAUGGCAGAAUAUAUAUCUUCCUCAUUUUACAACACAUAUCUUCCCUAUUACUCCCUCCGUCCCAUAAUAUAAGAACGUUUUUGACACAGAUAGUAAGAACGUUCUUAUAUUAUGGGACGGAGGGAGUAUAAUUUUAAUUAGUUGGGAUUCUUAUAGUGGUAAUCUUCCUCAUUUUGCAACAUAGGUCUUUUUAACUCUUCUAUUUUGUAUAUCGUUCUAUUAAAUAAUUGGAAUUCUUAUUUGUUGCAGGAUAACCUGUUGUGGACGAAGUGCAGAUGUUGAAAGUUUCAGUACAACAACUUCAUUUCGGUUGCAAAGUUUGCUUAAGUAACUUUUGGUUAGGAUGGUACAAUAGUUCAUCGUCUCUUAGCGCUGCGUAAACAAUUUAGGUUAUGGAUUUUGGUGGAUCUCUUUCUUAUUCUCGUGGCUGUUUUCUUAAUUUCUUUGGAUGGUCUCUUUACACGACUUUCAGAUUGAGCCCAUUUGUACCUGUCAAUCUUAUAGAUAUAUAUGUGGCUGGCUACACCUAUCCAUAUCUACUACCACAGUUACCAUCUUACUAUCUGUAUCAGCCAAAUUGUUCCAGGUCUUUCUAACUCUUUCAUGGAUAUCUUCUAUGAACCAGAGCACACUGUUCUGCACUCUGAGCAAGCGCCACUGAUGCUACAAUAUAUCAAAGGUACUGGUUUUUUUAGAUCUUUGACUAGAUAUAUUGGCUAACCAUGGAUCCAGAUUAUCUGUUUACUUUAUUUUGUUAUGAGCUUACAAACUAAUAGCCACGGGUCUUCUUUCCUUUUGCACUUUCUUGCAUCUUUCUUUAUACACCUCUUCUUUUUCCAAGCCAUCAGUUGCAAAUAUGCUGAACAUCUUUCAUUUUCUUUAUUUUCCACGUAGUUCUGAAAUUGUGAGCAUUCAUAUACAAUCUUUGGAUCAAAUAACAAAGGCAGCACACAUAAUUACAAGGUAAUAGAAAUUUCUUGGCCUUUUCUUUCUCUGUUCCUUUCUUUUUUGUGACAAUAUCAUCCAUGUCAUGAUCCUAACUUGACCAAACUAUAUUGUACUGUACUAGUGAACAUAUAGGCCUAAAGUACUAUAGAUAUACUUCGACAAAAUUUUUCUCAUACAUAUCCUAUGAGUGCUUUCAGCCCAUUUUAGAGUCAUGUCAAAUAUUUCUGUUGUUGACCAGAGAUACCAAUUUAUAUUCUCUUGAAUAAUUUUUCUUUAUGCAUCCAUACUGUUUUCAUACAUAUUAUGCAGUCUUCCUUAUGUACAUCCUAGCCUUUUCUUCUUUUGUUUAUAUAAUUUGAAAACUGUCAGCAAUCAUGUAAACUAUUUGGACCAAGUAGCAGCAGUGAUUGAAACAAGAGUGAAACAGCAAAAAAAUGUCUAUGCUAUUGUCAACUAUUUGUCUAGCCCUUUCUCACGUUAUUGUCCAUGCUAUACAUUCCAUCUCUGUUAAUUAUCCUGCUCUGAUGUACACACUUAUCAGUUAUCACAUAUUGUGCAGUUUGCACUAGUUGUUCUCCUAAAUACUCCUACAUUCGCUACAUUGUUGAUUAUUCCAAGGAGUAUUUUUUUGUUCUCUGCAUCAAUAUUAUUCCAUACGACUGUCUCCUUUUUCUUAAAGAAAUCAUCUGCUUUACACUGCCUGUCAUUCAUACUUGUUUGCUGUGAAAUUCCCCAGGACCAUAACGAAACCCAAUAAUGACUUCCACAAUAAUGUAUUCAUGGGCCACACACAUCAGCAUACAAGACUGCAAUGUGGCAUUAUCCAUUUAUCAUUGAGCCGCUUUCUCUAAUCUUCACGCAAGCACCCGAAGCAAUUAUUGCCGCCAUAAACGAGAGAUUCGACACACAUGUAGAUCCACACGUACACAGGAUGAAUGACCGAAGAAAAAGUGGUCCUCUCUCUAUUCCUGACCAUUUUAUAUUUCUUAGUUUUAUUUGCUUCUAUUUCCAAGUUCCUAAAACUGUAAUGCAAGUCGUUGAGUUUUUUCGUGUACAUGAAUUGAUCAUGUUUACGUUAUCAGUGUGAACAUACAAUACUACCCACAUCAAGUCGGAAUCGAAAGCGAAGAAAUGGCUAAUGUAGCCCUCACCGCCCACCUCUACAGCCCUCAGAUUUACUGCUUUCAAGAUUUUAACCAUUUUGCUAUUAUUAUUGCUACUGAUCGGGUUGGUGGUGACGUACCAGAUCAGAACGAAUGGCUAGAUGUGGAUCGAGGGUGCCGGCUCGGAAGGGUUAACCCUCACCGACGACCUCUCCUGCUGCUCGGUGGCGAGAUGUGAUCGCCCGUAGUGGUCCGAGGUACAAGAAGGACUCAAAAUGUGGUGUUUACUCAAUUGUGAAGCACAAGACAUUUCCUUAAGGGAUGCAUGAGGGUGGUCCGAUGAAACAAGUCUGCAACAUUAAGUCAAAAGUGAAAGGAGGGUAUGAGGGCGGUGUACAUAUGGACUAGGUGCAGGGUGUAGCUCAUGGAGGUUGGCCCUCAUGUCUAGCUCAAUGAGAUUAUAGUUUUAAAGAUUUAAAUAUUCCAUUGUGUUGGUGUGGUUCAAUGACAUGUGCGUCAUGUGGUGUCUGAACUCGUUGCCUUGGCACUGACCAUGUUCGGGCGCAUUGUGAUCAGGUGCUGACAGCGCAGCUGCUGACGAAGGUGGGAGGAGGAUAAGAAAUUACAUGGGUGGGGCACCAGUUUGAAAUAGAGGAUCCAGACACCGUGUGUUUUGAGUAGUGUUGGGCGUGUGUUUUCUUUCCCGUUGCAACGCAUGGGCAUGUUUACUAGUAUAUAUGAAUAAGAGAUCAUGAUGUUUGAAACCCAUGCAUGCAUGAAUAUAACGGAGAUCUGCGCGGUGUGGUUUGGAAACGAGCAUGCUGUAAUGUAUACACAUUGAACAAGGUCAGAUUGGUUUGAAUUUGAGAUACCGAUGGCAGACAUCAUUUGGCCACAUUGCAUCCGUGCAUGGACACACUAUUCUAAUUGGAGAUGAUGGGUGGCUUUCGCAUCACAUAUCUACAUCUAUACCCCUAUAUAUAUUAUAUAUUUUAUAUUUUUUAUAUAGUGUGCGGAUAACUUUAAUUUUGAAAGAUGGUUUUUGGAUGAGGCCAAUCUGAUGGUGCAGAGCUGGCAAAUUUAAGCACUACUCGCCGUUGGAUAUCAUCUAGAUUCCACCAGAUUUUGCCACAUGUACAAUCUAGAAGACUCUAUGGUUGAACUUAAGCAUAAUGCACAAACCUCAAAAUACAAGUACUUCUUCUUUGUUCUAGAAUCUUCCGUAUCAGAAUUGCCCAAAUGUUUUUCUACAUGAUUUGUUUUUACUUUAUGCCUUACAACGCACAAUUCCAUGAACUUAAAAUAGAUUAGCUUUCUUAUAAAAACUAGAUGAUUUUGAAUGAAAUGAACUAUAAGAAUUAAACGAACAUCUACAUCAUGCAUAUAUGAGUCAAAGCUUACAUGCUAUAAUGUGGUAUUUAUUCAUAAUUUGGUUGCCAAAUCUCAUAUGUGCAAUGCACGUGUACCUUACUAGUCUAAAUGGUGUCUGUGUGUGUUGUGCGUGUUAAACACAUUGUAUGUAGUAUUUCAUACUAGUCUAAAUUGUCUUUUUUUGGGUACACGUUAAGCUUGUUCUCCCGAAAUUUCAAGCCGCGCCUUGUUAUGCCAAAAUUUCAACCUAGUGUCUUUGUCUAUCGUGUUGCGAAACUCCCGCCGCUUCAACCCGCGCCUUGUUACCCCGAAAUAUUUAAGAUAAAUCUUUGUCUCGUUGUGCUCCGACAACUCCCUCCAUCUCAACCAGCGCCUUGCUAUUCCAAAAUUGCAACGCGCGUGAAAAAUCCCACCUCCUGUGAAAUCCCGACACGUGAAAUGCCCGUGAUACCCCUGAACCAAAAGAACCGCCUCAAAUCGGUGGGGGUACUUUCAUAACUUACCCCACAUUUCGGACAAGCGCGUCCCUAAGCCAUGGUUCCUCACUCCCAUCCCAUCCGCCCACCCAUUCGUACACCAAGGCAGGGAAAACUCGCGAAGCCCCAUACUCUCCUUCGUCCGCCACCCAGCCGAAGCCUCUUCCCCGACGACGUCGUCCACAGUAACACCUCGAUGUCCCUCAUCCAUCGUACUGGAUGAGGAUCCGUCGUCGAUCUGGUCGUCCCGCCGGUUCAGCCACCCCGUCCUCCACCUCCAAGGAGCUGCGCCGAUGUUCCCGUCGUCUUUCGCGCCACCUCCAUUCCCACACCGCCGUCUUCACCUGCACCAUCGGAAGAGCAUCAUCAUCACUGUUUCCUCGGAUGAAGCUACGGCCUAAUUGGCGCCACCAAAGAGGUUGUACACUAAUCGCCGCAUUUUUUCUUGAUUCGAUCUCAUGGUGCUGCCGGCGCUUGGUCCGAGCUGACACGACACGACUCCAUCCACGGCGGCGUCGCCGGCCACUUCCUCCACGGCAUCGCUCCCUCGGCGGCGACGUCCACAUAAGUAGGAGCUGCUGCUGCUUUAGCUCUCACUCGUGCUGCUGCUCUGCUCUUGCUCUCGGUCCCCUGCCUUGUAUGCUGUUGCUACUGCUCUCCCUCUUGCUCUUGCUUGCGAUGCUGCUCCGAUUUAGCUAAACUUCAGUCGACUGAAUCGACUUUUGGGUCAAUCGAUUUUCAGGGGGGGCUCGCCGGAGCUAAGGAAGAACCAGCCGCAGCGGGGAAGGGGGCUUGCCGGAGAGGUACCCCACUAUCUAUCUUAGGGUUCAGGGCGGGGGCGAUGGUCGCCGGCGGUGGUGGGGCGGUGGCGUGGGGAUCNNNNNNNNNNNNNNNNNNNNNNNNNNNNNNNNNNNNNNNNNNNNNNNNNNNNNNNNNNNNNNNNNNNNNNNNNNNNNNNNNNNNNNNNNNNNNNNNNNNNNNNNNNNNNNNNNNNNNNNNNNNNNNNNNNNNNNNNNNNNNNNNNNNNNNNNNNNNNNNNNNNNNNNNNNNNNNNNNNNNNNNNNNNNNNNNNNNNNNNNNNNNNNNNNNNNNNNNNNNNNNNNNNNNNNNNNNNNNNNNNNNNNNNNNNNNNNNNNNNNNNNNNNNNNGUGCUAGAGGGAUGGCCGGGGCGGCGGCGGAUCGGCAGUGGGGAGUGUUUUCGGGGCGGGCAGGGCGGCGCACCACCGCCACGAGCGGCUGUUUGGCCGGUGGUGGCUUGCGGCUCAGGGGGUGGAGGUUGAAGAUGAACUGCAGGCCCUUGAUUUCAUAUCCAACGGCUGCAAAAUCGACUGACCAAAGAUGAAAAAGUCAGUCGACUGACGUGUAGCCUCACCUCUAGUGCGUUCAGUUUUGACAGUAAAAUUCAUUUUCGACAGCAAAAUUUAGUUUCGAUGGUCAAGUUCAGUUUUGACAGUUAAAUUCAGUUUCGUCAGUUAAGUUCAGAGAUGAGCGGCUGAUGUAUUUUACAUCUAGAACUUUGUGGUUAUGUAUUUUACAUCAUCUAUUGGAGAUGCUAUUAGAAUUCCACUCAUGUUAACAUUGUCUCUCUUGUCCUGCUUAAGCCUCAGUGUCGUACAACUCACCGGAGCUGCUCCAACGACGAAACCCUCCAUCACAGCGGAGCAGUACCUCGGGCUCCAUCUCCAGACGCCUAAGAUCUUCUUCCCCUCCUUCGAUAGCCAAGUCAGCCGGAGCAUCUUCACCGGCCAACCCGAUCACGCUGAGAUCGACAUGGCUUCGCCAAAGAGGUUGUACACUUGUUGCAUAUCUUUUUUACUCUACAUGUUAUAUAUAUUGUCCACUGAGCACACAGAGUAACGGGACAUACGAUUAUUUUAUCCUACUAUAUGACAAGCAUUGAGGUACCAGGCAACUUAGCUAUCCGUGAUGGACUCUCUUGAACGCCAUCAUUAUUUAUCUCUGCGCGUUUGAGCUGUGCAUUUGUCGAUGGCCCUGGGAGUUGAGCUAGUAGGGUAGUGGCAUGGGGUCCAAAGUAAUAGAAGUAGCACAAAAACAUUUUUUUAGUGUAGGCUUUUCCUUGCUCAAGCUUGCCUACUAGAACCGCCAGUGCUUGAAAGGAAAAGUGAAUGAAAAACAUAGGAUUGGAAAGUUUCCUAUGGUACUACUUUUCAUGAAUUUGGCGCAAAGGAAUGGAGCAAAAGAGAACUGUAUGAUUUCUUCCUUUGGUGUCUCCUUGAAAGAAAAACCGUAGGAAUUUUAAUUUUCCCUUGUCCUCCUUUUCAAAUUCCUAUUCAUGAAGCACAAGACUAAGAGAUAGUAGCAUAAUAGCAUUAUAACCGUACAUUUUCUUGUGGUUUUACUUGAUCUCAGCAUGCUUCUUUGCAUCCUAUGAUCUUCCAAUUCUUGUGAACCAAACACCCAGAUUGGCAGAAAUCCUGUGUUUUUAAAUUCUCUGUUUUGCACGUGCAUUCCUAUCAUAUUCCUGUCUAUUUCCUAUCCCUGCAUUGUUAGAAUCCUCAAACUCAAACAAGCCAUUACACAAUUACUUCUAUUACAGAUAUGUGUCAAAGAAAACCUUGUGUGGUUUGUCCUGCUCCUGCGGUGCUGUGUUCCACCCCAGCUCAGCUGCUCCAACGACGGAAGGGUUCACCACAGCAGGGAUCCGCUCUCCAGACUGUCUUUCGCCGCCUCAGAUCUUCUCCCCCGCCGCCAGCAGCUAUGACAACUGCAUUACCAUCAUCAAAUGAGCGGAUGACCUUGAGGACUACAUGGGUCCGCAAGAGAGGCCGCACUCUUUCGUGUCUGCUUACGUUAUGCAUCGCUUAAUAUGAUGCCAUGCUACUUUAUCAUCGUGUUCACCUAUUAGACUCCGAGUCAGGUCCAAACUUAUGCUGAAACUUGAGUUUUUAAAUGGUUGUGGGGUACAUAUUGGGGCAGCAAUCAGUAAUAUCUGUCUACUAUCUGGUUAAUCUCGGGUGUCUACUAUGAGUUUCAGGUUGGGUGCAAACAAACAUUAAAGGAGCCAUUAUCUAUAUUUUUUAACUAAAGCUGUUGUCUGCCUGCUAUCACUGGUUUUGGGUCUAUCCACAGUUUGCUACCAUCACUCUGGAUUUGUGCAUGCACUCCUUACAUAAUCUCACUAUGUUUUAUUCCUAUGCAUGUCAGUUAUUGUACACAAUGGAACUGAACAUGUAGAGCAAAAGAGACGAGCCUUGUGUGGCAAUAAAAUUUCAUGCAGACGUCGCUCCAUGGUGGGCGCAAAGGCAGCCCCCCUCCACCCAUUUCGGAUCGUAAUCAAGAGGAAGAUAACUAUUCUGAGGGGGAUUCGGAAGCAGAAGACCACUCCUAUUUACCCCAUGAGGUCUUCGCUCUAACUUGGCAUGCUGAUGUUGGUAAUAUCAUGCAUAUGGUGCCUUGCAUUGCUUACUGUAUACAUCAAAGAUGUCAUCUGCUUAGUUUAGACAUGCUUUAUGUCAAUGCCAUCUGUUUAGUUUCUUUAUCCUAUAUGUGAAUCAUGCAAUACCAUCUUGUUUAGCCAGGCAUUAUAUAUGUGAAUUUUGCAAUGCCACCCUGGUUAGCCAAUCAUCUUAUAUGUGAAUUAUAUCAUGACAUCAUUUUUUUAUUACGUGUUAAAUUUGUUAAGAAUUUUAGUACAUUCAAUUACUCUUCCUGUGCAUCAGCCAUUCGACACGGUCACGGAAAAAUCUGGAGUGGAAACAAGGUCUUCAGAGCAGACGAUGCUAUCUGACAAAGCGCAUGUCUUGUUGGUUACAAAUAGCUCCUCAGAGGAGGAUUCAGAGACAGAUGACCAGUCCUAUCCCCCCCGAGGUGCAUGCUCUAACUUGGCAGGAUUAUGUUGCUCAUAUCGUGCGUAUGGUAUCUUGCAUUGCUAUGCCAUUUGCUUAGGCUAGACAUGCUUUUUGUGAAUGCCACCUGUUUAGUGUCUAAUUACCAUAUAUGUGAAUUAUGCAAUGCCAUCUUGUUGCAAGACAUUAUAUAUGUGAAUUAUGCAAUGCUAUCUUGUUGCAAGGCAUUAUAUAUGUGAAUUAUGCAAUGCCAUGCUGUUUAGCUAAGCGUCAUAUAUGUGAAUUAUAUCAUGCCAUCCUUUUUUUGUAUUUCUCAUUGCUUUUGCCUACAAUGUUUGUAUAUUCAACUGCUCUUCCUAUGCAUCAGCCAUUUGAAUUGGUGAUGGAGAAAUCUGGAGUGAAAACAAGGUCUUCAGAGCAGACAAUGCUACCUGCUGAAGUAGAUAUAUUGCUGGUUAUAGAUAGCUCUUCAGAGGAGGAUUCAGAGGCAAAUGACCAGUCCUAUUAUCCCCCUGAGGUGUAUGCUCAAACUUGGCAGGGUUGUAUUACUCAUAUCAUGCAUAUGUUGUAUUGCAAUGCUUAGUUUUUACAUCAUAUACACUAUAUUGAAUGCCAUCUCCUUAGUUGACACAUCAUAUAUGCGAUUGCCCUCUGCUCACUUCCUUAGUAUAUAAAUCAUAUAUUUGAAUUAUAUCAUGCCAUGAUGUUUACAUAGACAGCAUGUAUCUGAAUUAUGGCAUGCCAACCCAUUUUCUAAAGACAUAAUAUAGUUAUAUCAUCUCAUCCUGUUCACAGAGUCAUCAUAUUUUGAAAAUGUCAUUCUAUCCGUGAAUUAUAUCAUGCCAUCAUGUUUCCAUCGACGGCAUGUUUGUGAUUUAUGGCAUGCCAACCACUUUAAUAGACACAUCGCAUAGUUAUAUCAUGUCAUCCUGUUUAUAUAGUCAUCAUAUUUUUAAGUAUGUCAUUCUAUCCUGUUUAGUUAGCCAUCAUACAUGUGAGAUUGUGUCAUGCUAUCCUGUUUAAUUAGCCAUCAUAUAUGUGAAAUUAUGUCCUGCUAUUCUGUUUGGUUAGACAACAUAAAUGUGAAUUAUUUCAUGCCCUGUUUUCUUCCCUACUAUCCAUUGCACAUGUCUAUCUUACAAUGUCUAUACAUUCAAUUACUUUUCUUGUUUAUCAGCUAUUUCAAUUGGAGGGGGUGAUGGCAGUAUCUGUGGGAGUAAAAACACGGUCUUCAGAAAAGAUCGUGCUACCUGUCGAUGGAGAUAGAACCACAGUUGUACUUGCCCAAGAACCAGCCCCACCACACAUAACCCAGACUCACGCAGAUUAUACCCCUACCCAGUUGGACAGAGAACCAGCUACACCCCUUAUAACCCCAACCCCAGCAGAUAGUAACCCAGUUCCCGUUGAAACAGCACCGUCUCCACCACAGAGCACCCAAACACGAGCAGUUAGUAAGGAAACUACAGUGCCCAAAGCACGAGGACCACCACUCCGAACCCCAAGUCAAUGCUUAAAGCAGAAGAAGAAUUGUUCUCAGGUCAGGUUCCAUAGCUAUGGUUCAUACUACUUUGCUCUUGCAUCACUGUAUUUACUCAUACCAACUAAUUUCAAAUUAGAAGGAUGCAAUUAAAACUCCAACGGCGCAACAGGUAUGUUUUAAACAUGUUUCUUUAACGUGUUUGCUGUUGUAACUUGCUCUAUGUUGAUUUCAGUUUCAAUUGAAUAAACAGUUAUGUUCUGAUGUCAUGCACACUACAAGUGUUGUUAUUGUUGUGUAGUUUCCCACACUUAUAUUCUGACUAGAAUGAUAUAGACCAUACAGUGACCAUACUACAUAGAUAUAUGUUUGUUUCAUGUUGUUAUCCUGUCCACCUUACUACUGAACUGGUUUACCAAAAUGAGUUUCAUAUACUACAUUGUAAACCUGUGAUGUGUUUGUUUGUUUCUCUUUUAGAACGCGGAUAAAAUAUUUGAGAAGAGUACCCCGUUAUGCAAUGGUAAAGGAAGUAAUGUAGAUAAGGUUCAAGAUAGUGAGACAUCCAUGUUGGUCUCCAAGAAAGCUGAUAAAAGCUAUAUUGAAGACAUCGAGACAACCCCAAAGUCCUAUCUUGAUGUAGUGUUCGAGUUACUGGCUACUACUGUUGGCACCAGCUCUUCGAACUCGCUGCCUGAAUCAGUUCAGCUUCUUGAGUCUCAACUUCAAGUUGAAAGACAUCGAUCAUAUGUUAUGCGACAGGAAGCCGAAGGACUGAGGAAGUACCUUCAGAAUUCAUAUGCAUACUUUCUGGUGCAAUAGCAAGUGCUGGAGGAUUUAAGCGCCAAACAAGAGAAAGUUAAUAAGCUUGCUAAGCAUCUUGCCAGCAUUAUGGGUACCCAGGAUAUUGUUUCUUGAGCUCUACUGAAGUGGUUUCAGUUCUGGACUUGUUUUGCUGCGGCGUUUAUAUGCUGCUUUAUUCCCUAUAUUUGCACUAGUGGCGAACUUUGAUGCCCAGUGGAUGUAAUAUGUGUAAUAGCCAUGAUAGCCUAGCGUAAGUUGCUUCAUUAUUGUCUUGUUUAUUUGUUUUCUUGUAGUCAGUGCAGUUCUUUUUCCCGGUUUUCUAGUGGCCGCAAUAACCUAUUUUUUAAAACUAGGCCACAUUAACCAUGGGCUACAUAUUUACUAUAGUUAAACAUGGGCCUCCUACGGGCCGUAGAAACAAUGGGCCUUCUAUGGGGCGUAGAAACAAUGGGCCUUAUACGGGCCGUAGACACAAUGGGCCUUCUACGGGCCGUAUCAUCAAUGGGCCUUCUAUAGGCCGUAUGAUUGGUUGGCCAAACAUGAGCCAAUAACAGACCACAUUAUGGCCGUAAAUGGGCUAGAGUUGAAAUCGUCCGUUCAUGGGCCGACCAUAACGGGUCGUCGUUAAUCGGCCAUAUUUGAUGACGCUGUAACCACGGGCUAAAUUUGGCCCACAAGCAAAAAAUGACAGUAAUGUGCCGAAAGUAAACGAAUGCUGAAAAUGAGCCCAAGAAUAAAUGGGCCCUGAGAAGGCCGAAAGAUAACAUGGUGUGGAAACGGCCCAAUGGAAUAAUGGGCCGUUAAUUGGUAUAAAGUGAUACACUGUUCAUUACGGGCCAGUUUUACCACGGGCCGUUAAUGGGCCGAGGGUUACUAAGGGCCUCAUAUGGGCUGAAAGACGUCAUGGGCCAUACAUGGGCCGGAAGUUAAAACAGACUAGAAUUAUAUUGGAUGGCCCAGAUGAUGCUACUGGGCCUAAUUCGGAUAGGCCGUAAAUGGGCCCUGGGUUAGCGGGCUGUAAAUGGGCUAUAUGCGAACAAGCCAUUAACAGGCUUGCCGUGGGCCGGCCCGCCACCUUUUGACCAAGUCAAACGGGCCGGCCUUUUCACAGGAAUGGGCCUCUAUUGGGCCGUGCCACGUGAUGACGUAUCAUAGGCACUUUGGGUCCAAUGAGUGGAUGACAUCUGUCCCAACGGUGAGCCGACACGUGUUUCCUCCACCCAAUGAUGAUUUUACACGUGGAAAAUCCCUAUUGGUCGGGGCUGUUAACGAGUUAUCGGAUCCAAAACUAGACCCGAUAGCUUAACGGCGUUCCAUUACGGUGGAUGCCACGUGUCGGUCACCCUUGACGAAAGCACUUCCGUGACGCACGAUUUAUCAUCAUGGAAGUGGACACUUCCGUGAUGAUAAUUUUGGUAAUGUCAUGGAACAAUUCUACGACAGCACAAGUAUGACUAUCUUGAUUCUGCCAUAAAAUUUUCACGGAUGUACAUGCAUGACAGAAAACGUGACCUACUGUGACAAACACGUAUCAUCAUGGAAGUGUAUAUUUUGUAGUGCCUAUGAGUCUACAGAUUAGUAACACGUGAUCCUGAUAGAAAGACGAGAAGCCUAGUUCUUAAUCCCCGUAGAAAAGAAGCGGUUGACUCAGAUCAGAAGAGCGUAAGGUAAAGUAGUAAAAAGAGCCUUACGUUCCCUUCCACAAUCAAUUCCCUUAUAUAACUAAAGCAUUUCUAGACUCAACUUCAACCAUUUUGGCUUGGUAAUCCUACAGGCAGUCAGGCUCGGAUACCAAAGUUGUGAGGACCCCGAUCCUAAGUCACACCGAUCUAGCAUGUAACACAUCAUAUCACUUUGCGGCCUCACACACGGUAUUCCCACAGGUGCCACCUUACCUGGCCCGGGACCGUUUGCGCCUUUUGGCUCACGUAUAUGAUAGUGUCGCUAGCAUCCGCAUGACAGAGAACCCGUGCCGACAUGUCUAGUCGUAAACCCAAGGUGGCACUAACUUAUAGGGACAGGCAUACAUGACCCAGCAAUGAACAUGUCGGUCAUCAAUGUAUGAACCCAAGUCGUAGCAAGCUAUGAGGAGUUAAAGGAACAACGCGUGACAUUUCCCCGAAGGGACAUACACAGGAACGAAGAAGGACACUUGCCGGCCAUCCUAAGUGUUCCGGAGCAGUAGCAAGCUACCAUGGCUCAGUGGAAGCACUAGGAGACAUUUCCCGAUAAGAGAGGCUACCAAGAAUAAACAACUAGGUUGCCAGAUCCCACACAUACCAAGCAUUUCAAUAACAUACACACAAUAUGCUCGAUAUGUGCAAAUACAACAUGGCAUCACAACAAAACUCCAUGACUCAAAGUAUUUAUUCAUUAGGCUCCGAGGAGCCAGAUAUUACAAACAUGGGUCUGAUGACCCAACAUUCAAGUCAUAUAAGCAAUAAGCACAUGCGGAAGCUUAACUUGUCUGAGUACAGACAACUAUAAAUGAAAAAGGCUGAGAAGCCUGACUCUCUACAAGACCUGAUGAGGACAUCAAUACAAUUGUUACACCCACAGCCCCUGCUGCUAUACAUACUGGACCAAUUACUAGAGCUCAUGCACGCCAACUAAAUUACCAGGUACUUUCGUUUCUUGGUAAUGAUUCUAAUGUUCAUGAGAAUAUGAUGCUGCCUAAAUUGGAUACAUUUGUUUUGCUUACAAAUGAAGGGCCUAGCUUGGAGAAGGAUGAACAUUGGAGCAAGAACAAGCAUGGAGAUGAUGGCAUGCGCAAGGGAAACAAGAACGGAGUUACAAGUGAUGAUUUCAGGACUUUGAAGCCACCAUAAUGGGUGCAUGAAGCCUUGGACGAAAUAUACAAGACGCCACUUCAUAAAUUUCGUCCCGAGGCUAUUUUAGGUGCUACGUCACCUUAUUAUUGGGCCAGGCCCAUGUAAUUUCGAAAUACAUAAGUAUAGGCUAUUUUUAGAGUCCGUAUGUGUGGGGAAACAAGAGAUAGGGUUGAUUUCGGACCCCUCCACCAAGGGCCACGAAAUUCUCCCCCUCUUCCUCCAUAUAUACAGCCCUUAGGGCAUCGUUUAGACUUUGGGUUUUGUUUAGAUUAAAAGUUCGCCAUAGCUGCAACUUCGCGUACUUCGUUUGUGUUCAACGACCAGACAAAGGCGUCACAGAACCCCAUCUUGAUCAAUAAAGCUUUCAUCUUAUAUUCGCAAUAUCCAGAUUGCAAUCUUAGUUUCUUGCUUGUUCUUCGUUUGCUCGCAGGAAACAGACCCUCGUGGUCAGGUUGAUCGUGCUCCGGCGUGGUCAAUAACCUCUCGGAGUUGGUUUAGCGAUUGCUAAGGCGCGACGUCCUCGCACGUUCGUAGUCGGAUCGUCAAAGUCGACUUCCACCAAAGCGAUAUCCAUCAUCUCAUCGAAAGAUCGGGACCCUCGCCUCUAUCAACCGCUUAUCCGCCACCGCUCCGAAUCCGUAUCCAUAUACCACCACCAAUCCGUGUCCAUAUACCACCACUGAUCCAUAUCCAUAUACUACCACCGCUACCACCACCGCUGCCAUAUACCACCACCAUAUAUCCACCACCAAUCCGAGUUCCUUGCAUAUUAGGUUUGUUUUCGAGAUCCAUCUAGAUUCCGAUUCGUGUUUCCUUGCCGGAGUCGGGUAGCCACGCUCCGUUUAGGCCCAAAAUUUUUCGAAAAUGCAUUUUUCGAAAAAAUUUCUGGCUAUCCUAUUUUUAGGUGUUUCUGAGUGUUUUGAGACAGGUGCCAUUAUAGGAAGUUUUUUUUGACCCGUUUCCAGUUUUUGGGUCCGGGCAGUCGAAAAAAAAUAUUUGGUCGAAAAAAUUUCGUGCCCAUCCUGUCCGUUUGAGCUAGGAAGAGUUUAGAGACACUCGCCAUUAUAGUGAUUUUUCGCAAAAAAAAAAAAAGCAGCGCAAAAAAAAAGAGCGCAAAAAAAAGAGCGAAAAAAAAAUCAGAGUGUGCUUUUCCCUUGUUUACGUGCCGCGCCGUGAUUUUGUUGGUGUUCUAGGCUCGCGUCUCUAGCACAGUCUAGCCUAGGACCAGCACAGUACCGUCGUUGAGCGUUUAUUCAACUUUGCAUCUCUGAAUUGAUUAUUGCUGACCCUUUUUGCUACCAUAUUAUAAGCCUUCCCAGCUCCACAUACAUCUACGUCGUGCGUUUGACUCUCCCUGGUAAUCGCUCUAUCCAAGCUUUGAGAGUUUUUGACUACAACGGUUGCCGAUCACCGCCUGCUGCUGGGUAAGAACUGGUAAGAAUUUGAGAUUUGCUUGACGGAUUUGUGACACCCACCACCAGCACUUGUUCGUAGUCUGUAGGAUCAUAUUCUUGUGUGUUUCUAUUGCUGCUAACCAUGCCAGGAUCACAAGCCGACGAGAUUGACUGGGAGAAUUUAUCGAACAAGGAGCUUCAUGAUAAGUUUCAGCAAAUGAUGACUGAACAGGUGCAAGAUGUGCUGAACAAUUUUGAAGAGGCCAUGGAGAAGAUCACUGGCCUUGAGAAGACGUUCGAAACAAAGCUCGAUAACAAGUUUAAUGAAUUGCUCGCGCGUCUUCCACCACCACCACCCGCUGCACCUAACGCACCUCUCCAACAACAACAACAACGACUACCUCCACGUCGCGAAGCAGACCUCCGCCGAGCAAGCCGUGUUCCUCUUGCGUUUGGCCAAACUGUUGGUGCUGCUGUUGAUACUUCUGUGGCUCCUGCUGCUGAUGCGGAGGAGGAUGAUUUUGUGGGAGAUUAUGAGGAUGAGGUUGAUCAAAAUCAACACUACGUGCAACCACCUGUACCACCACCAGCAGGUCGACCUCAGGUAUAUAUUCGUAAUGGUAGGCCUGCACCACCACCUCAGGUACGCGAUGAUGUCCAUAUUCCUAAACUGAAAUUGAAUAUUCCACCAUUUGAGGGUAGAUAUGUUCCUGAUAUAUAUCUUACUUGGGAGUUAGAAACUGAACAACGAUUUACAUGUUUACAAUAUCCUGAGGAGAGACGAGUUGCUGCUGCUGUUUGUGCUUUCACUAGUUUUGCAUGUGUAUGGUGGUCUGAACAUUGUAGAUUAUAUCCUAUUCCAACUACUUGGGCUGCUUUGAAAACUGCUAUGCGUACGCGUUGGGUUCCACCAUAUUAUCAACGUGAAUUGCUUCAAAAAUUGCAGCGUUUAAGACAAGGAAAAAAUUCUGUAGAAGAAUAUUAUCAGGAAUUAUAAACUGGCAUGAUUAGAUGUGGUAUUGUUGAGGAGAAUGAAGCUAUGCUUGCACGUUUUCUGGGUGGAUUAAAUAGAGAGAUUCAGACCAUUCUAGACUAUAAGGAGUAUACUAAUAUCACUCGUUUAUUCCAUCUUGCUUGUAAAGCUGAACGUGAAGUGCAGGAUCGACAAGCAUUGGGGCGAACUAACUUUUCUGCAGGCCGACCUUCAUCAUGGACACCACGUGCAUCUUCUACUUCAACUGCACCAGCACCUCCAUCCGGUGCCACCUCCAGCCGUGAUACAAGAAAACAGGCACAACCACCAUUAUCUGCCAAGAGCGCACCUGCGGGGCCUGCACAGCGUUCUUCUUCUUCCAUGGCAUCAACAGGGCACACAAGUGAUAUUAUUUGUCGUCGUUGUAAGGGAGGAGGUCAUUAUGCGAGAGAAUGCAAAUCUCCGCGUGUUAUACAAUUGUUACACCCACAGCCCCUGCUGCUAUACAUACAGCCCCUGCUGCUAUACAUACUGGACCAAUUACUAGAGCUCAUGCACGCCAACUAAAUUACCAGGUACUUUCGUUUCUUGGUAAUGAUUCUAAUGUUCAUGAGAAUAUGAUGCUGCCUAAAUUGGAUACAUUUGUUUUGCUUACAAAUGAAGGGCCUAGCUUGGAGAAGGAUGAACAUUGGAGCAAGAACAAGCAUGGAGAUGAUGGCAUGCGCAAGGGAAACAAGAACGGAGUUACAAGUGAUGAUUUCAGGACUUUGAAGCCACCAUAAUGGGUGCAUGAAGCCUUGGACGAAAUAUACAAGACGCCACUUCAUAAAUUUCGUCCCGAGGCUAUUUUAGGUGCUACGUCACCUUAUUAUUGGGCCAGGCCCAUGUAAUUUCGAAAUACAUAAGUAUAGGCUAUUUUUAGAGUCCGUAUGUGUGGGGAAACAAGAGAUAGGGUUGAUUUCGGACCCCUCCACCAAGGGCCACGAAAUUCUCCCCCUCUUCCUCCAUAUAUACAGCCCUUAGGGCAUCGUUUAGACUUUGGGUUUUGUUUAGAUUAAAAGUUCGCCAUAGCUGCAACUUCGCGUACUUCGUUUGUGUUCAACGACCAGACAAAGGCGUCACAGAACCCCACCUUGAUCAAUAAAGCUUUCAUCUUAUAUUCGCAAUAUCCAGAUUGCAAUCUUAGUUUCUUGCUUGUUCUUCUUUGCUCGCAGGAAACAGACCCUCGUGGUCAGGUUGAUCGUGCUCCGGCGUGGUCAAUAACCUCUCGGAGUUGGUUUAGCGAUUGCUAAGGCGCGACGUCCUCGCACGUUCGUAGUCGGAUCGUCAAAGUCGACUUCCACCAAAGCGAAAUCCACCAUCUCAUCGAAAGACGGGACACCUUUGCCUCUAUCAACAUACUGGACCAAUUACUAGAGCUCGUGCACGCCAACUAAAUUACCAGGUACUUUCGUUUCUUGGUAAUGAUUCUAAUGUUCAUGAGAAUAUGAUGCUGCCUAAAUUGGAUACAUUUGUUUUGCUUACAAAUGAAGGGCCUAGCUUGGAGAAGGAUGAACAUUGGAGCAAGAACAAGCAUGGAGAUGAUGGCAUGCGCAAGGGGAACAAGAACGGAGUUACAAGUGAUGAUUUCAGGACUUUGAAGCCACCAUAAUGGGUGCAUGAAGCCUUGGACGAAAUAUACAAGAUGCCACUUCAUAAAUUUCGUCCCGAGGCUAUUUUAGGUGCUGCGUCACCUUAUUAUUGGGCCAGGCCCAUGUAAUUUCGAAAUACAUAAGUAUAGGCUAUUUUUAGAGUCCGUAUGUGUGGGGAAACAAGAGAUAGGGUUUAUUUCGGACCCCUCCACCAAGGGCCACGAAAUUCCCCCCCUCUUCCUCCAUAUAUACAGCCCUUAGGGCAUCGUUUAGACUUUGGGUUUUGUUUAGAUUAAAAGUUCGCCAUAGCUGCAACUUCGCGUACUUCGUUUGUGUUCAACGACCAGACAAAGGCGUCACAGAACCCCACCUUGAUCAAUAAAGCUUUCAUCUUAUAUUCGCAAUAUCCAGAUUGCAAUCUUAGUUUCUUUCUUGUUCUUCGUUUGCUCGCAGGAAACAGACCCUCGUGGUCAGGUUGAUCGUGCUCCGGCGUGGUCAAUAACCUCUCGGAGUUGGUUUAGCGAUUGCUAAGGCGCGACGUCCUCGCACGUUCGUAGUCGGAUCGUCAAAGUCGACUUCCACCAAAGCGAUAUCCAUCAUCUCAUCGAAAGACGGGACACCUUUGCCUCUAUCACUUUGUUUUAGGUUUACCUCGAACAAAGAAGGGGAGGGAUAGCAUAUUUGUUGUCGUGGAUAGAUUCUCGAAAAUGGCACACUUUAUACCAUGUCAUAAAAGCGAUGAUGCUGUUAAUGUUGCUGAUUUGUUCUUUCGUGAAAUUAUUCGCUUGCAUGGUGUGCCAAAUACUAUUGUUUCAGAUCGUGAUACUAAAUUUCUUAGCCACUUUUGGAGAUGUUUAUGGGCUAAGUUGGGGACUAAACUGCUUUUUAGUACUACUUGUCACCCCCAAACUGAUGGACAAACUGAAGUAGUCAAUAGAACGUUGUCUACUAUGCUUAGGGUUGUUUUGAAGAAUAAUAAGAAAAUGUGGGAGGAAUGCUUGCCUCAUAUUGAAUUUGCUUAUAAUCAUUCAUUGCAUUCUACUACUAAGAUGUGCCCUUCUGAAGUUGUGUAUGGUUUCCUACCUCGUGCACCUAUUGAUUUGUUGCCUCUUCCAUCUUCGGAGAAGGUUAAUUUUGAUGCUAAACAACAUGCUGAAUUGAUUUUAAAAUGCAUGAGUUAACUAAGGAAAACAUUGAGCGCAUGAAUGCUAAAUAUAAACUUGCUGGAGAUAAGGGUAGAAAACAUGUUGUGUUUGCACCUGGAGAUCUUGUUUGGUUACAUUUGCGUAAGGAUAGAUUUCCUGAUUUGCGCAAAUCAAAGUUAAUGCCACGUGCUGAUGGUCCCUUUAAGGUGUUAGAGAAAAUAAAUGAUAAUGCAUAUAAACUUGAGCUGCCUGCAGAUUUUGGGGUUAGUCCCACUUUUAACAUUGCAGAUUUGAAGCCUUAUUUGGGUGAGGAAGAUGAACUUCCGUCGAGGACGACUUCAUUUCAAGAAGGGGAGGAUGAUGAGGACAUCAAUACAAUUGUUACACCCACAGCCCCUGCUGCUAUACAUACUGGACCAAUUACUAGAGCUCAUGCACGCCAACUAAAUUACCAGGUACUUUCGUUUCUUGGUAAUGAUUCUAAUGUUCAUGAGAAUAUGAUGCUGCCUAAAUUGGAUACAUUUGUUUUGCUUACAAAUGAAGGGCCUAGCUUGGAGAAGGAUGAACAUUGGAGCAAGAACAAGCAUGGAGAUGAUGGUAUGCGCAAGGGAAACAAGAACGGAGUUACAAGUGAUGAUUUCAGGACUUUGAAGCCACCAUAAUGGGUGCAUGAAGCCUUGGACGAAAUAUACAAGACGCCACUUCAUAAAUUUCGUCCCGAGGCUAUUUUAGGUGCUACGUCACCUUAUUAUUGGGCCAGGCCCAUGUAAUUUCGAAAUACAUAAGUAUAGGCUAUUUUUAGAGUCCGUAUGUGUGGGGAAACAAGAGAUAGGGUUGAUUUCGGACCCCUCCACCAAGGGCCACGAAAUUCUCCCCCUCUUCCUCCAUAUAUACAGCCCUUAGGGCAUCGUUUAGACUUUGGGUUUUGUUUAGAUUAAAAGUUCGCCAUAGCUGCAACUUCGCGUACUUCGUUUGUGUUCAACGACCAGACAAAGGCGUCACAGAACCCCACCUUGAUCAAUAAAGCUUUCAUCUUAUAUUCGCAAUAUCCAGAUUGCAAUCUUAGUUUCUUGCUUGUUCUUCGUUUGCUCGCAGGAAACAGACCCUCGUGGUCAGGUUGAUCGUGCUCCGGCGUGGUCAAUAACCUCUCGGAGUUGGUUUAGCGAUUGCUAAGGCGCGACGUCCUCGCACGUUCGUAGUCGGAUCGUCAAAGUCGACUUCCACCAAAGCGAAAUCCACCAUCUCAUCGAAAGACGGGACACCUUUGCCUCUAUCAAGACCCUGCUGAGUGCACAAGAUCAUAGCUAAGGUAACAAGCUAAAUUUCGAAGUCCAUGUGGAACUACUAGUGAGACUGAAGUCUCUCUACAAAAACAUAAAUUAAGAAAACGUGAGUACAAAUGUACCCAGCAAGACAUACAUCAGAACUAGCUACAUAUGCAUCACUAUCAACAAAGGGGGUGGUGGAGUUUAACUGCAGCAAGCCAGCUUUGACUCAGUGGCUAUCCUGAACUACGCCUGCAAAUAACUCUUUUGAGGUGGCGCACACGAGUCCACAUAUUCACCAAUCAAUACACCACUAUGGAUCCGCUUCCGUCUCCCUACGAGAAGGCCAUCCAUAGCACUCACGCUUAUCUUGCACAUUUUAGAGUAUCCACUUUCACUUGUCUAUGAACUAUGUAGGCAACCCAGAGGUCCUUCACUGCGGACCCGACUAUUCAAAUAGAUGAUGUUAACCCUGCAGGGGUGUACUUCUUCACACACACUCUUGCCACUUACCGCCUUGUACACGUUAUGCAUCUCGGCAACCUUCAAGUGGAAGCCUGGCGAGGGUGUCGGCCAUGACCUGACUAACCACACAAGUCCCUAGUCCAGGUUUAUCGCCUAUUCAGGUUCCAUCCGCAGGGAGUCCGGCCGAGGUUUCCACAUACGACCCUGAACGAUGUGUGCAGGGUUCCCAAGGCACCAAACGGGCGUCACGGUACACCGUGCCACGUGCCUAUCAUAUCACAGCCCACCCCUCGGGUCAGCGCUGCGCACGGCCUACAUCAUACUACAAACAACAGAAACUACUUGCAACUCCAGGACAGAGGACAGGGGUGGUUAAUAAGUCAAGAGGAUCCAUUGGUUUCGGGCCCAACACGUGGUAGUAGUUGUUCAUGGAUAACACACAGAAAUCAGUUCUUGAGGACGGUCUCAAUGAGACAACCCACCAUGUACGCCUACAUGGCCUCUCACCGCUACCUUUACCAAAUCGUGUUCACACACUUAGCUCACACACAGUAGGACAUGUUCAUCACCAUUCCAAUUCAUCCCCGAUGAAUCAGACCUGACUCAACUCUAAGUAGUAGCAGGCAUGAUAAACAAGCAUGAAUGAGUAGGCACAUCAGGGCUCAAACAACUCCUACUCAUGCUAGUGGGUUUCAUCUAUUUACUGUGGCAAUGACAGGUCAUGCAGAGGAAAAGGGGUUCAACUACCGCAACAUGUAACAGAUGAAUCGUUGUUGUCCUAAUGCAAUAAAAGAGAGCAAGAGCGAGAGAGUGGGAUUGUAUCAGAAUGAACAAGGGUUUUUUGCUUGCCUGGCACUUCUGAAGAUAGUAUAGCUCUUCAUCGGUGCCAUCGAACUCAUUGUCGGAACACGUCUAUGAUGAGGACAUGACUACCUUGGAUAUGACCAAAAAUAUUGCAUAUAUGCAUAUUUGUCAGGUGAUUUCUAGUGCAAACUAUUCAAUAAUCUAUUUAUGUUAUCCAGAACAAAAAUACUUCACACACUUUUGUGUUUUGUCUAAUUGCAGGUGUAUGGGACAUUUGUACAAUCCACAUAUGAAGAUAAGGAAGAAAGAGAUGUUUAUUUGCUGUCCAAAAAGUUCUCUCACGUCACUUUUGGCCCAAGAGAAGAUAGAGUCCAAGUCUCUCACGUUCUGGUUCAGAUUCGGACUGCACAGACACACCUGAUUCAAAACGGACACAAGUUUUUCAUACGGACUCCGAAUUGGGUGAUUCUUUUUUUGUUGGAAACUAGAUUUCGUGCACUUUCCAACCCAAUUGGAAUCACCUUCAAAUUCGUCCGGAGCGUUGAGUUGUGGACGAAACAAUCUGAUGCUGUAGCAGAAUCCGAGUCAAACUACAAGUCCAAAGGUGUUACAUCACCUCCACUUGGGCCCAUUGGCCUUGUACGACCUAGAUUUAGUUUUAGGAUGCCUUGGGACGUCCUCCCACCUCCUUGGCCGCCACCCCUUGCUCCUAUAUAAGUAGAUCCAUCUAGUAGCUUUUCCUUGGGAUUUGUUUAGUUAAAAGUUAGCCAUUGCAACUUUGUGUACUUCGUUUGUGUCCAACGACCAGACCAAGACCGCUUACGGAUCCCCACCAUUAUCAAUACUUCAUAUAUAUUCGCAAUAUUCAGAUUGCUUUAUCAUAUUCUUGCUCGUUCUUCGAUUGCUUGCAGGAAUAGACCUUCGUGGUCAGGUUGAUCGUGCUCCAGCGUGGUCAAUAACCUCUCGGAGUUGGUUUAGCGAUUGCUAAGGCGCAACGUCGUGCACGUUUGUAGUCGGAUCGUCAAGUCGUCUCCACGAAAUCGAUAGUUAUCAUCUCAUCGAAAGAUCGGGACACCCCGCCUCUAUCAAGUGGUAUCAGUUUUCAGGUUACUCGGUGAGAUUUUAUAGUUUUUCAUAGUUUAGAUCGCAUCUGUCAUUCAUACCUACAGUCCAUGAAAAAGCCAUAAAAUAGUUAGAUCUGUUCAUCAUUUAUCCAAGCCAGUCCGAGCCUUUGCAAUUUUCUAUUCAUUGCUUGCAUAGUUGAAUUAUCGGUUGCAUCGUCGUGUUAGUUGCUGGUCUUAGUGUCUAGUUACUUUAGAGUUUCGAGUUCUGUUCACAUUAGUCACGCCGCCGCUACAUCAUUAUCCCUUCCGCUGUCCACCAUUCCAUCCAUUAAUUUCCACCACGUGCUACGCACUGUUCAUUGUCAUAAUCAUAGUUGAGGUCAUUCACAUCUUCGCCUGAUCCAAUCUGCAUCUUAUCUAGUUUGUCUUGGAAAGAGUGAGAAAAAAAAGAUAGAGGAAAAAAAGAGAGGAAAAAAAAGAAAAAGAGAGAAGAAAAAGAAAAAAAAGCGUGAGAAAAAAAAAGAGAAGAAAAAAAAUCGGAUCUAUCUAGAAUCAAUCUCGUACCUGAAUUCGGAUUGGAAUCUGUUUUGCGCACUGUUCAGUAAAACAGGUGUAUCUUUCUCAUACGAAGUCCGUUUUGGCUCCGUGAGUACUCAAAUUGAAGCUAGCGACGAGCCGCAUCUAAAUAGUUGCAUAAGCUAGUUCAAUAUUUGACACCUCAAAAUCGGCUUCUAAAUAGGUCUUUUUGCCCUCUGAAGUUCGUGAACACCACUUGUUCCAAUUUUUUAGGCCAGUUUUAGAAUUCUUUGACUCCUCAUAUCAACUCGGAAUUGAGUGAUUCUUUUUGCAUUGGAAAGCUUGAGUUAGUAGCAUUCUUUGAAAGAAUUUAUCAGAAACUUGUCUCAAACUUUUCAAGAGGAAAGUUGGAGAGAGAGUUGUUGUAUAUCCUGCUUGGCAGUUGUUUUUCAUCAUUAUCUUCACUGCCGUUGUGAUCUUCACUUAUAUCUUGCUGUCAAGAGCUCCUUAGUAUCCUUCAUUGAUGCUAGUUGUGCUACGCCAUGACCUCAUUAGUGUUCUAGGCUCGCGUCUCUAGUCCGGUCUAGCCUAGGACCAGCACAGUACCGUCGUUGAGCGUUUAUUCAGCAUUGCAUCUUUGAAUUGAUUAUUGCUAAUCUUUUGCUACCAUACAUAGCCAACCCAGCUCCACAUAUUUCUACACCGUGUAUACGUACGCUCCCCUGGCAAUCGCUUUACUCAAUAUUCGGAGUUACUUGACACCGCUGGUUGCCGAUCACCGCCUGCUGCAUGGUAAGAACUUGUAAGACAUUGAUAUUUGCUUUACUGUGAGCGUUUUACCACCACAUCCUAGUAGUUAUAGGAACAUUAUUUUUGGGUUUUGUUUCUUGUUCUACUAAUCAUGACAGGAUCCAGAGUCAAUUCAUGGGCUUUGUCGAUCGCGGGAGACGUGCCACCACCUUUGCAAAUACCACAACCGUCACGAGAGGUGCACAAACAUCCAAAUGCACAUGAUCAGGUUAAUGUAUCUAUACCACCAUUUAAUGGCCGUUUUAAACCUGCUUUAUAUAUUGAAUGGGAGUUCGACAUAAAAAAUAUAUUUGCUUCCCAUAAUUUCAAUGAACAUAAAAAGGUUAAGGUUGCGGUUGGUUCUUUCACUGGUUAUGCUUUGGUUUGGUGGAGUGAAUAUUGUCGGUUACACCCUGAUUAAAUACCUACUACUUGGGAUGAUUUGAAACUUGCCAUGCGACAUACUUUCGUCCCUGCUUAUUAUACUCGUGACAUGAUUAAGAAGUUGCAACACUUAAAACAAGGUAGUGAAACUGUAACAAAAUAUUAUGAUGAUUUACAAACUACCUUGUUGCAUUCCUCUUUAGAAGAAAGUGAAGAUGAUUUUAUGGAUAGAUUUUGGGGAGGAUUAAACCGUGAUAUUCAAGAGAUACUAAUUCAUGAAGAGUGUUAUCCUAUGGACCAUUUGUUUCAUCUUGCUUGCAAAGCUGAACAGGAAAUAAAACGACGUGUUGGCCACGAGGAGAACAAGCGCACAGUGCACAUUCCAAGAGUUGAUAUGAUUGUUCCUUCAACUACUAGGCAUACUAUGACAACCUCAUCCGUUGUUGUCAGGACUACAUCACCUCCACCAUGUGACACAUCGCCCCCGAGAGUGGCUACAUCAUCUGAGUUGAUCAUAAGAGGUAAUGACAAAGGUACUGAUCUUCCAUCUCUACAUGAGAAUGAUGAAUGCCUUGUCAAUUUGAAUGCACCAUCUGAUGAGCUACCCACUACUUUGAUCACACCACCUAUUUUAGAGGACCACGUUGAUAAUUUGACUUUCCCAUGUGAUCAAACAACUGAAAUACCAACAAUUUUGAGUGCACCCAUUGAAUUAACUAUUGAUGCAAAAGAACCAAUGUUUAAUCAUUUUGAUAUGACCUCUAAUCUUGGUGAUGAUUCUGUGUUGAAUGACUUAUUGCAUGUUUGCUUAUUUAAGCAUGUUGUAGCAUGUAAAUUUGAUGCAAGUAAGGUUUAUUCACCAAUGUUGGGAUGGUUUAAUGAUGAACAUUGUCAAUCUUUUGAAAUGAAUAAGAGCUUCACUUAUAUGUGCAAACUGAGUUGCAAUAUUUUCAUGCCUUCUACUUCUUGUGCUAAUUUUUUGGCUUUAGAUUUUAUGAACUAUGCAAGUUACUAAUCUAUUCAUGUGUCAUAUAUGCAAAAAUCAAGGGAAGUAAAAAUGGAUGACAUAUACAUAUACAACAUGUACACCUUGUCUCUUUUGUUAGCCACAUUUCAGAUUAAGCAACGCCGAGGACGGCUUUAUUUUCAAGAAGGGGAGGAUGAUGAGGACAUGACUACCUUGGAUAUGACCAAAAAUAUUGCAUAUAUGCAUAUUUGUCAGGUGAUUUCUAGUGCAAACUAUUCAAUAAUCUAUUUAUGUUAUCCAGAACAAAAAUACUUCACACACUUUUGUGUUUUGUCUAAUUGCAGGUGUAUGGGACAUUUGUACAAUCCACAUAUGAAGAUAAGGAAGAAAGAGAUGUUUAUUUGCUGUCCAAAAAGUUCUCUCACGUCACUUUUGGCCCAAGAGAAGAUAGAGUCCAAGUCUCUCACGUUCUGGAUUCAGAUUCGGACUGCACAGAUACACCUGAUUCAAAACGGACACAAGUUUUUCAUACGGACUCCGAAUUGGGUGAUUCUUUUUUUGUUGGAAACUAGAUUUCGUGCACUUUCCAACCCAAUUGGAAUCACCUUCAAAUUCGUCCGGAGCGUUGAGUUGUGGACGAAACAAUCUGAUGCUGUAGCAGAAUCCGAGUCAAACUACAAGUCCAAAGGUGUUACAUCACCUCCACUUGGGCCCAUUGGCCUUGUACGACCUAGAUUUAGUUUUAGGCUGCCUUGGGACGUCCUCCCACCUCCUUGGCCGCCACCCCUUGCUCCUAUAUAAGUAGAUCCAUCUAGUAGCUUUUCCUUGGGAUUUGUUUAGUUAAAAGUUAGCCAUUGCAACUUCGUGUACUUCGUUUGUGUCCAACGACCAGACCAAGACCGCUUACGGAUCCCCACCAUUAUCAAUACUUCAUAUAUAUUCGCAAUAUUCAGAUUGCUUUAUCAUAUUCUUGCUCGUUCUUCGAUUGCUUGCAGGAAUAGACCUUCGUGGUCAGGUUGAUCGUGCUCCAGCGUGGUCAAUAACCUCUCGGAGUUGGUUUAGCGAUUGCUAAAGCGCAACGUCGUGCACGUUUGUAGUCGGAUCGUCAAAGUCGUCUCCACGAAAUCGAUAGUUAUCAUCUCAUCGAAAGAUCGGGACACCCCGCCUCUAUCAGUCUAUCAAGAGGGAACAACCACCGGCAACAGAGAAGGAACACAAUCAAUGCAAUGCACAAUAUGAUGCAUGAUCAUGACAUGUCAAUAUGCUAUGAUUUGAGCUAGUGUAACUAGCAACAGGUUAAAUGGAGUUGGUUUGAAUCCAAGAUUCAAAUUCAAACUCCAUAUGUGGAUAUUUCAAAUGCCAUUUAUAUGAUUGGUCCUAAACAACAGCUAUAAGUUAUUCUAAUAUGCAUGAAAAUGGUGCAGAUGGAUAGAUCAGAGUUUUUUGAUCAUUUUUCAUAUAUAAAUCUUUUCAUUUGGAGUUACAGAUUAAUUUCCAUGAUUUUUUGAAGUUUACACUAUUUUUUGGAAUUUUCUGAAUUAUUUUAAAUCCAGAAAAUGUUUAACUACGUUAGUAUUGUGCAAGGGUGAUGUCAGCGGGUCAACUGGUCGGCCAGGUCAAACCUGAUCAGUGGUGUCCACACGUCAGCGAUCUAGUCAGUUAACACUGGCAGUUAGUGUUAGGUUUAACCCUAAACCAUAAUUAGCAUGAAGCGGGCCCCACCUGUCAUUGACCUGUGUGGAGACAAAUCAGGUCGAGCUGGGUCAAACCCACCGGCGGUUAAUCGCCGGGGAUGUCAGAGACGGCGCGGUGGCUCGGAAAUCACCCACAGGGCACGGCUUGAGGCACCGUUGGGCUCUCUGGAGAGCCCGUGCGACGGCGCGUCAGGUGGUGGUGGUUGCCGAGCCUAGGGUGGCCGGAAUCAACGUUGGUGACAAGGUCAGCGGCGGCCGUUGUUUGGGUGUGCACGGGGUUGGCGUUCCGGUGCAUAAAUGAGCGAGGCAAAAGGCUAAAAGGGUGCUACGCAUUGCGGGGAGUAGGUUGGACACUCCAGGGUGAGCAUUUGGUCACCGGAGCAUCGCCAAUGGCGAGCUCAGGCGGUAGUGCGUCUCGGUCAUCAAGGGGGUGACGGCUACGGCGAUCAAACCGAGGAGGGGUUAGGGGGGAAAUGACCGGGGGCUCAUCGCGGUCACGAAGAGCUGGUCAGCGGGUUCAGGGAUGGCUGGACGACGUCAGAGCAUCUCCGGCGAUCUAGAGAGCCAAAGGUUGAACACGACGGCGUCGGCGGCGUUCGGGGGCCUUCGGCAUUGCGUAGCUCGGCGAGGAGGUCGAGGGCGACACGGCGAAGCUCAGGGGCACGUCCGUAAGGCGAGGGGGAGGCGGUGGCUGCGAGGGCAAUGAAGGCAGCGACGGUGCCGCUUGGCCGGUGAGAGAGAGAGAGAGAGCCAGGGGACGGGAGAGGCCACGGGUAAGGGAGUGAGAGGUCGGGGGUGCGUGGUGUCGUCUAGAGCCGUCCAGGGUGUCGACAGAAGCAGGAGGUGACCGUCGGUGGCCGCGCGCGUGCUAGCGCACCGCGGACACACGCCCUCGUGCCCACUGGCAUGGGGUUGAGGACGACUGACGCUGGCGAGUGGACUGGGCCGGCUCUACUGGGCCACCAGGUAAGGGGGCUCACAAGUAGUCUCUCUUUCUGUUUUAUUUUCUUUUUUUGUUUUUCUGUCUCUGUUUUCGAUUUAGCAAAAAUGCUAAAUUAUUUAAAUAAACCCUGUAAAUAAUUGUGGGCACUUGUGAAAUUAUUCCCAACAGCCCUCAAGUACUUUUAGAAUUAUUUGGACAUGUAAAAAUAUUUAUAUUAUUUAAAUGUCCAAAUGCAAAUACCUUUAUGGAUUAUUUCAACAAUCCAGAGUGUCCUACAAAAAUGUGCACCAUUUUUUCCAUGGUUUUAGCCCAAACCAGAAAUGAUGAACAUUUUGUGAAGGCCAUUUUGGGUUCUUUGAAACCAAUUUUGGUUGAACCUAGUAAUUCAAAGGGGUGCUAAGGUUUGUUAAAUACCCAUUUCAAGUUUAAACAUUAAAUUUAAACAUGAUGCAACAUGCAAAUCUAACCCAAGUGCAUUAUUGAACUAGGGUUGUGACAAUAUAGCUCCAAGUAAGAUUACCGGUAAUGUUGAAAACAAAAGAGGGGAUGCCUUCCGGAGCAUCCCCAAUCUUAGUUGCUUGGGCCUUGCUUGAAUAUUACCUUGGGGUGCCCUGGGCAUCCCCAAGCUUAGGGUCUUGUCACUCUUAUUCUCCUCAUAUCGAUAUCUCACCCCAAUCUUGAAAAUCACACUAAACUUAACAGAACUUCGUGAGAUAGCUUAGUAUGAUAAAGACAAAUCAUUCACUUUGGUACUGUCAAGAUAAGAUCCAUAAUUGUUCACACACAAUUCCUACUAUACCCUACAAUUUCUAUAAUUUAUGUUGACCAAUAUACGCCAUAGUAACUAUAAACAAGCAAACUAUGCAUUGAAAACAGAAUCUAUGAAAAAAUAGACAUUCUAUAAUGAUCUGGACAAUGACCAUAUUUUUGUUACUCCAAAAUUUCUAAAAACUUAAGACAACAUAGGAAAUUUGUAUAUCCAUCAUCUGUAGAACAUUUAGAAUUUUUUGACACUCUAGUGAUAUUUAACAGUUCUGUUACUGGGCGCAAAAGUUUCUGUUUUUACACAGAAUCAAGUCAACUAUCAUCCACACUAUCCCAAAGGCUUUAUUUGGUACUAUAUUGAAACAAAAGCUAUAAAACAUGAUCGCUAUGGUAUCAUAAUCAUGUGAACACACAAAAGCACUAGGGGUAAAUGCUGGGUUGUCUCCCAAGAAGCACAUUUCUUUAAUGCCUUUUUAGCUAGGCAUGAUGAUUUCAAUGAUGCUCACAUAGAAGAUAAGAAUUGAAACACAAAGAGAGCAUCAUGAAGCAUAUGACUAGCACAUUUAAGCCUAACCCACUUCCUAUGCAUAGGGAUUUUGUCAGCAAACAAUUUAUGGGAGCAAGAAUCAACUAGCAUAGGAAGGCAAAACAAGUAUAACUUCAAAACUUUCAACACAUAGAGAGGAAACUUGAUAUUAUUGAGAUAUGUAGAAGCACAUAUUCUUGUCUCACAAUAAUUUUCAGUAGCAUCAUGAAUGAAUUCGACAAUAUAGCUAUCACAUAAAGCAUUCUUUUCAUGUUCCACAAGCAUAGAAAAAUUAUUUCUCUUCACAUAUGCAAAUUUAUUCUCAUUCAUAUUAGUGAGAGAAAAGUCAACAAAAUAACUAUCACAUGCUACUUGAUUCACAUAAUCAAUUUGAGCAUUAAAACCAUGCCGACAAGUUUCUUAGAUGUCAUUACUCUUUAUAGCAUACAUAUCAUCGCAAUAAUCAUCAUAGAUAGCAACUUUUUUAUAUAGUCAAUUGAAACCUCUUCCAAAAUAGUGGAUUCAUCAUUAAAUAAAGUGACGACCUCACCAAAUCCACUUUUAUCAAUAUUGUAAUAAGAUUCUACACCCUCCAAAAUAGUGGGAUCAUUACCUAAAGUUGACACUCUUCCAAUCCCAUAUCAUCAUUAUAAUCAUCAUAAAUAGGAGGCAUGCAAUCAUCAUAAUAAAUAUUCUCAUCAAAACUUGGGGGACUAAAAAUAUCAUCUUCAUCAAAGAUAGCAUCCCCAAGCUUAUGACCUUACUUAUCAUUAGCAUCAUGGAUAUUCAAAGAAUUCAUACUAAAACACUGCAAUCAUGCUUAUCAUUCAAAGAUUUUAUGCCAAACAUUCUACUGAAUUCGUCUUCUAUCAAUUGAGCACAAUUUUCCUUUCCAUCUUUUUCACGAAAGACAUUAUAAAGAUGAAUAAUAUGAGGCAACCUUAAUACCAUUUUUUGUAGUUUUCCUUUGUAAACCAAGCUAGUGAUUAAACAAGAAACUAAAAGAUCCAAUUGCAAGAUCUAAUAUACCUUGAAGCACUCAUCUCCCCAGUAAUGGCGCCAGAAAAGAGGAUGUCAACUACACAACUUUAUUCUUGUAGACUCGUGUUGGGCCUCCAAGCCCUGAGUUUUGUAGUACAGUAGCAAUUUUCCCUCAAGUGGAUGACCUAAGGUCUAUCAAUCUAUGGGAGGCAUAGGAUGAAGAUGGUCUCUCUCAAACAACCCUGCAACCAAAUACAAGAAAUCUCUUGUGCUCCCAACACGCCAAAUACAAUGGUAAAUUAUAUAGGUGCUAGUUUGGCGAAGAGAUGGUGAUACAAUUGUAGUAUGGAUAGUAGAUAUUGGAUUUUGUAAUAUGAAAUAAAAAGAUCAAGGUAGCAAUUAAUGAAAGUGAGCACAAAUGGUAUAGCGAUGCUUAGAAACAAGGCCUAGGGUUCAUACUUUCGCUAGUGCAAUCUCUCAAUGGUGCUAACAUAAUUGAAUCAUAUGGCAAUCCCUCAACGUGCUAUAAAGAAUCAAUACAAGGUUCUUACCUAGUGGAGAACAUAAGAAGAAUUUUUUUGUAGGGUACGAAACCACCUCAAAGUUUGCAAUAUCGCAAAAUUCUAAAUUUUGGAAUGUUAUAUUAAUUAAUUAAAUUGGAUUGUUUGUUUGAUUGAUUGACUGAAAGUGAGUGAAAUUUGAAACUUUUUGAAAGUUGAAGGAGAGGGAAUAAACAAAUUUUCCCAAAGCUUUCAUCUUUACUUUUGAUCUCCAAUGCAUUCAAAUUCAUUUCAUCACAAAACCCUAGAGUGCAGAAAAUAUGGCUUCUUCCAUUUAAAGAAAUAAAAAGGGAUUUGAAAAUGAUUUGAAUUCCAUUUGAAAAUAUUUCAGGGUCAAAAACUUUGUGCAACUCACUGAUCCUCGUGAGAGAAGAUAAAAUGACGUCUUCAAAUUAGAAGAAAGAGAGUUGGAAGUUUCAAGGAAUCAUUUGGAAAACCAUUUUGAAGUUAUUUGAAUUUCCAAAAUUCAAAUUCUCUGUGCUGAGGACAUCGAUACCAUUGUUACACCCACAGCCCUUGUUGUUAUACAUACUGGACCAAUUACUAGAGCUCACGCGCGCCAAUUGAAUUAUCAGGUACUUUCGUUUCUUGGUAACGAUUCUAAUGUUCAUGAGAAUAUGAUGCUGCCUAAAUUGGAUACAUUUGUUUUGCUUACAAAUGAAGGGCCUAGCUUGGACAAGAAAGAUGAACCUUGGAACAAAUUCAAGCAUGGAGAUGAUGGCAUGCGCAAGGGGGUCAAGAAUGGAGUUACAAGUGAUGAUUUCAGGACUUUGAAGCCACCAUAAGGAGUGCAUGAAGCCUUGGACGAAAUAUACGAGAUGCAACUUCAUAAAUUUCGUCCAGAGGCUAUUUUAGGUGCUGCGUCACCUUAUUAUUGGGCUAGGCCCAUGUAUUUUCGAAAUACUUAAGUAUAGGCUGUUUUUAGAGUCCGUAUGUGUGGGGAAACAAGAGUUAGGGUUGGUUUCGGACCCCUCCUCCAAGGGCCAAGAAAUCCCCCCUCUUCCUCCAUAUAUACAGCCCUUAGGGCGUCGUUUAGACUUCGGUUUUUGUUUAGAUUUAUGUUCGCCAUAGCUGCAACUUCACAUACUUCAUUUGUGUUCAACAACCAGACAAAGGCGUCAUAGAACCCCACCUUGAUCAAUAAAGCUUUCAUCUUAUAUUCGCAAUAUCCAGAUUGCAAUCUCAGUUUCUUACUUGUUCUUCGUUUAAACGCAGGAAACAAACCCUCGUGCUCAGGUUGAUCGUGCUCCGCGCGUGGUCAAUAACCCUCGGAAGUUGGUUUAGCGAUUGCUAAGGUGCGAUGUCUCGCACGUUCGUAGUCGGAUCGUCAAGGUUGACUCCCACAGAAAACGAUAGCCACCAUCUCAUCGAAACAUCGGGACACCUUCGCCUCUAUCACUCCGAAAGUUAUUCAAAAUGAGAGAAGUAAUAUGACACUUCAGAAAUUCAGAGGCAUUUGAAUACAUUUUGAAUGAGGAAAAAUAGAAAAGAGUUGGAAGUGGUUUGAAUUCCAAAUUCGAAACCAUUUAGGAGUUAUUUGGAUUUUAUCCAAAUUAUUUUUCUCCUAAGAAUAAAUAGUGGAAAUAAGGGUAAAAUGAUUAACUUAAAUGGAAACUUUGGAGAAAAUAAUUUUGAAAUCAUUUUGGCAUUUAAAAAAUUAUUUUUAUUGGGUUUUAUCGCAACAACAACAUUAUUUGACUUUCGUGAAUUUUUGUGGAUUUUAUUUGUAUUUGAAAAUAUGUUCCUGUUUUAGGAAUUUUUUUUUGAAUUUUUUGAUAUAUGUAUAUAUGUGUCCUAUAUAAAAUUAAUUUUAUUUUCUCUAUUUAUUUUAUUUUCUUUCUUUCUGUCAAAAAAGCAAAUUCCCAGCGGCCAGGCCAGACGCAGCCAGCAGGCCACGCAACGCCGCAACCAGCGAGCGAGCCACCAGCUGCGCAGACAACGAGACCAGCAAUGCCCCAUGUUCUAAAAAAGGUCGAACGCCCAACCUUAUCAAUAACGACCCGACCUCAAACGGUCAAGCCUCUGUGUAUGUGUGCCAUCCCUGGAUCAGUAUGGUGGCACACACAAUAUAUCAAUGUAUGUAUCAAAGUGCAAUCACAUGUAUAAAUAACGUAAAACUGAUAUAUAUACCUCAUAAGUCUUAGCGGAAGCAAACAAUCAAGUGUGGGGUCCCAUCGACGCCAUCGGCAAGUUGAGUGUAGACCAUAACCUAACAACGAAAAUCACUCAUCGUAGAAAUAAUUGAUGGGGAACGUUGCAUGAAAUUCAAAAAAUUUCCUACAAACACCCAAAAUCUAAUCUAGGAGAUGCACAACAACGAGAGGGGAGUGUGUCUGCAUACCCUUCUAGACCGAAAGCGGAAGCGUAUAUAAUGCGGUUGAUGUAGUCGUAAUCUUCGCGAUCCGAUCACGAUCCAAUCCGAUCUAAUGCCGAAUGGAUGGUACCUCCGUGUUCAGCACACGUGCGGCUCGAUGACGUCUCCUCCUUAUUCAUCCAGCCAGAAAGGGUGGAGAAGUAGAUGGGAUCUCAACUAGCACGACGGUGUGGUGGAGAUGGUGGUGGUGUAGUGCCGGCAGGGCUCCGCCAAUCUGAGGAGAAAACAGAGUAGCAGGAGAGGUAGGGCUGCCGCCGGGGUGUUGGAAUUGGUGUGUUCAGCCCUUCCCUCUUCCCCCCUAUAUAUAGGAGGCAAGGGGGAUGGUUGGGUCCCAGCCUUAGCCCCUCCUCCAUGGAGGAGCGUGGGCCUAGGAAGGUCUCCUCCCUCCCCAAGGCACCUAGGGGGGUGCCUUCCCCCUUAGGACUCUUCCUCCUCCACCACUCGUUGGCGCAUGGAUGUUUUGGGGCUGGUGCCCUUGGCCCAUGUAGGCUAGGACGUCCUCCCUAUAGCCCAUGUUCACCCUGGGGGCAGGUGGACCCCCAGACUCCUUUUGGCACUCCUGGUAUAAUAUCGAUAAUGCCCAAAACUUUUCCGGCGAGCAAAACAGGAAUUCCUAUAUAUAAAUCUUUACCUCCAGACCAUUCCGGAGCUCCUCGUUACAUCCAAGAUCUCAUUCGGGACUCCGAGCAACAUUCAGUCACCAACAUAAAUAUCCCAAUACUACUCUAGUGUCACCGAACGUUAAGCGUGCGGACCCUAUGGGUUCAAGAAUCAAUAACCAAUAGCGGGACCUAGAUGCCCAUAUUGGUUCCCACAUAUUCCACGAAGAUCUUUUAUCGGUUGAACUACGAUGUUGAAGAUUCGGAUAAUCCUGUAUGCAAUUCCCUUUAUCCAGCGAUAUGUUACUUGCCAGAGAUUCGAUCAUCGGUAUCUCCAUACCUAGUUCAAUCUUGUAACCGACAAGUCUCUUUACUCAUUUCGUAAUACAAGAUCUCACGACUAACUCAUUAUCCACAUUGAUUGCAAGCUCUUUACGAUGUUGUAUUACCAAGAGGGCCCAGAGAUAUCUCUCCAUCACACGAAGCGACAAUUCCCAGUCUCGAUCAAUGCAACCCAACAAACACCUUUAGAGAUACCUGUAGAGCACCUUUAUGAUCACCCAGUUAUGAAGUGAUGUUUGAUUGCAUAAAAGGUAAUCCUAUGGUAUCCUGGAGUGGCACGAUCUCAUGGUCGAAGGAACAGAUACUUGACAUGAAGAAAGCUAGAACAAAUAACUUAACGAUCUGAUGCUAAGAUUACAGUUGGGUCUAGUCCAUCACAUCAUUCUUUUAAAAAUGUUAUCCUGUUACCAAAUAACAAUUAAUGUCUAUGGUUAGGAAACCUUAACCAUCUUUGAUCAACGAGCUAGUCUAGAAGAGGCUUACUAGGGACACGAUGUAGUUUAUGUAUUCACACAUGUAUUUAUGUUUCCAGUCAAUACAAUUCUAGCAUGAAUAGUAAAUAUUUAUUAUGAACGGGAAAUAUGAUAAUAAUCAUUUUAUUAUUGCCUCUAGGGCAUAUUUCCAACAGUCUCCCACUUGCACUAGUCAACAAUCUAGUUCACAUUGUUGUGCGAUUAACACCCUAUGAGUUGUGGGGUUUGAUCAUGUUUUCCUUGUGAGAGAGGUUUUAGUCAACGGGUCUGCAACAUUCAGAUCUGUUUGUACUUUGAAAAUCUCUAUGUCAUAAUGUAGAUGCUACUACCCUCCACUUGGAGCUAUUCGAAAUGACUGCUCCACUAUGCGUAUCCGGCUUGCGACUUAGAGUCAUCCGGAUCGGUGUCAAAGCUUGCGUCUAUGUAACCCUUUACGAUGAACUCUUUAUCACCUCCAUACCUGAGAAAAAUUUCCUUAGUCCUCUUUAGGUACCUAAGGAUAUUAUUGGCCGAUGUCCAAUGAUCCACUUCUGGAUCACUCUUGUACCCCCCCUGCCAGACUCAUGGUGAGGCACACAUCAGUUCUGGUACACAGCAUGGUAUACAUUAUAGAGCCUAUGUCUAAGGCAUGGGGGAUGACCUUCAUCCUUUCUCUUUCUUCUAUCGUGGUCGAGCUUUGAGUCUUACUCAACUUCACACCUUACAAUACAAGAAAUAACUCCUUCUUUGACUAAUCCAUUUUGAACUCCUUCAAAAUCUUGUCAAGGUAUGUGCUCUAUGAUAGUCUUAUCAGGCAUCUUGAUCUAUCACUAUAGAUCUUGAUGCCCAAUAUAUAAGUAGCUUUACCCAGAUCUUCCUUUGAAAAACUCCUUUUAAAAAAACCCUUUAUGUUUUCCAGAAAUUCUACAUCAUUUCCAAUCAACAAUAUGUCAUCCACAUAUAUUAUCAAAAAAGCUAUAGAGCUCCGACUCACUUUAUUUUAAAUACAAGUUUCUUCACAAAAUUCCUAUAAUCCCAAAAGCUUUGAUCACAUCAUCAAAGCGUAUAUUCAAACUCUGAGAUGCUUGCACCAGCCAUAGAUGGAUCGCCGGAGCUUGCAUACUUUGUUAGCAUCCUUAGGAUUGACAAAACCUUCCGGUUGCAUCGUAUACAACUCUUCCUUAAGGAAACCAUUAAGGAACACUGUUUUGACGUCCAUCCGCCAGAUCUCAUAGUCGUAAUAUGUGGCAAUUGCUAACAUAAUUCUAACAGACUUAAGCAUCUCUACGUGUGAGAAAAUCUCAUCGUAGUCAACUCCUUGAAUUUGUCCAAAACCCUUUGCGACAAGUCAAGCUUUAUAGACGGUGACAUUACCAUCAUCGUCUGUCUUCUUCUUAAAGAUCCAUUUGUUCUCAAUGGCAUGCCGGUCAUCAGGCAGGUCCACCAAAGUCCAUACUUUGUUCUCAUACAUGGAUCCCAUCUCGGAUUUCAUGGCCUCAAGCCAUUUGUUGAAAUCCGAGAUCAUCGUCGCUUAUUCAUAGUUCAUAGGUUCGUCGUUGUCUAAUCACAUGACUUCCAGGACGGGAUUCGAUACCACUCUGGUGCAGAACAUGUCCUGGUCGGUAGUAACUUGAUCUGAAGUUUCAUGAUCAUCAUCAUUAGCUUCCUCUUCGGUUGGUGUAGGCAUCACGGGAACUGCUUUCUGUGAUGUGCUACUCUCCAGUUUGAGAGAAGGUAUGGUUACCUCAUCAAGUUCUAGUUUCCUCCCACUCACAUCUUUCGAGAGAAACUCCUUAUCUAGAAAGGACCCAUUCUUAGCAACAAAAAUGUUUCCCUCAGAUCUGUAAUAGAAGGUAUACCCAGUGGUCUCUUUACGGUAUCCUAUGAAGACACAUUUCUCUGCUUUGGGUUCGAGCUUAUCAGGCUGAAGCCUCUUGACAUAAGCGUCGCGUCCCCAAACUUUAAGAAAUGAUAGCUUAGGUUUCUUGCCAAACCACAACUCAUAUAGUGUCAUCUCAAUAGACUUAGACGGUGCCCUAUUUAAAGUGAAUGUGCCUAUCUCUAAUGCAUCACCCCGAAAUGAUAGUGGAAAAUUGGAAAGACACAUCAUAGAACGCACCAUAUCCAAUAAAGUACGGUUAUGACAUUCGGACACACCAUUAUGCUGUGGUGUUCCAGGUGGUGUUAGUUGUGAAACAAUUCCACAUUCUCUUAAAUGAGUGCCAAACUCAUACUCAAAUAUUCACCUCCACAAUCAGAUCGUAGAAACAUUAUUUUCUUGUUAUGACGAUUAUCCACUUCACUCUGAAAUUGCUUGAACUUUUCAAAUGUUUCAGACUUCUGUUUCCUUAAGUAAAUAUACCCAUAUAUACUCAAAUCAUCUGUGAAGGUAAUAAAAUAACGAUAUCCAUCGCAUGCUUCAACACUCAUCGGACCGCAUACAUCGGUAUGUACUAUUUCCAAUAAGUCACUAGCUCGCCCAUAAGGCAUGGUUCACAUGUCUCAAGUGAUUCAUAAUCAAGAGAUUCCAAAAGUCAAUCAGCAUGGAGUUUCUUCAUUCGCUUUAGACUAAUAUGACCUAAGAGGCAGUGCCACAAACAUGUGGUACUAUCAUUAUUAACUUUGCAUCUUUUGGCAUCAAUAUUAUAAAUAUGUGUAUCACUACAAUCGAGAUUCAACAAGAAUAAACCAUUCACAAGGGGUGCACGACCAUAAAAGAUAUUACUCAUAUAAAUAGAAUAACCAUUAUUCUUGGACUUAAAUGAAUAACCAUCUUGCAAUAAACAAUAUCCAGAUAUAAUGUCUUAUGAUCAACACAAGCACUAAAUGGCCAUUAUUUAGGUUUAAUACUAGUACCAAAGGUAUUACAAGCGUGUCGAUGGUGAUCAUAUCAACCCUGGAGACACUUCCAACACUCAUCAUCACCUUUCCCUCAGCUAGUCUCUGUUACUCCGUAGCUCCUGGUCCGAGUUACUAAUAUUAGCAACUGAAUAGGUAUAAAAUACCCAGAUGCUACUACUAGCACUAGUGAGGUACACAUCAAUAACGUGUAUAUCAAAUAUACCUUUGUUGACAUUAAUAGGCUUCUUAUCUGCCAAGUACUUGGAGCAGUUCCGCUUCCAGUGACCAUUCCCCUUGUAGUAGAAGCACUCAGUCUCGGGUUUAGCUUUAGCCUUGGGAUUCUUCGUGGGAGCAGUAACUGCCUUGCCAUUCUUCUUGAAGUUCCCUUUCUUUCCUUUUCCCUCCUUGAAACCAGUGGUCUCAUUGACCAUCAACACUUGAUGCUCUUUCUUGAUUCUACCUCCAUGGCCUGAAACACCGUGAAGAGCUUAGGGAUCGUUUUCUCAUCCCUUGCAUAUUAUAGUUCAUCACGAACCCUUAUGGCUUGGUGACUGGAAAACAUAAUCAACUAUUGUCUUAUCUUCAAGAUUAACUCCCACUUGAUUCAAGCGAUUGUAGCACCUAGACACUCUGAGCACAUGCUCACCAACUGAGUUGUUCUCCUCCAUCUUGCAGCUAAAUAACUUGUCAGAGGUGUCAUACCUCUCAACCCGGGCAUGAACUUGAAAUACUAAUUUCAGUUCCUGGAACAUCUCACAUGCUCCAUGGUUCUAAAAACGUCUUUCAAGCCCCAGUUCUAAGCCAUAAAGCAUGGCGCACUAAACUAUCGAGUAGUCAUUAGAACAUGCCUGCCAGACGUUCACAACAUCCACAGAUGAUGCUAGAGGGGUUGGCACACCGAGCGGUGCAUCAAGGACAUAAGCCUUCUGUGCAGCAGUGAGGACAAUCCUCAGACUACGGACCUAGUCCACAUAAUUGCUUUCAACUUAGCCUUUCUCUAGGAACAUAUUAAAAAUAGGGAGCUACAUCGCAAGUACUGAUCUACAACAUAAGUUGCAAAGAAAAUUUAGACUAUGUUCAUGAUAAUUAGUUCAGUUAAUCAAAUUACUAAUGAACUCCCACUUAAAUCAACAUCCCUCAAGUUGUCUAAGUGAUACAUGAUCCAAGUCAACUAACCCAUGACCGACCAUCACGUGAGAUGGGGUAGUCAUCAAUGGUGAACAUCUCCAUGUUGAUCAUAUCUACUAUAUGACUCAUGUUCGGCCUUUCGGUAUUCUGUGUUCCGAGGCCAUGUUUGUACAUGCUAGGCUCGUCAAGUUUAACCCAAGUAUUCCACAUGUGUAAAACUUGCUUACACCCGUUGUAUGCGAACAUAGAGUCUAUCACACUGAAUCAUCAUGUGGUGCUUCAAAACGAUGAACUUUCGCAACUAUACAUAUAAAGGGAGAACACCUUUUAUCUUGAAAUUAAGUGAAGGGCUAUCUUAUAAUGCUACCUGUAGGAACGAAGUAUGUCUACCAGAGGGGGAGGGGGUGAAUGGGAGUUUUAAUUUUUCUUCGGAAAAAUCAAAACUCUCGGAACCCAGCAGCCGAAUGUAAACAGAAUACAACGAGUGAAUGUAAAUUAAAAGCAUGCAUCGAGACAUAUCACAAGAUAGAAACAAUUCGAAAGUAAAGAGGAGAAGCAGUGGUAACCAGUGAUGCUCGAUGGCGACAAGGAAUUUGGUAGACCAGUUCACCCUUCUGCACAAGGUCUGGUUGGAGGGGUUGUGAUUUAACAUAGAACAUAAACUCGCUUCGCCCUAUUCUCCUUGACAAUUGGUUCGUCAACCAAUGUCGAUCACCCAUAGUAGAUACUUGAGGCGAUCUCCAAACCUUUAUAGACUUCAUCGAGAACCACAAUUACUCUUAGUUUCUAAAUAAAUUGACACCUAACCAUCUAGAGAGUUUGCAGCUCUCAAGACUAAUAGGCGGAGCAUACUAGACUUAGAUUCGAGUGAUGCUGAAACACUAUCUAAUUUUUUGACUCUAGGGUUUUCUCUCGGUGGAUUUUAAACUCAAAUCACUCUGGAGAGGGGUUGCUCAACAAUCUUCUCACAAUCAAAUGGAGCAGCCACCGGACAACGCUGGCGCAGGGUUGCUAUUUAUAGCCGCAACCUUCCCUGGUGGGAAAUGACCAUUUUGGACACGCGGUCCAGCCAAUGGCCAACCGACACAUUUACAACUAUCGGAUUUUAAGAGCAACAGUAACAUUACUUGCAGACCAAGUAGUACUAACUCCUAGGUCCGAGACAAAUCUCUCAUAGUGAAGAAUAUCACAGUGUCUUGCUAGCAAGUAUUUGCUCGGAACACAAAUAGGUUUCUCCAGAAACUUUCACUAGAUUUGGGUUUAGUAUCAGAGAAUCAAACGCUACACCCCUUUUAAUAGUACGGUGGUCCUGUGACUCAAUAAAGAAGAAAGAAACAAUGAAAUAAAUGCUAUGUCUUCACUCCGUCUACAAUCUUCUCGUAAGCAUUCACUUCCUUCAGACAAUCAUCGAACCAAUUGCUUCGCGUUAGCAAUUUUUGAGGGGGCACUCCUGUUAUCAUAAUCUUCGGCGGUAACCUUCGCUGUCACGUAGGUGAUUAUCUUCAUCGUUUGAAUCAAACUCCUCUUAUUCCAGGGACCUGUUACUCUGUGUGCACUAGCAAACACAAAAGUCCCAUACUAUUUAUGUCAACAAACUCCAAAACACGAGGAGGCAAAUUAUUGCAGCAACAAUCUCCCCCUUUUUGGAUGGUUGUUGACAAAACAGAUAACCAUCAAAGUGAAGAUAGAUAAAUAAUAGGUAAUUCAAACAAGAGUGAAUAAGUGUUACUUUGCUCGAUGAUGAAAUAGACUCCCCCUAAAUGUAUGUAGGAAUAAUAAUAUGAGAUUAAUUCUCCCACAAAUAUUGAACUAUACAGAGGAAAUUUCCAAUCACCCGAGUCAAUUAUUCGCACUGAUGAUAUAAAAUCCAUCGAGAUUGUAGUGCAAUCAUUCAGAACUUCCGAUAAUAAUUCCACCUGCAAAACAAAUGCUUCAAGAGAAAUAGUGCAGCAGGUAGGGUUAUUAAUAUUACAACACAGAAGUCUUACAACUUAGAGCAAAUAAGUUUAUACCAGAAGUUCAAACUUGCACAAAACCAAAACAAGGAAACACAGAAAGAAAAUCUAUCGAGACUUGAUGUAAUUCUCCCCCUUUUGUCUACUAGUGUCAAAAAGGUGAAGAAUAACAUGAGUGCAAAACACAGACCUUGGUUCACUCGGUGGCAUCUCCAGAAGAAUUGUCCAAGGUGAUUUCGUUUCUAGAAGUGACUGGAUUGGCUUUGUCUUCAGCAACAUCAUAUUUUCCUUCAGGGAUAACAACUCAGCCACAUGAGGAACAUGAGAUAGCGCAUUGCCUUCGGCAAGUUUCUCUGUCAGCGAAGUGGCUUCAUAUUCUUCGAGCAAUUUGCGAAGCUUGAUAUUAAGAAGAUCAGUAGUUGUCUCACGAACAGGAAGAGGAGGGGUACUCAUAUCUUGGAAAUCUUCAACAUUGAAGCCUUUGUCAAUGUAAUCAUAGAGAUCUUUGAGAUUGACAUUCAGGAGUUGUUUAUUGGUAAAGAACUUGCGAAGAAAUUUCCAGAGCCUCUUCUUGUUUUCAUCCGCAAUUAGAUGCGCAAUCCUAGUGCAAUUGUAGAGAGCAUUUAGCUCAACGGCGAGGUGUUCUUUUUUGCGCCGAUCCUUCUCUAUGUGCUUCAACAACAGUUGUUAUGUAUGCAAACUGAAUUCGAGUUGCGAUGGAGGUUGAGGCGAAAUCUGUCAUUCACGCUGAGGGAGAUGUGGCCCUUCAAAAUGCUUGGGACAAUCAUGAGGGCUUAACGUAGGUGAUUUGUCCGAAGAAAUAUCUUCCAUAACUGGCAAGGUAUCAUGAAUAGGAGGUAUGAAGCUUUUAUGACUAACUUACGCCAGAUACUCUAUACGCAUAGCAUGGUCAAUCACUUUCUGGAUCCAUGGUGCAAACACUUUGAUGCAGAAGGGAUAUUGAGCAGAAUCCUUCAGAGUCCACAGAAAAAUGUCCUCAACAUCGAAGAUAUACUGCUUAGAUAUGGCAUACAUAUUGUUCCGAAGAAUAUCUAGGAUGGACUUAUCUACAUUCAUCCCGGCCAGAGGGAAAAUAGUGUAAGAGAGCUUAUUAUAUAUCUUUUGAUACUCAAACGUUAAAUGCUCAGGAUGGGGAGGACUAGUGUAGUCACGAAUCUUUCCUGGAUCCAUAGUGUGCUGAAAGGUUUCAUAUGAUAUGACAUCAAUGUUGUGCACACGAAUUUCAGUAUAACCAUGCUCUAAGCGAGGGAAAUGGAAGUGCAAGACAAAAUCUGUUGAAGUGCAUUUGAUGCAUUUUCCUUCGGUCAUCCACUCCAUAAUCUAUUUUGAGCUGUCAGAUUCAUCACUAGAGAUAUACGGAGUAGCAUCAAACUGAAGAAUAAUCUCUCUAUUCCAAGGAUGCUCAAACUUGAAUACCUUGGUGAGGCAGAAAUCAUCCAAAUAUUGCAGCAACUGAUUGAAGUAGCCAAUAUUACACAUAGUAGGGAUGUCCAGAUAUUCAUGUGGAAAGAUCUUCCUUCUCUCAUGGAGGACCUGAGUGUAAUAUAUGGCAUGUUCCUUAGUCCAGAAGCGACGUGAUUCCCAAGUGCACGGCCCACCAUAUGGACUAUCUUGAAAGAAUUUGGGGUGCGCAUUCCGAUUGAAAGGAGGACCUUUGGGGCCAUCUCCCGACGAGAAUAACGACAGUUCUUCAUGAGGAUAUGGAUAUUUGAGUUCAUCUUCACGUGAAAGAAAAUCGUAGCCAUAUACAAUGGAGUCAGUGCAACGAGCAGAAACAUUUUUUUUCUCGGAGGGACCAACAUCUUGCAUUUUCCUUGCUGUGUCGACAGAUAACUUAAUGUGAGAAGGAGCUGGUUGCACAAUAGUGGAGCUGCAGAGCCAAUAGACAUUUGAGCGGAUUCCUUGAUUGUAGGCACUAAGGCCGAAUCAAGCACUGGAGGCUGUUGAGGUUCGUCCGCUGGAAUCUUAUGUUGUUGUUGAGCAAUUUCAUGAGCCAGAGAAGCAUUGGGUCAGAGCGAGGGAUUUCUCAUUCCUCGGAAACAUUUUUCUGGGGUGGAAUAUCAGCUUGAACAGGGGAGGCCACAUGCACUGAUUCAGUUGGCCUUGGUGAGGGAGGAGCGUCCGAGUCUCUCACAGGAGAAUGCAAAGGAAUAACUGGCUCAGGAGAUUUUUCUUUCUGGGACCGAGCCUCUGGUUGUUCAGGUGACUUUUCUGUCAUAACAUGAGGUACAUUUUUCUUUUCAAUCUUCUUUUGUUCUUCUUCUUUUGCUAAGCAACUUGAUCAAUGUGGCCUUUGACCAGAUCAUUAUAGCCAGGAACUUCUUCACAACAUUGCCAUCUUUCCAUCUUGAUGAUUUUCAUUUUGGGCAUUCACUUAAGUUGGAAUAAUCCUUCCAGAACAGAAUACAAUUAUUCUUACAAACAUGGGUCAUAUCAUAUCCAAUUCCAACUGCACGAAGGAAAUUCUUCAUUUUACUGUAGGUGUGUGGAAGCUCAGACGCAUCUGGGAAAGAUUUGCGGAAAGUAGCCAACAUCGCAUCGAAUGAUUUGUUGGUCAUCCACUCAGAUGUCUCCACCUGAAGAAAGGUGACCAUAGCUGAGAAUACUGACAGCUUAUUUCCUGGCAUGACAGCUACAUUGCAUUGUUCCAACAUGUGGGCCCACCAUUUUUCUUCCACAGGUGAAAGUUCACGAAAUGCACAAGCAUUUCGUAGCAUUGUUUCAAUGUUUGUCAAACUCACUGGCUCCUCCACCACCACCUCCUCCUCCUCUUCCACUUGAGCAUUAGGCAGAUCAAGAUGGUAAUCUGCUGCUUCCACAUAGUCAGUAACAUUGACGUUCACAACAUCACAAUGAUGAACCCACCUAGUAUAUGUGACCGACAUACCAAACAAGUGUAGAUGAUUUUGCACAGUUGAGUGGGGUCUUGUAACUAAAUUAAUACAACUACUACACGGGCAGAGCACAUCUGAUUUCGGACCACCGUACUCAGCUCUGAUAAAGUUCAUGAAGUUUUCAACCCCCUCAACAUAUGAAGCGGAGAAUCUUCGAGUAGAAGUAGUCCAAGUCCUGUCCAUUUGUUAGACAUACAAAUUAGUUCUUCUACUAGAUAUUACAUGAAAAACAUAUAUGCUUUUCUAUGAAGUCUAGAAAAAAAUACCUAGGUCGAUGUCUAAAGCUAUGGCAAGAUAUUUGGACAACCAGAUCUAAGUACCGAAAUAUAUGUAAAGCUAAUUCAGCAAAUAGAUUUGAGUGCUAAAUUAUGGUAGGUUGUUUCAGCAGUCAAUGAGGCCGAGCACACAAUCAUCAAAGGCCAUCUCAGCAACAAAGAUCGAUUAUAAAAUAGUGUAGAGCUAUUUCACCUAACAGUUUGGCUACUAGACCAUGGCAAUCUACGUCACAAUAAAUAUAUGGCAGGAUAUUUUAGCAACUAAUCGGGCUCGGCACGCCAUCUCAGCUAAGCAGAUUCAGUGCAGAACAGGGCAAGGAAGCUUCUUAAGAAGAGCAUAUUGACUGUAAACUACUUUGUCAAAUAGUGAGAUUAACUGAGUCUAUCGGCUAACAUUCAACACUACUCCGACAUGCACGGGGCAUCAGUCUAGAGUGCGCAUACCGUGGGAAAAGCUGACCGCCAUGCAUCUCCUCAAGAACGUCGGCAGCGGUGACGGCGCUAACGCCAUGCGUCUCCAGAAGAACGUCGCCAACGGUGGUGGCGCGACUAGAGGACGUCAGUCUACGAGAGCGUACAGUGGGAGCAAGAGGAUCGUCAUGCGUCCCCUAGACGAACCGUGGCGCCAAGGUAUUGGUGCGGUGGGGAGGGCGACUUUGGCGGAGCGAAUGNNNNNNNNNNNNNNNNNNNNNNNNNNNNNNNNNNNNNNNNNNNNNNNNNNNNNNNNNNNNNNNNNNNNNNNNNNNNNNNNNNNNNNNNNNNNNNNNNNNNNNNNNNNNNNNNNNNNNNNNNNNNNNNNNNNNNNNNNNNNNNNNNNNNNNNNNNNNNNNNNNNNNNNNNNNNNNNNNNNNNNNNNNNNNNNNNNNNGGGGAUUUUUGGGGUGGAUUUUCGCGUGGUGGGCGGGGGGAGUUUGAAGCAUGGUCGGUUUCUCCAAGUGCAGUCCCACGUGUCAGUGAAGAGGCAAGCCGAACUGCGUUCUAUUUGCGUGAGCCGUGUGCAGGACCGACCAUGUGUGGGGUGCAAUGCGACCGCGACAGGCGUGCUAUGUGUGUACCACCUUUUUCCCUAUUAAACUUGGUGCUUCGCCCCCUCAAAAAAAAACCUUGGUGCUUCGCGCGAUCCAUCGAUACUACUACUAGUAAUCCGGUAAUCCCAAGUAAAACGGAGCGGCCGGGUCUUUUCCCGUGUGAUAUGCUGGGAGGUUGGCUUAGUUGGUUUUUUAGGACGAGUAAUGGUACACCUACGUAAUCCCAGUUACGUAAUUAAUGUAAUGUGAAACAUGUGAGCUGUUGAUUGUAGAUUGGAUGGAGGGAUGGGCCCACCACCAUGAUAAUCAGGGGGGAGAGAGAGGCAAUAUAUGUUAACACUUUCGUAAGCUCCCGUAGAUGUAGAAAGAUGUGAAAUGCGUGAAUGUGUAGUGGACGUACUAUUGGAGUGCCUAGGAUAAAUUGUGUAUGUAGACCCUAUGUGUUUAUUUACUUCCCAUGUUAGCUUUGUCUCGGGUCAAACCUUCUAAGUUUAUACACACAAAAAUGAAUCAUCAUUCCAGAUACUCCUACAGUAUAUCUUACUAUUAUUCGUCAUAUACACCAGACGAGAUUAAUGCAAACACCAUUACAUUUCAAACUUUUAUAGGACAGAAAAAUAAAAGAAACCCGACCCUAAACCUAUUCUACGGCGGUGACCGACGUCCUCCAUCUGUGAUCUCCAUGUACGGGGUUGGGGUUCAAGACCCGUGAAGCGAAGGUGCGGUCUCCGAUGAGGAACAAUAGACCACGUGAGAUGGACCGGCCAGUUGGCACACCAUGCCAUGCCGCCUCUCAUGCCCUACUCAUCCCCGGAGGAGUCCCCGACCUCGGUGGUGCCGGUGGAUGUGAGGUCGAUGAUGAUGGACAUGGACGGUCCAUCGCUUCACCUGCCACAUGCGCCACCAAGCGUUGGACGGUGACAAGUAGGACGCGUUUCCCGCCCCUUGGCCUGGCGAAAAUUGGCCUUUAGUAUGGGUUGGUGGCUCCAACCAGUACUAAAGACCCCUCCUAUAUAUAUGGCACUUACAAAAAAACAGUUUCAUCGACCACCAGUACUUCUUCUCGAUCCAACUUCUUCGCCGCGCCCGUCGCCCAUCGCGCGCCGCCCCCGCCGCCCGUCGUCGCCAUCACCGCCGUCNNNNNNNNNNNNNNNNNNNNNNNNNNNNNNNNNNNNNNNNNNNNNNNNNNNNNNNNNNNNNNNNNNNNNNNNNNNNNNNNNNNNNNNNNNNNNNNNNNNNNNNNNNNNNNNNNNNNNNNNNNNNNNNNNNNNNNNNNNNNNNNNNNNNNNNNNNNNNNNNNNNNNNNNNNNNNNNNNNNNNNNNNNNNNNNNNNNNNNNNNNNNNNNNNNNNNNNNNNNNNNNNNNNNNNNNNNNNNNNNNNNNNNNNNNNNNNNNNNNNNNNNNNNNNNNNNNNNNNNNNNNNNNNNNNNNNNNNNNNNNNNNNNNNNNNNNNNNNNNNNNNNNNNNNNNNNNNNNNNNNNNNNNNNNNNNNNNNNNNNNNNNNNNNNNNNNNNNNNNNNNNNNNNNNNNNNNNNNNNNNNNNNNNNNNNNNNNNNNNNNNNNNNNNNNNNNNNNNNNNNNNNNNNNNNNNNNNNNNNNNNNNNNNNNNNNNNNNNNNNNNNNNNNNNNNNNNNNNNNNNNNNNNNNNNNNNNNNNNNNNNNNNNNNNNNNNNNNNNNNNNNNNNNNNNNNNNNNNNNNNNNNNNNNNNNNNNNNNNNNNNNNNNNNNNNNNNNNNNNNNNNNNNNNNNNNNNNNNNNNNNNNNNNNNNNNNNNNNNNNNNNNNNNNNNNNNNNNNNNNNNNNNNNNNNNNNNNNNNNNNNNNNNNNNNNNNNNNNNNNNNNNNNNNNNNNNNNNNNNNNNNNNNNNNNNNNNNNNNNNNNNNNNNNNNNNNNNNNNNNNNNNNNNNNNNNNNNNNNNNNNNNNNNNNNNNNNNNNNNNNNNNNNNNNNNNNNNNNNNNNNNNNNNNNNNNNNNNNNNNNNNNNNNNNNNNNNNNNNNNNNNNNNNNNNNNNNNNNNNNNNNNNNNNNNNNNNNNNNNNNNNNNNNNNNNNNNNNNNNNNNNNNNNNNNNNNNNNNNNNNNNNNNNNNNNNNNNNNNNNNNNNNNNNNNNNNNNNNNNNNNNNNNNNNNNNNNNNNNNNNNNNNNNNNNNNNNNNNNNNNNNNNNNNNNNNNNNNNNNNNNNNNNNNNNNNNNNNNNNNNNNNNNNNNNNNNNNNNNNNNNNNNNNNNNNNNNNNNNNNNNNNNNNNNGUUUAAUGUUUCACCUAUAUAUGAACAUUUGUUAGAUAUUAAUGUCAAAUGUUAGAUGAAUUAGAUAUAAAUUAUAUGUUAGAUAUAUAUUUAAUUUAGUUAUGUGAGAUUUCAUUAUCUAAUUAACAUUUUAUUAUAUAGAACUAGCUACCUUAUUUUUAGUAAGAAAAUUAAUAGAACUAGUUUAGUUGAAUUAAUUAGUUGAACUAGUUAGUUGAAUUAGUUCAAUUAAUUAGGUAUAUUCUUCGUAAGUGCUUAGUUGAAUUAGUUCAAUUAAUUAGUUGAACUAGUUGAAUUAACAGAAUUAGUUGAAUUAAUAGAACUAAUAAGUGUUUAAUGUUUCACCUAUGAACAUAGGAAUGUCGUCUGACGACGAACACGAUUUCAUUAUGUGCGAAUACUGCGAAGACCAGCGCGGUCUGUGUAGCAGAAAUUUUCUAGUUGAUGAUAGACGCUUCAGCAUCAAGCUGGAUGAGAACUUCGAAGUGGAUACAGUAAGUCACAACGACAAGUCAUUUUUCAUAAUUAAGCAUGACUUAUGCUUCAUUUGCUUCAACUUUUAAUUUUAAUUUUUCACUAUUCUACUAGCGUAUCCCCUGCCAUGCAAGAAUUUUUGUCUUGGAUAAGAUAGGUUUCAGUCCUAAUGAAACUAUGGAGGUAAAAAGAGUUUACUUGAAGACCGAGCAUGGUUAUACCUUCAACGUCAAAUUAUACAAUGCUGACACAUACCCCUAUUUUGAAUGCAAAACUUGGCAAGCACUAUGCAAGGCUUAUGUAUUUGAGCCUGAUAUGGUUAUCACCUUUGAUAUUCGUCAGGAAGAUGAUAUUGAAGGUAAUAGAGACAUCUGGGUCGAUGUGCAGACGCCUCCAGUUCUACCAUUAUGUGAGUUUCUCAACCAUAUUUAUGUCUUCGAUAUGAGAUUAUUUGAACCAGUUGAAUAAUUAAUAGAUCUCAAUUUAUAUUGACAACUUACUUCCAAUCAAGAAAACAUGUCCGACGCUUGGUAGACAGGACCGUCCACUGUCCUGGGGCUGAACUAAACUGCGAGGAGACAAGUCAUUAUGUUUCAUGGCUUGAGGAUCUGAUAGAGGCAAAGGUGUCUCGUCUUUCGAUGAGAUGGUGGAUUUCGCUUUGGUGGAAGUCGACUUUGACGAUCCGACUACGAACGUGCGAGGACGUCGCGCCUUAGCAAUCGCUAAACCAACUCCGAGAGGUUAUUGACCACGCCGGAGCACGAUCAACCUGACCACGAGGGUCUGUUUCCUGCGAGCAAACGAAGAACAAGCAAGAAACUAAGAUUGCAAUCUGGAUAUUGCGAAUAUAAGAUGAAAGCUUUAUUGAUCAAGAUGGGGUUCUGUGACGCCUUUGUUUGGUCGUUGAACACAAACGAAGUACGCGAAGUUGCAGCUAUGGCGAACUUUUAAUCUAAACAAAACCCAAAGUCUAAACGAUGCCCUAAGGGCUGUAUAUAUGGAGGAAGAGGGGGGAAUUUCGUGGCCCUUGGUGGAGGGGUCCGAAAUCAACCCUAUCUCUUGUUUCCCCACACAUACGGACUCUAAAAAUAGCCUAUACUUAUGUAUUUCGAAAUUACAUGGGCCUGGCCCAAUAAUAAGGUGACGCAGCACCUAAAAUAGCCUCGGGACGAAAUUUAGGAAGUGGCAUCUUGUAUAUUUCGUCCAAGGCUUCACGCACCCAUUAUGGUGGCUUCCUGAAAUCAUCACUUGUAACUCCGUUCUUGCUCCCCUUGCGCACGCCAUCAUCUCCAUGCUUGUUCUUGCUCCAAUGUUCAUCCUUCUCCAAGCUAGGCCCUUCAUUUGUAAGCAAAACAAAUGUAUCCAAUUUAGGAAGCAUCAUAUUCUCAUGAACAUUAGAAUCAUUACCAAGAAACGAAAGUACCUGGUAAUUUAGUUGGCGUGCACGAGCUCUAGUAAUUGGUCCAGUAUGUAUAGCAGCAGGGGUUGUGGGUGUAACAAUUGUAUUGAUGUCCUCAUCAUCCUCCCCUUCUUGAAAUGAAGUCGUCCUCGACGGAAGUUCAUCUUGCUCACCCAAAUAAGGCUUCAAAUCUGCAAUGUUAAAAGUGGGACUAACCCCAAAAUCUGCAGGCAGCUCAAGUUUAUAUGCAUUAUCAUUUAUUUUCUCUAACACCUUAAAGGGACCAUGAGCACGUGGCAUUAGCUUUGAUUUGCGCAAAUCAGGAAAUCUAUCCUUACGCAAAUGUAACCAAACAAGAUCUCCAGGUGCAAACACAACAUGUUUUCUACCCUUAUCUCCAGCAAGUUUAUAUUUAGCAUUCAUAUGCUCAAUGUUUUCCUUAGUUAACUCAUGCAUUUUUAAAAUCAAUUCAGCACGUUGUUUAGCAUCAAAAUUAACCUUCUCCGAAGAUGGAAGAGGCAACAAACCAAUAGGUGCACGAGGUAGGAAACCAUACACAACUUCAAAAGGGCACAUCUUAGUAGUAGAAUGCAAUGAACGAUUAUAAGCAAAUUCAAUAUGAGGCAAGCAUUCCUCCCACAUUUUCUUAUUAUUCUUCAAAACAGCCCUAAGCAUAGUAGACAACGUUCUAUUGACUACUUCAGUUUGUCCAUCAGUUUGGGGGUGACAAGUAGUACUAAAAAGGAGUUUAGUCCCCAACUUAGCCCAUAAACAUCUCCAAAAGUGGCUAAGAAAUUUAGUAUCACGAUCUGAAACAAUAGUAUUUGGCACACCAUGCAAGCGAAUAAUUUCACGAAAGAACAAAUCAGCAACAUUAACAGCAUCAUCGCUUUUAUGACAUGGUAUAAAGUGUGCCAUUUUCGAGAAUCUAUCCACGACAACAAAUAUGCUAUCCCUCCCCUUCUUUGUUCGAGGUAAACCUAAAACAAAGUCCAUAGAUAUAUCCUCCCAAGGAACACUAGGUACAGGCAAAGGCAUAUAUAAACCAUGAGGAUUGAGUCGUGACUUAGCUUUUUGACAUGUAGUGCAGCGAGCAAUAAAACGCUCAACAUCCCGUCUCAUCUUUGGCCAAAAGAAAUGUGUAGCAAGUACGUCCUCCGUCUUCUUCACGCCAAAGUGUCCCAUUAAUCCUCCUCCAUGCGCCUCCUACAACAACAAAAGACGAACGGAGCUAGCUGGAAUGCAUAGCUUGUUAGCACGAAACACAAAUCCAUCGUUAACAAAAAACUUGUUCCACAUUCUUCCUUCUUUACAAUUCUGCAUUACAUCUUUAAAAUCAGCAUCAUGCACAUAUUGAUCUUUGAUGGUCUCCAAACCAAAUAUUUUGAAGUCAAGUUGUGAAAGCAUAGUAUAGCGACGAGACAAUGCAUCAACAAUAACAUUUUCUUUUCCCUUCUUGUGUUUAAUGACAUAAGGGAAAGUCUCAAUGAAUUCAACCCAUUUAGCAUGUCUACGAUUCAGUUUAGCUUGACUUUUAAUAUGUUUCAAAGAUUCAUGAUCAGAAUGUAUAACAAAUUCUUUGGGCCAUAAAUAAUGUUGCCAUGUUUCUAAAGUCCGAACAAGAGCAUAUAAUUCUUUAUCAUAAGUAGAAUAAUUCAGACUAGGCCCACUCAAUUUUUCAGAAAAGUAUGCAACAGGUUUGCCAUCUUGUAAUAACACACCUCCUAAUCCAAUUCCACUAGCAUCACAUUCAAGCUCAAAAGUCUUAUUAAAAUCAGGAAGUUGGAGUAAAGGAGCAUGUGUCAACUUAUCUUUCAAUACCGUGAAGCCUUCUUCCUGUGCGGUACCCCAAAGAAAAGGCACAUCUUUCUUUGUAAGCUCAUUGAGAGGUGCAGCAAUGGUGCUGAAAUCUCUCACAAAAUGCCUACAGAAUCCAGUGAGGCCAAGAAAACUCCUCACUUGUGUGACUGUUUUGGGCUGCGGCCAACUCUCAAUAGCUUCAAUCUUGGCUUUAUCAACUUCAAUUCCCUGUGGAGUAACAACAUAGCCAAGAAAAGAUACUCGGUCGGUGCAAAAGGUGCACUUCCCAAGGUUACCAAACAAACGUGCAUCACGUAGAGCAAUAAAAAUAGCACGUAAAUGUUCCAAAUGUUCUUCCAAAGAUCUGCUAUAAAUCAAUAUGUCAUCAAAGUAAACUACCACAAAUCAUCCAAUGAAAGCACGUAAAACUUCGUUCUUUAAUCUCAUGAAAGUACUAGGUGCAUUAAUUAACCCAAAAGGCAUGACUAACCACUCAUAUAAUCCAAACUUAGUUUUAAAUGUUGUUUUCCAUUCAUCUCCCAAUUUCAUACGAAUUUGAUGGUAGCCACUACGCAAAUCAACUUUGGAGAAUAUUGUAGAGCCACUCAAUUCAUCAAGCAUAUCAUCUAGCCUAGGAAUAGGAUGACGAUAACAAAUAGUAAUAUUAGUAAUGCCUCUACAAUCAACACACAUACGUGAUGUACCAUCCUUUUUCGGCACUAGAAUAAUAGGAAUAGCACAAGGACUAAGGGAUUCGCGUAUAUAACCUUUGUCGAGAAGCUCUUGUACUUGAAGCAUAAUCUCCUUCGUCUCCUCUGGAUUGGUACGGUAUGGUGCACGGUUUGGCAGUGAAGCACCGGGAAUUAAGUCAAUCUGAUGCUCAAUCCCUCGAAUAGGCGGUAAUCCCGGUGGCACGUCUUGUGGAAAAGCGUCAGCGAACUCCUGCAAAAUGUUAGUGACAGCAGGAGGCAAAGAGGAAGGCACGUCCUCGAAUGAAAAUAAUGCCUCUUUGCACACAAAAGCAUAGCAAACAGAUUUGCUGAAAUCUAGCUCAUCAAUAUCAGAUUUGGUGGCAAAUAAACAUGCACUUUUCAAUUUAAUUUCAGAAGCAACACUAGAUGGUUUAUUAUUAGGCUUCAUUUGUUGCUCAAAUUCUUUUGCCACAGUCUGAUUUUCACUCUUAUUCGUCUCCUGUUUUGCUUUAUUAGCUCUAUUAAUAUCAUCUUUCAAAAUGGAAUCAGGAGUCAUAGGAAGCAAAGUAAUAUUUUUAUCCUUAUGAACAAGAGUAUAUUGAUUGUUUCUACCAUGGUGUACAGAAUUUUUAUCAAAUUGCCAUGGUCUACCAAGUAAUAAGGAACAUGCUUGCAUAGGUACCACAUCACAAUCAACAUAAUCAGCAUAUGUAGAGAUACUAAAAUGCACACGAACAGUACGUGUUACCUUAACCUUGCCGCUGUUGUUGAACCAUUGGAUGUAGUAAGGAUGUGGAUGUGGUCUUGUGGUGAGAGAAAGCUUCUUGAUAGAGGCAAAGGUGUCCCGUCUUUCGAUGAGAUAGUGGAUUUCGCUUUGGUGGAAGUCGACUUUGACGAUCCGACUACGAACGUGCGAGGACGUCGCGCCUUAGCAAUCGCUAAACCAACUCCGAGAGGUUAUUGACCACGCCGGAGCACGAUCAACCUGACCACGAGGGUCUGUUUCCUGCGAGCAAACGAAGAACAAGCAAGAAACUGAGAUUGCAAUCUGGAUAUUGCGAAUAUAAGAUGAAAGCUUUAUUGAUCAAGGUGGGGUUCUGUGACGCCUUUGUCUGGUCGUUGAACACAAACGAAGUACGCGAAGUUGCAGCUAUGGCGAACCUUUAAUCUAAACAAAACCCAAAGUCUAAACGAUGCCCUAAGGGCUGUAUAUAUGGAGGAAGAGGGGGGAAUUUCGUGGCCCUUGGUGGAGGGGUCCGAAAUCAACCCUAUCUCUUGUUUCCCCACACAUACGGACUCUAAAAAUAGCCUAUACUUAUGUAUUUCGAAAUUACAUGGGCCUGGCCCAAUAAUAAGGUGACGCAGCACCUAAAAUAGCCUCGGGACGAAAUUUAUGAAGUGGCAUAUUGUAUAUUUCGUCCAAGGCUUCAUGCACCCAUUAUGGUGGCUUCAAAGUCCUGAAAUCAUCACUUGUAACUCCGUUCUUGUUCCCCUUGCGCAUGCCAUCAUCUCCAUGCUUGUUCUUGCUCCAAUGUUCAUCCUUCUCCAAGCUAGGCCCUUCAUUUGUAAGCAAAACAAAUGUAUCCAAUUUAGGCAGCAUCAUAUUCUCAUGAACAUUAGAAUCAUUACCAAGAAACGAAAGUACCUGGUAAUUUAGUUGGCGUGCACGAGCUCUAGUAAUUGGUCCAGUAUGUAUAGCAGCAGGGGCUGUGGGUGUAACAAUUGUAUUGAUGUCCUCAUCAGUGUUCCUCUUGCGUUUGGCCAAACUGUUGGUGCUGCUGUUGAUACUUCUGUGGCUCCUGCUGCUGAUGCGGAGGAGGAUGAUUAUGUGGGAGAUUAUGAGGAUGAGGUUGAUCAAAAUCAGCACUACGUGCAGCCACCUGUACCACCACCAGCAGGUCGACCUCAGGUAUAUAUUCGUAAUGGUAGGCCUGCACCACCACCUCAGGUACGAGAUGAUGUCCAUAUUCCUAAACUGAAAUUGAAUAUUCCACCAUUUGAGGGUAUAUAUGUUCCUGAUAUAUAUCUUACUUGGGAGUUAGAAACUGAACAACGAUUUACAUGUUUACAAUAUCCUGAGGAGAGACGAGUUGCUGCUGCUGUUUGUGCUUUCACUAGUUUUGCAUGUGUAUGGUGGUCUGAACAUUGUAGAUUAUAUCCUAUUCCAACUACUUGGGCUGCUUUGAAAACUGCUAUGCGUACGCGUUGGGUUCCACCAUAUUAUCAACGUGAAUUGCUUCAAAAAUUGCAGCGUUUAAGACAAGGAAAAAAUUCUGUAGAAGAAUAUUAUCAGGAAUUACAAACUGGCAUGAUUAGAUGUGGUAUUGUUGAGGAGAAUGAAGCUAUGCUUGCACGUUUUCUGGGUGGAUUAAAUAGAGAGAUUCAGACCAUUCUCGACUAUAAGGAGUAUACUAAUAUCACUCGUUUAUUCCAUCUUGCUUGUAAAGCUGAACGUGAAGUGCAGGAUCGACAAGCAUUGGCGCGAACUAACUUUUCUGCAGGCCGACCUUCAUCAUGGACACCACGUGCAUUUUCUACUUCAACUGCACCAGCACCUCCAUCAGGUGCCACCUCCAGCCGUGAUACAAGAAAACAGGCACAACCACCAUUAUCUGCCAAGAGCGCACCUGCGGGGCCUGCACAGCGUUCUUCUUCUUCCAUGGCAUCAACAGGGCACACAAGUGAUAUUAUUUGUCGUCGUUGUAAGGGAGGAGGUCAUUAUGCGAGAGAAUGCAAAUCUCCGCGUGUGAUGAUUGCUACCACGGAUGGUGGAUAUGAGUCCGCUAGUGACUAUGAUGAGGAGACUUUGGCUCUUAUUACACGUGAAGAACAUGGUGGAGAUGAUUCUGAUCAUGAGACGCAAUACAUGGCUCCUGAAGACGCUGACAGGUAUGAAUGUUUAGUUGCUCAACGUGUUUUGAGUGUGCAGGUCACACAAGCUGAGCAAAAUCAGAGGCACAAUUUGUUCCAUACCAAGGGAGUUGUGAAAGAACGUUCUGUGCGCGUCAUCAUAGAUGGAGGGAGCUGCAACAACUUGGCUAGCAUGGAGAUGGUGGAGAAGCUUUCUCUCACCACAAGACCACAUCCACAUCCUUACUACAUCCAAUGGUUCAACAACAACAGCAAGGUUAAGGUAACACGUACUGUUCGUGUGCAUUUUAGUAUCUCUACAUAUGCUGAUUAUGUUGAUUGUGAUGUGGUACCUAUGCAAGCAUGUUCCUUAUUACUUGGUAGACCAUGGCAAUUUGAUAAAAAUUCUGUACACCAUGGUAGAAACAAUCAGUAUACUCUUGUUCAUAAGGAUAAAAAUAUUACUUUGCUUCCUUUGACUCCUGAUUCUAUUUUGAAAGAUGAUAUUAAUAGAGCUAAUAAAGCAAAACAGGAGAAGAAUAAGAGUGAAAAUCAGAUUGUGGCAAAAGAAUUUGAGCAACAAAUGAAGCCUAAUAAUAAACCAUCUAGUGUUGCUUCUAAAAUUAACUUGAAAAGUGCAUGUUUAUUUGCCACCAAAUCUGAUAUUGAUGAGCUAGAUUUCAGCAAAUCUGUUUGCUAUGCUUUUGUGUGCAAAGAGGCACUAUUUUCAUUCGAGGACGUGCCUUCCUCUUUGCCUCCUGCUGUCACUAACAUUUUGCAGGAGUUCGCUGACGUCUUUCCACAAGACGUGCCACCGGGAUUACCGCCUAUUCGAGGGACUGAGCAUCAGAUUGACUUAAUUCCCGGUGCUUCACUGCCAAACCGUGCACCAUACAGUACCAAUCCAGAGGAGACGAAGGAGAUUAUGCGUCAAGUACAAGAGCUUCUCGACAAAGGUUAUAUACGCGAAUCCCUUAGUCCUUGUGCUGUUCCUAUUAUUCUAGUGCCGAAAAAGGAUGGUACAUCACGUAUGUGUGUUGAUUGUAGAGGCAUUAAUAAUAUUACUAUUCGUUAUCGUCAUCCUAUUCCUAGGCUAGAUGAUAUGCUUGAUGAAUUGAGUGGCUCUACAAUAUUCUCCAAAGUUUAUUUGUGUAGUGGAUACCAUCAAAUUCGUAUGAAAUUGGGAGAUGAAUGGAAAACAGCAUUCAAAACUAAGUUUGGAUUAUAUGAGUGGUUAGUCAUGCCUUUUGGGUUAACUAAUGCGCCUAGUACUUUCAUGAGACUAAUGAACGAAGUUUUACGUGCUUUCAUUGGACGAUUUGUGGUAGUCUAUUUUGAUGAUAUACUGAUUUAUAGCAGAUCUUUGGAAGAACAUUUGGAACAUUUGCGUGCUGUUUUUAUUGCUCUACGUGAUGCACGUUUGUUUGGUAACCUUGGUGAUAGAGGCAAAGGUGUCCCGUCUUUCGAUGAGAUGGUGGAUUUCGCUUUGGUGGAAGUCGACUUUGACGAUCCGACUACGAACGUGCGAGGACGUCGCGCCUUAGCAAUCGCUAAACCAACUCCGAGAGGUUAUUGACCACGCCGGAGCACGAUCAACCUGACCACGAGGGUCUGUUUCCUGCGAGCAAACGAAGAACAAGCAAGAAACUAAGAUUGCAAUCUGGAUAUUGAGAAUAUAAGAUGAAAGCUUUAUUGAUCAAGGUGGGGUUCUGUGACGCCUUUGUCUGGUCGUUGAACACAAACGAAGUACGCGAAGUUGCAGCUAUGGCGAACUUUUAAUCUAAACAAAACCCAAAGUCUAAACGAUGCCCUAAGGGCUGUAUAUAUGGAGGAAGAGGGGGGAAUUUCGUGGCCCUUGGUGGAGGGGUCCGAAAUCAACCCUAUCUCUUGUUUCCCCACACAUACGGACUCUAAAAAUAGCCUAUACUUAUGUAUUUCGAAAUUACAUGGGCCUGGCCCAAUAAUAAGGUGACGCAGCACCUAAAAUAGCCUCGGGACGAAAUUUAGGAAGUGGCAUCUUGUAUAUUUCGUCCAAGGCUUCACGCACCCAUUAUGGUGGCUUCAAAGUCCUGAAAUCAUCACUUGUAACUCCGUUCUUGCUCCCCUUGCGCACGCCAUCAUCUCCAUGCUUGUUCUUGCUCCAAUGUUCAUCCUUCUCCAAGCUAGGCCCUUCAUUUGUAAGCAAAACAAAUGUAUCCAAUUUAGGAAGCAUCAUAUUCUCAUGAACAUUAGAAUCAUUACCAAGAAACGAAAGUACCUGGUAAUUUAGUUGGCGUGCACGAGCUCUAGUAAUUGGUCCAGUAUGUAUAGCAGCAGGGGUUGUGGGUGUAACAAUUGUAUUGAUGUCCUCAUCAGGAUCUUGAUGCUGUCAAGACAAAUUUCUUUCUUUCACUUAGAAAUGUUAGUACUCAAAACAUGCGACCAAUAGUGUUCGUACUGAACUACGGUCACAUAUAUUUAGGAAAGAUGGUAAGAUUUCUACUAUUUCUCCUCAGUGCAUCUUUUGCAUACAUUAUUUUUUAAGCUAAACUUCAUUGCUAAGUAUGUUACUAUACGAUGUUCUUCAACAGGGACUCCCGAUGAAUGUUGUGCCUGAUUGGAUCGAGACUAAAGGUACCAUGAAUAUUGUUAGCUUACGACCAAGAUAUCCUACAAUGCACUUUAGUGCAUUCAGGAUUUCUAAUAGCGAGGAAUGCUUAAUAGUAAAAGACUGGAGCAAAAUUGUGACCGAUCACAGAGAAGUACUAGGGGGCAACAAUCAGAUGCGCAACCCACGAUUAGGAGACAGGUUCAUCUGCAUGCUCCAAUAUGAUGAAUCGGCAAAGCUAUACAUGUUCUAUGCUAUUUUACCUGAGAGAGAGCAGCAGGAGUGAUUAAUUAGCUAGUUCAAGCUCUUAGUACUCGUCCUCUCAUGUCCGUGUUCUUCGUCCUGAACUUAAUCUCAAAGAGUGAUUUGCUUUUGUGGUGUUAUGAACGCUUAUAAUAUCAUUACCAUGUUGAACUCGAUGAUAUCUUUGCUAUGAAAACCGUUGGUGAUGAUAUAUAUGAUGCAAGAGUUUUUAUAUUAAUUAAUAUGAUGAUGAUGAUGAUGAGUUAUUAUAUCAUUUAUGAAAGAAAUUGCAUAUUAGUUUCAACUGGAUGGAUUCUAGCUAAGUGAUCAAGUAUAUGCCAUAUCCAUAUUAUCUCGAUCACUUAAGUAGGUGAUCAAGUAUAUAUAAUAUGGAUAUGACAUAUACUUGAUGACUUAGCUAGGAUCCACGCAUCCAGUCAAACUAAUCACCUAAUGAUUUAACAACUCAUUAUAAUGUAAACCAAUCACUAAAUUAAAUUGAAAACACAAAAUUAAAGUAAAAAUAAAAAAAUAAAACCAAAACACACCCAAACAUUUAGUACCGGUUGGUGUUACCAACCGGUACUAAUGUCCUACGCGCCCAUGGAGCUGGCUCGUGCCACGUGGUUGCCCUUUAGCACCAGUUCGUGCUGAACCGGUACUAAAGGGGGGGGGGGCUUUAGUGCCUACAAUUUAGUGCCGGUUACCGAACCGGCACUAAAGGGCCUUACGAACCGGUGCUAUUGCCCGAUUAUGCACUAGUAGUAUAUCCCCAGGUGCCCACAACCAAUCCACCCAAAUGUAUGUUUAAGUAGCCACCUUAAGUUAACCAUUAAUUAAAUAACCUCACAUCUGUCAUGGAUACACUCAAACCCAAUCCACGUCUACGAGCAUAGCAUUGCAAUAUAAGCAUCACGUAGAAGUAACUCCCAAGGGUUUGAUAAUAAAAGGGCAAUAGGUUCUACCUCAUCAACUACUUCCCAAAACCCACAUGUUAAACUCAUCCUAAUCAUGCAAUGUUUGAGGACCGAAACUAAUGCAUAAAAACUGGGUAUGAAAAGAAUAUGAUCAAUGUGUUACUUGCCUUGCUGACGAUCUGCAAAACCUAGUGACUCGUAGUAGCAUGCUUCACACUCGGGGAAUUCUAUCGCAAACAAACAAUAGCAUACAUAAGCACUCAAGCAUAGAUGCAUGGGUAAAACUCAAAUAAGAAGAUCGAAUCUGAAAACUCAACUGAAAAGAUUCGAUCUACAAAAAGAAUCAAUCGAAUCAGAGAUAUGGAAUUGAAACUACGGUCAAAAGAACUUCGAAUUCAAAUCUACUUGAAACCAAAAUUUUAAAUUUUCAAAACCAUGUUCAAGUUUAUUAAACAGAAAGAGGGGCUCGAGACGAAGAUUUUGGCAUUGGUUUCACUGGAUUUGGACAAAAGGUUAAGAAACGACGAGGGUUUGAAAAUCAGAGGUUAAUUUGUGAUAAAAUAAUCGCGGAUAGGUCCCUGUCAGAAAAAGAAAAUAAAAAGAAAAGACUAACGAAUGAACGUUCGCUGUCUGAACCUAACCGGCGAACAACGUUCGUUAAAACGAACGGACAGACGAACGUCCGCUAAAUAAAAUAAACCGAUGAAAACCGAUCUAGGAAAACAAACCGGAAAACUAAAAAAACCGGGAUCUAACCGAGAAAAACCGACCAGUCAAACAGGGUCAACGGCGGCGGCUCCGGCGAGAUCCGCGGCGGCAGCGGUGUGGGUUGUGGGGGGGGGGUGGCGGCAACUUUAAAGGCUGGGGCGGCGUUGACUUGGGCGAGGGGCCUCGGGAGGCGUGUCCACCUUGGACACGGUCGGCGGCGGCGGGUGGAUCCCGCUCGGGGAGGCGGUGCGGGUGGUUGGGCCGGCCUGGCUUGGCUGGGCCGUUGCCCCAAUCGGGUGAAGCGAUUUUCUUUAUUUUUUAGAUCAAAUUCCGCCGAGAAUAAAAAAAUCCUAAUAAAAUAUAAAAAAAAUUCAAAGAAUGCCAAAAACAAUUUUCGCCGUCUAAACAAAAUAUUCAGAACAAAGCGAACAUUUUCUUGGCCUAAAAAUGCAAUUUUGAAAAAUGCAUAUUUUUCUAAUUCAAAUAAAAUCCAAAUAAAAUUAUUUAUUUUGGAGAAGCCAUAUUAUCUCCUCUCAUAUAAUUUUAAUAUGAAAUAUUUUCGGAGGGGAAAAAUAAUUAAAACGGUGAAAUACCCAACUCUCUCCGUGGGUCCUUGAGUUGCUUAGAAUUUUCGAGGAUCGCAAAGCAAAAUGCAAUAAAAUAUGAUAUGCAUGAAUGACCUAUGUAUAACAUUCCAAAAUGAAAAUUUGGGAUGUUACAGGUUGCUCGUCCACCUGCUCUUUAGUAGGCAACAACCAGAUAUGCACCAAGUCGCCACCCGUACCAUCGCAUGUGGGUCUCAUCACACCCCCACCGGCACACGCACCACAAGCGGUUGCUCAUCGCAACCCACUGCCAUUGGUGUGGUGCCACUGCUGCAAAUGAUGUAGAGUCAUCCGUCAUGUCUCAACCACAAUCCUCAACCCUCGUCGAGUCUUCUACAAAUUCCUGAAUCAUGGGGUAAUAAUAUAUUUUAAGUGUUGUUCUGCUGCUUUUAGUUGUUGAUUUUUUAAUAGUUUGGUUGAUGAUCUUCCAAUUUGAUUCAUGUAGAAAAGGGAAGAUUCGUGUGAUUUGUAUUUCUAGGAAGUUGCUGAUGUGGGGGAAUGCAACUAUGCUGAUCAUUUGGUUAGUCGAGGAAUUCCAAUACCAGCAGGUUGGGGUGUUGGACAAGUAACUGAAGGAAUGGCAGAAGAGGAAGAUGGAGAGCAUAAGGUUAAAGAUGUAGUUCCUCAGAUCAUGGCCAAGCAACAGUUGUUGAACGGCCUUGACAACAAUGAGGAGAUGAAAUAGCUUAUGAAGAUAAUGGGCAAAAUUGAGGUGCUUUGUAGAAUGAUUGUCUCUUUAUUUGCAGCGUAUGUAGCACUCGUGAUGUAUUCAGUGGCUAUGACAUAAGCACUUUGCUGAAACUAGUAAUGAAUGAAACCUAUUUAGCAGGCUGGAUGUAGUGUUGUGAACAUCUAAUGAUAAAUAGAUAAAUAAAUAUCAGAGGCCCUUUUGCUAAUAAGUAAAUAAAUUAGCAAAGGCCCUGUCGGGUCAGCUUUGUUCCCAUUCGAAGACGUCGAGCAAAUUGCAGUCCAACAACAAACUAUGUCAUGAAAUUCAAGUUUCACAACCAAAUAUGAGUACAACUAAACAACAAUGUCAUCAUAUCUUAGUCGUCAUACAGUCACCAAACACAAGCCAACAUACAUAAUAAGUGAUGUUCUCACAGCAAAAUACUAAACAACAAGUUCAUUAGGUUUAAAUUGUCAUAGCAAACACAAUUUCACAUAGUAGAUAAAAAAAUGUCUUCUAACAUGCAAAUACGACAAAAGCAGUCUAAUCAUCAUCCGCAGCAGCAGCGUCAACAUCUUUGCCAUGUGUAUCAGUCUGAAUCGUAAUUCCCCACAGUGUCAUCUUCUUCUUCAUCCUCAUUGUCCUCGAACGUUGGCUUCUUAUUGAUCAACUCUUGUAUGUCCACAGCCCGACAGGCAAUCUUUCCGCCAGCGUCAUUGACAUGAUGGUUCUCAAAGAUAUUAGGAACAUCUGUGGAAUCUUGUACAUUAGGAGCAGUGUAAGCAUCGCCUUGUUGUGCAACUUCAUUAAACGAAUUCCUUUAGUCAAACCUUUGCAAUACUCUCUAGUCAUUGCUACGUGCAAAUAUGUCUUCCAAGAAAAUAUUUGUGUUGCUUGAUUUGCCAAAAUAAAAAGCUCGUUGGUCUGGUAUGCCGCCUUGACAUUGAUGGAUUUGAAAUAAUCAUCAGCUCUGGGUUUUGCGAUCAUGGAAAACAGGUUAUACCAACGACAACACAACAAAACCACACACCGAUGAACCUCGAAACUGGACAUAUACUGCAACUGAACAAUGUCUGUUAUGUUAGCAUACAUUUCAGUUGUCACUUCACCGUACUUAUCCAUGCUCAUGAUUGCACUGUUUUGUGUCUUCCUGCCUUCGUCAUGUGCAAGGGUGUUGUAGCGCACAUCUCCAACAACGCAAGAUUCAUAUUGUCUUACCCGAGUAUCAGGACCCAUUGCUAGUGCGUAAAGGGCAUCAUCAACUGUCCUGCCCAUCCUCCUGCAUCUUCUUAACCUAUGGUUUGAAAAUAGAUAAGAUAAUCAUCUUAUGUACUCAAUAUAUUAAAAAAAACUCAUAGUGCAAUUCAAAAGCUUACAUGGCUCUUGAACAAUCCUGCCAUAACCAGUUUGUCAAUGUUUCUUGUAUUUUGCGGCAGUAACUCCUUUUUGUAGAUGUUGCACAACAUAGUGACCGCGUCAAACAUCUAAAUAUAUAAGAAUGUGCUACAAGUUUAGUAGAUUACGAUGUAUAAGCUGCAGUACUUAGCACUUACUUGAUAUAAGGUAGUAUCUCAGGACAGUUAUUCAACACAUACCAAACCAUUUUGUCCAAAUCUUUAUGUUCAUCAUCUUGUCGACUCUUCCCUGUAACUCGAACAAAACAAUCAAAAACACUGAGCCCGGGUGAUAGAGGCGAGGGUGUCCCGAUCUUUCGAUGAGAUGAUAACUAUCGAUUUAGUGGAGACGACUUUGACGAUCCGACUACAAACGUGCACGACGUUGCGCCUUAGCAAUCGCUAAACCAAUCUCCUGAGGUUACUGACGAUGCCGGAAGCACGGUCAGCCUGACCACGAAGGUCUAUUCCUGCAAGCAAUCAAAGAACGAG